UUUUUUUUUUGUAAAAUACGGUGGCCCGUCCGAUGGUUCCCUGCUGUCAGGUGGAGGAAUAAUUAUUUUGCACGUAAUAAGGAGGCACUUCCUUGCUGUAGCCGUGGACCCAGCUGUCAGCCUCUCCACGUACAGUACUCUUCCGAUGGAAGUCGGUCGUUGACCACAUUAACUACGCCGCGCCGAGAGCACCAAGGCGGUGGAUGACGACGAGGCCUAGGAAGGGGACGACGCGGAGCCAGGGAAGACGCGGCAGUGGAUGCCCAUGCGGAGAGGAGUACGAGGGUUCACAUGUUCGGCUACGGUGUGAGGAUGCCAUCGCCGCAGGGCCUCGCCAGCGGUGGGAGUGGUAGGGGCGGUGAGGCCUCCGCGGCAGCACUGCCGGCCAUGGGAGGCAGGAGCAGGCGGCACAACCAGGCGCAGGAGUUACAUUUACCUCUUGGGGCCCUCGGGUCUGAGCUUCAGUGCCUUACAACACCUGCCUUUGAGUCAAUAACAUGUGGACCCGAUAGGUGGCUGGUCCACAUGUAAUGCUCCCGAAGGCAGAGGGGCGGUGGGGCCGAGAGGGGUGAGCCACAGGUCGGGGGACGUGUGGUGUCAUGUUCGAGCGGCGUCGUGGGAAUCGCGUGUGGCUGUGGUAGAAACUUGAUGCUCGCCACAUUUCAGUUGGCCCAAUGUCAUGCACACAAAGGCAGAGGGGCGGUCCGGCCGAGAGGGGUGAGGCGCACGUCGGGGGACGUGGUGCCGUGGGUUGGACAGGCGUCGUGGGAAUCGCGAGUGGCAGUGGAUGAAACGUGAUGGUCGCCAUAGUUGAACUUCCAUGGACAAGCUGGCAUGUCUACGGACACAUGCAUUGCAUACCGAUCAGUGGAAGGAGUAGUAGAGAAAGCUAGGCGGAUAAAUAGUUCCUUAUAGUCAAGCGGACCCACGCUACUACUUGUUCCAAAGACAUGCACACCAUCGAAAUAGUCCAUCUAUAUCAAUAUACACAGAGAGGGAAUAUGUUUUUUACAAGAGAGGAAAUAGUUCAUCCAUCCAUAAUGCCCUUCUUCUUCUUCUUCUUCUUCUUCUUCUUCUUCUUCUUCCUCUUCUUCUUCGUCUUCUUCUUCGUCUUCUUCUUCUUCUUCUUCUUCGUCUUCCUCUUCUUCUUCCUCUUGUUCUUCCUCUUCUUCUUCGUCUUCUUCUUCGUCUUCUUCUUCGUCUUCUUCUUCGUCUUCCUCUUCUUCUUAUCCGUCAGAUAUAAAUAACCAUGAUGGUGUGGGUAUUUUUUGCAAAAUUGCCAUAGUUUCCUUCCUAUCCGUCAGAUAUAAAUCGGACGGCCUAUACUGCAGGAUGGCAGGCACACCAUCAUGAACAACUCUGUUGUCGGAGUAAAUGGCCACGGGUAGCCUAACCGACUCCCCCUGGCUCUUCAAAAAUUAUUAGGCCGAUCGAGCCUUCCAGCACCCAAAGCAUAGGGCCGCCUUCCCCUGGCCGGUUAUCUCACAGGCCGACUACUGGAAGGCGACCCGGCCCUAAAGACCCUCCCAAAGAGAGCCACAAGAUGGCCGACUCCAAGAAGUCGGCCACAAGAGGACCGACUCCCAGAAGCCGGCCAAGACUGCACCCUCAAGGGCUGCACCCACAUAACGAUGACGAGACGGGGCGUGGCUACAGUACAGCCUGCCACCCCGGAAUCCCGGAGCACGCGUGGCCACAGUGCGCCGUACAGGUCGGGCAUCCCCCGUCCAGCGCGGCACUGUUGCCAUGUUGACCAUGACGCCACCCACGACAGGUUGUCAGUACGGCCCGCGGGCGGCGGGCCCCUUCAGCCAGAGAGAUGCUCGAAGGCGGCCAAGCCUCCCCCAGUCGGCCUAGGGCGUAGCUAGCUCCCAACAGCCGGCUACCUCCCUCCCUCGAAGUAUGUGCAUCAUUAAGGAGAUAAGACGAGGUAAGGCUAUAGUGAGAGCCCGCCAGGCGGCGGCACUGUAGCCAUGCUUACCUCGACAAAGCCCUCGUCAUCAGGGGCGAGGCUACAGUAACCAGCCACCGACAAGACCCCCAGGCAGUGGGGCCGGCCUGUCGGCCAAGAGGCCGGCAGCCGGCGGGACCCACCAGUCGGCAGGCCCCAGCGGCCGGCGGAGAAGCCGGUGAAUACACACACUGACGGCUAGGACCUGCGUCCAGCCGGAUUACCAUUGUACCCCUGGGGGUAGGCCUAUAUAAACCCCCCGGGGCAACCAUGCAAAGGGUUGAUAUCUUAGAGUUUUAGACACCACAUAGAGAGAAGAGGAGAGCUAGCCUUGCCGUUCCUCCUCCUCUAGCCAAACAGCUCAAGGAGCCACUUGUAGCUACUUGUGUUGAUCUAGUGAUCAUGCGGAGACCCCGCAGAGCAGGAUUAGGGGUGUUAUCUCCACGGAGAGCCCCGAACCUGGGUAAGAUUCGCCGGCGUGCAUGUCUUUGCCUUAUCCCGUUUCCAGGCACCGGCGAUGUCUUACUGGCUCCCACAAUGAUAAGCCACCCGUUGGCAUAUGUCGCACCUACCACCUGACAUUUGGCGCCCACCGUGGGGCCAGGUGCACCGUCGUCCGAAGACCUGUUCUGGACGGGAACCCUUUUCCUCCCUAGCGAGCGUAGCCAACCCGGCACGCCCGAUGGCGCUUGCCCCGACGCGCUGCAAGGCGUCGACGACGCUUGCGCGGCGAGCUGCCUCGCCGAUCUUCUUGGCGAGGCUCGCAUCUCCGACGAGCCUGCGUCCGACGCGGGCACAGACUGCCCCGAGAGCCGCCUCGUCAGCCUCCUCGGCCAGCUUCACGUCUCCAGCGAGCUUGCUGUGGACUUGGAGUCGGUCAGCUCCACCGACCCGAUGCUUGUCGACUCCGACACGGCAUCACUUGACGCCUUCCCCACCAACGUGGUGAUCAUUGACGACCCUCUUCCUCGAGCCGACAGUGGCAGCAGCGCUGUCACCGAGGUGUUGGUCAUCAACCAUGGCGCCAUCUCAGGCGAGAACGCCCACGACGCCCUACAAGCGGUGCUACACGACUUGUCCGUCCCCAUCCCGCCUGACGCCGACGCCGAGACACUGGAGGCAUGCCGCCUCGCCCUCGUCGCGGAGGGCUAGAAGAUAGCAUCCAUGAGACGCCUCACUGAGGCUCACCAGCGCGAAGUCGACCGCGCCGCCUUUGCUACGCCGUCUCCUGGCGGGCCGAGCCGAGCCGGCUUCGUCAAGAAGCGCGGCGCGGCCAUCGCCAGCAUGCUGGGAGCAGACCGCCCAGUCUACGCCACGCCGCUCGAGAACCUGCGUGCCGCUCAGGCGGCCGUAGACGAGCUGAACGGGCUGGGGGCCGACGAGCUCCCCUACAUGACUAGACGCAUCCAGCAGCUGAUCGACGCGGCCGCAGAGCGGCAUGAAGCCAGUGCCCGCGCUAGAAGUCCUACCCCACGCCGAGAGCACGGCGCGACAUCCCGGACGCCGACUGUAGACGGCGCCCGCGCAAGAAAAGAUAAGGAGCCGGCUGCUAGCCGCAGUCGGACUCGGCUCACCAUCGAGCGCGACGCAGAAGGCUGCCCCCGAGCUGUGGAACGACGAGGCGAUCCACCUCCUCCCCCGCCUCGUGGGGAGAGAUAUCCCACCCCGCCGCCUAUUACGCAUCCGACUCUCGACGGCCGACUGGGCCAUCGCGAAGGAGUCGGCGAGAAUGACGCCCGCCAUCGGAUCGAUCUCCUGGCGCGAUCCCUGGCGCUAGAAGAAGAAGAUGAUGUCGGCCCGCCUUGCUUUGGCCCCCGCAUCCGCGACGAGCCCUUCCCCAAAGGGUUCUCGCUCCCAAGAGACACGCCAAAAUACAACGGCUCCGUGAAGCCGGAAGACUAGUUGAUCGAUUACUCCACCGCAGUCCGCAUAGCAAACGGCAACAGGCGCGUUGCCGUGAAGUACGUCCCGCUCAUGCUUCAAGGCACGGCACGGACUUGGUUAAACAGACUCAAGCCCUACAGCAUCAACAGCUGGCUAGACUUCACGGAAGUCUUCAUCCGCAAUUUCACCAGCACGUACAAGCGGCCUCCCAAGCCCCGCCAGCUCUCCUUGUGCGUCCAAGGGCCCAGCGAAUCAACUCGCGACUACCUCACGUGUUGGGCCGAGCUCCGCAACUCCUACGAAGGGGUGCCGAGGUUCAAGCCAUAGGGUACUUCACCGCCGGGUGCCGAGAGGGCACCCUCCUCAAGCACCGGCUCCUCUGCGACGAGCCGACUACCCUCGACGAGCUCCUGAUCAUAGCAGACAAGUACGCCACGGCCGACUCUUCAAUGAAGACCGAGCUUCGAGUGGAUGCCUCUGGAAAGGUGCUCGCUCCGGCUCCAAAGACACCGGCUGGCGACUCCAGUCGACGCCCUUACCAGAACGACAACAAGCGCAAGGCCCCUAUGCCGCCUUCCACCAGUCGGCAAGUAGCCACAGUCGAAGACGAACAACCUGAAGAACGGCCCCCGCCCAAGAAGCAGAAGGGCGGCAAGCCGGCUUGGCGGCCAGCUUUAUCCUACGAGCAAACCCUUGAUUCCCCCUGCAAGUUCCACAGCGGCGCGAAGCCAUCCAACCACACGACCCGGAAGUGUCAUUGGCUCACGCGGAUCUCCAAAGGCGAAGGGCUGGUGCCGCCUCCACCUGCUGGCCAGCCGCCCCCAGCUCCUCAGCAGCCGGCUGUUCGACCAGCAGUCAGAGCCAUUCAAGAUGAGUUCCCAGACGAGCAUGCCCCCUACGUCGUCUUUACAAGCCAAACUGAAGACAGGCGCAGUCGGCGCCGACAACACCAAGAAGUCAACGCGGUCGCCUCCAACAACCCAGAGUUUAUGCAUUGGUCUGAGAAGCCUAUCAGCUGGAGCCGGGCCGAUCACCCAGAGGUGAUGCCGUCUCCCGGCUCUUAUGCAUUGGUAUUGGAUGCCGCCCUCGCGACAGAAAGGCGAGCUGCCCGUUCUCCCGUGUACUGAUUGACGGUGGGAGCAGCAUCAACAUACUGUACCGCGACACCAUGGAGAAGCUGAACAUCAAGACGAAGCAACUCAUGCCAAGCCGGACUGUGUUCCAUGGCAUCGUACCCGGUUGUCCUGCUCACCAAUCGGCAAGAUCAAGAUGGAUCUUCUCUUCGGAGACAAGGAUCACUUCCGCCGAGAAGCAAUCUGGUUUGCAGUGGUGGAUCUAGAGAGCCCUUACCACGCGUUGCUUGGCCGGCCUGCCCUGGCCAAGUUCAUGGUUGUGCCCCACUACGCCUACCUCAAGAUGAAGAUGCCAAGCUCGAAAGGGAUCAUCACCAUAGCCGGAGACUACAAGAAGUCCUCCGAGUGUGCUGCAGCCAGCAGCCGGCUGGCCGAGUCCCUCGUGAUUGCUGAAGAAAAGAAGAUGCUGGACCGAGUCGUGGCCAUGGCCGGCAAGCAGCCGGCCCUGUCCCCUGACCCCAAGGAAUAUGAUGCUCAAGGCUCCUUCCAGCCAGCCAAGGAAACAAAGAAGAUACCUCUGGACCCGGAGAACCCGGAGAGGUUUGUUGUCAUUGGUGCAAACCUGGACAGCAAAUAGGAAGGCGAGCUCAUCGAUUUCCUCCGUGAGAAUCGGGACAUUUUUGCAUGGUCCCCAAAGGACAUGCCGGGUGUUCCGAAGGAUUUCGCCAAGCACAAGUUACACGUCCGAGCAGACGCAAAACCAGUCAAACAACCCCUCCGCCGACUGUCGGAGGAAAAGAGAAGGAUUGUGGGAGAAGAGAUAGCCCGGCUUCUGGCAGCCGGCUUCAUUAUGGAGGUGUUUUUUCCAGAAUGGCUUGCCAACCCGAUCCUGGUGUUGAAGAAAAACAAUAAAUGGCGCAUGUGUAUAGAUUAUACCAGCCUCAACAAAGCCUGCCCCAAAGAUCCGUUCGCCUUACCUCGAAUCGAUCAAGUGAUAGACUCCACAGCCGGAUGCGAGCUGUUGAGUUUCUUGGAUGCUUACUCAGGCUACCAUCAGAUCAAGUUGGAUCCAGCCGGCCGCCUGAAGACCGCCUUCAUCACACCAUUCGGAGCUUUCUGCUACCUGACUAUGACAUUCGGCUUGAGAAAUGCCGGUGCCACUUUUCAGCGUUGCAUGCAGAAAUGCCUCCUCAAGCAACUCGGCAGAAAUGCCCACGUCUAUGUAGACGAUAUUGUGGUGAAGACGGAGAAGCACGACACCCUGCUGGAAGACCUCAGAGAAACAUUUGACAACUUGCGCCAGUUCCAGAUCAAGCUCAACCCUGAGAAAUGCGUGUUCGGAGUACCAGCCGGCCAGCUUCUAGGCUUCUUGGUCUCCGAACGCGGCAUCGAGUGCAACCCAGUGAAUAUCAAGGCCAUAGAGAGAAUGGAGAUUCCUACCAAGCUGCGAGACGUCCAAAAGUUUACCGGGUGCCUGGCCUCCCUGAACCGCUUCAUCAGCCGGCUAGGAGAGAAGGCUCUCCCCCUGUACCGACUCAUGAAAAAGUCCACCCACUUCGAGUGGAACGACCAAGCAGACCAAGAUUUCCACGAGUUGAAGAAGAUGCUGACAACGCCGCCUGUCUUGGCGGCGCCGACUGAGAAAGAGCCCAUGCUCCUUUACAUUGCCGCGACUAGCCGAGUGGUCAGCACAGUUAUUGUGGUCCAACGCCUAGAAGAAGGCUGGGCUCUGUUAGUCCAGAGGCCGGUGUAUUAUUUGAGCGAAGUACUGUCCACCUCGAAGCAAAACUACCCGCACUACCAGAAGAUGUGCUAUGGAGUAUACUUUGCUGCCAAGAAGCUGAAGCCCUACUUUCAAGAGCAUCCCAUCACGGUCGUAUGCACUGCCCUGCUUGCCGAGAUCAUAGGCAGCCGGGAUGCAUCCAGCCGGGUGGCUACUGGGCCAUUGCGUUGGCUCCUUACACGAUCUUCUACCAGCCUCACACCGCCAUCAAGUCCCAAGCAUUGGCCAACUUCCUUGUCGACUGGGCCGAGACCCAGUACCUACCGUUGGCUCCCGACUCCACUCAUUGGCGGAUGCACUUCGAUGGAUCCAAGAUGCGCACCGGCUUGGGAGCCGGCAUCGUCCUCACCUCUCCCAAGGGCGACAAACUCAGAUACACAUUGCAAAUUCAUUUUGCCGCCUCCAACAACGUGGCCGAGUACGAGGCGCUCAUACAUGGGCUCCGGCUAGCCAAAGAGCUCGGCAUCCGCCGGAUCCUGUGCUGUGGCGACUCGGAUUUGAUAGUCCAACAAUCAUCCGGCGACUGGGACGCCAAGGAGGCAAACAUGGCGAGCUACCGAUUCCUCGUUCAGCAAAUCGGCGGAUACUUUGAAGGAUGCGAGUUCCUCCACGUGCCAUGGGACGACAACGAGCAAGCAGAUGCCCUGGCACGAAUCGGCUCCACCCGACAAGCUAUACCAACCGGCGUCUCUCUCCAAUGCCUCCUCAAACCAUCUGUCAAGCCGUCUCCAGAAUCAGACUCCAUAUUCGUACCGCCUGGCCCUGAUGCAGUCGGAUCCGACUUGGGGAACCCAGCAGGCGGCUCGGGGACUUCAACAGGCAGCCCGGGGACUGCCGUAGUCGCACCCAGCUCGGGGACUUCAGAACCCGGCCCGAGGACUGCAAUGACACAACAGGUGGUGGCCGACUCCAACUCUUCACCACCCAACCCACCCACCCUGGUCGGAGUAGCCGUAUUGGCAAUAGAAGAAGUCACAGCUCCAUCAUGGGCCCAACCCAUCCUCAACUUCCUGGUAAACAGAGAGCUGCCGACUGACGAGAUCUCGGCAAGACAAGUUCAACGCCGAGCCGGAGCAUACACAAUAAUAAACAGAGAACUCGUUAAGCGCAGCGUCACUGGAGUCUUCCAGCGCUGCGUCGAGCCAGAGAAGGGCAUAGCAAUCCUGAAGGACAUCCACCAAGGUGAAUGCGGCCACCACGCGGCCUCAAGAUCACUUGUCGCCAAAGCUUUCCACCAUGGGUUCUUCUGGCCGACUGCUUUGGAAGACGCCAAGGAAUUAGUCAAAUGCUGCAAAGGGUGCCAUGUCUCGCUCCAAGCAACACCUGCCAGCUUCUGCACUCAAGACCAUCCCCCUCACCUGGCCCUUUGCCGUCUGGGGAUUGGACAUGGUGGCCCCAUUCAAGACGGCGCGCGGCGGCAUGACACAUCUGCUUGUCGCCGUAGACAAAUUCACCAAGUGGAUUGAAGCGAAGCCAAUCAAGAAGCUGAACGGGCCGACUGCCGUGACAUUCAUCGCAGAUAUCACCACCCAGUAUGGCGUACCACAUAGCAUCAUCACCGACAAUGGCACAAAUUUUGCCAAAGGAGCACUGGCACGUUUCUGCGCGACACAGGGCAUCCGACUGGACUUAGCGUCCGUUGCUCACCCGCAGUCAAACGCCCUAGUCAAGCGAGCAAACGGCCUCAUCCUCUCCGGCAUCAAGCCCCGACUGGUCGUACCACUGGAGCGUUCGGCCGGCUGCUAGCUCGAUGAGUUGCCCGCCGUCCUCUGGAGUCUGCGUACUACCCCGAACAAGUCAACCGGCUUCACCCCUUUCUUCCUUGUAUAUGGUGCCGAGGCUGUCAUCCCAACUGACAUCGAGUUCGACUCACCUCGUGUCACCAUGUACACGGAGGCGGAGGCCAAGGAAGCGCGAGAAGACGGCGUUGACCUGCUGGAAGAAGGCCGGCUGUUAGCACUCAGCCGGUCCGCCAUCUACCAGCAGGGUUUGCGCCGUUACCACAACCGGAAGGUCAAGUCAAGAUCCUUCCAAAAAGGCGAUCUUGUGCUCCGGUUGAUCCAGCGAACAGCCGGCCAGCACAAGCUCUCGGCCCCUUGGGAAGGCCCCUUCGUCAUCAGCAAGGCCCUAGGCAACGACUCCUACUACCUGAUCGACGCACAGAAGCCGAAGGCACGCAAGAGAGAUGAUUCCGGCAAGGAGUUGGAACGACCAUGGAACGCCAAUCUCCUCCGAAGAUUUUACAGUUAAAAGCAGUAUGUACCACGCUACCUUUUGUAUUAAGUACAAGACAACGGGCCCCCCGAGGAGCACUCGGGGACUGCCAUCUUUUAUCUAUGUAUGACGAGUGUCAUACCUAUGAAUGUAUUGCUACAUUUGUUUUUCUGUCCGGCACCGGGUUCGAUCAGUCGGCCCGGGGACUUGCCGCCUUGAGUUAUAUUAAAGUUCUACCUGCAGUCAGACAAGUAGUCUGCCGGCACCAAAGCCCUCUCUUGUUGAAAGUCGCAGCUCGAAGAAUCGACUGGCCGACAGGCAAUAGUCAAAGGCAGGAAAGGACGCCCACACGAAAAACGGCUAAGGACUAACAAACUUAUAUAACACAAGCCGGCCUCCCACCCCGCCUACCGGCUGUCAGAACAGCCGGCUGGCCGGCUUCCCAUUCACCUUGCUACAAUCUAAGAAAGCUAGACUACUUUUCCUCCCAAAUGGCCAAGCACUUCUCCAGCCAUAGACUGCAGAGCAGCUGUCCGGCUGGGAAGGCGGCGACCAAGGGAGGGCGGCAAAGGAAACAGCCAAAAAGAUGAAAAGCAAAUGCAAUCGGAAGCCAAGCACAUGCAUGAAUAUUUACACAAAAGGCCUUCGACAGGCCGGCAGUCAACAUAGUUUGAAUACACCCCCAGUGGGUGGAACUGCGCAAACUUAACAAAAUAUUGUUCAAAGAGUAAUAAACAGGAAAUCAAAGGCGGCGGAUCAGGCUAAGGGUGCAACAGGCUAGCCAGGCAGGUCGGUGGAGACGGCAGUGCUGGCUGGAGGAGUGGCCGGCUGGCGAGUCUCGGCUUGAUCAUCGCCGGCUGCAGGCGGCGCGCUCGCACGUGCCUCGUUGCUGGAGGCACGAUCAAGCUGAGGUUGGCCAGUUGCUCCACCAUCCGGCACGGCGUCUUCACCUUCCUCUCCCUCCGCCGAGUCCUCACUGUCCGCUGGGUUCAGCCCAAACCACUCCUCCGGCUGAGCAACACCGUCAUCAUCCACCUCAGGGGCAAAGGCACUGGUGUCGGUGUAGUCGGCGAUCGCCGAGGCGCGCUGGAUGAUAGCCGGCCGCACCGCCUCCAGCUCCGUGUCGGCCUCCUGCCGCCAGGUGGCCAGCUGGUCCAAACUCAGCUCGGGAUACCAAGCUUUGACGAACUCCAGCGCCCGCCUCACGCCUGACCGAGCUGUAGAAGCCUUCCAGGCCUCGAAGCGGCCAACCGCUACCUCUAGCCAGUCGGCAAUCCGACUGGGGGUACAGGGAACCACCUCGCCGGGCCAGAGGGUGGCCAGCACUUGCGCCCCAACGCGCUGAAGACAGCGGAGCAUGCGGUGAGCCGGCUGGAGGCGGGCUUGGAUCGCCAGAAACUGCUCCUCAAGCGACCAACGAGCAUUCGGCGCGAUCUCAGCACCAGCCUGCCUUUGCGCCUCGCGGUGGGCCUUAAUGACUUGGCUGGCGGCAGUGGAGUAACCAGGGAAGUACUCUGCACAAGUAAGAAAGGAAGAGAAAAAACACAAAGUCAGAGAAUGGACCAAAUGGAACGCGGUAAGCGAAGGAACGAAGAAGAAGGCGUCCUACUGUCAACCAAGUCUUCGAUCUGGCCAUCGCCAUUGAUCAGCGAUUGCCUUGCCUCAGCCCAGCUCACCGCCUCGGUCUCGUAUUUGGCUUGGAGGGCGGCCUCACUGUCCUGCACCGCCUUCAGGGCCGCCUUAUGGCUCUCCUCCUGGUCGGCCAGCUUCUUGACCAAGCGGUCACGCUCCUGAGCCAAGGCAUCGAAAUCGGCUUCCCUGGCGCGAAGGGCGGUCUAGGCCCCACCCAACUGCUCCCUCAGGUUGGCAUUGGCCUUUGCAGAUAUGGUGAAGAAGAAAGAAGCAAUAAGAAAGAAGUCGCCAGGAAAGAUCCGGCCCGACUGCUCAACAGUCGGCCCGAAUCUCGGGGACUACACCCAGUGGGUGCGCUGACGCGCCCCCACGUGAGAUAAAAGAUGAAGCACUUGCUCCGGCUCUUAGUUAGAUCAGCGGUCUUCUGGGUCAGCUCCCGAGCCUGGGAGUUGAAGGCAGCCGCGCGGAGGUUGUGGUAGUCCUGCAAGUAGGACAGAGAAGCGAAUAAGAUCUGUUGGGGAACGUAGUAAUUUCAAAAUUUUCUACGCACACGCAAGAUCAUGGUGAUGCAUAGCAACGAGAGGGGAGAGUGUUGUCCACGUACCCUCGUAGACCGAAAGCGGAAGCGUUAACACAACGCGGUUGAUGUAGUUGUACGUCUUCAUGAUCCGACCGAUCAAGUACCGAACGCACGGCACCUCCGAGUUCAGCACACGUUCAGCUCGAUGACGUCCCUCGAACUCUGAUCCAGCCGAGUGUUGAGGGAGAGUUUCGUCAGCACGACGGCGUGGUGACAAUGAUGAUGUUCUACCGACGCAGGGCUUCGCCUAAGCACUGCUAUGAUAUUAUCGAGGUGUAAUAUGGUGGAGGGGGCACCGCACACGGCUAAGAGAUCAAUGAUCAAUUGUGUGUCUAUGGGGUGCCCCCCUGCCCCCGUGUAACGCCCUGAGACCAACGCUCCAGAAGCCUUCCAGUUAUUUCAUUGUUGUCGUGUGUUUUAUUUGUUUGUUGCAUUCACCAUCGCAUCAUUCGCAUUGCAUCAGCACUCUGUUGCCGUCAUUGUUUUCAAACUUGCAUUCAUUCGUAGUUGUCGCGUUCCCCCCUUGUCUUCGUUGAUGUUCCGAGACCAACCGUGUUUUCGGUUCCCUCUUGUCAAACCAACUAACCUCUCUCGUCAGCCCGUGAUCCCCUCCCGCGCGUCCGAAAGUUGUCCCGUACCCGACCCGGUUUGUUGUUACCGUUGGGUCCAGAUCAUCCCCUAACAUCUACAAAACAUCUGCGUUUUCUUAUUUGGACUCCCUACCUAUUAUUUUCUCGAUCGUCCGAUUUUAAUCGGAGGGCCCAAAUAGCCUCUAAUCUAAUCCCACGAGAUAUAUAUUGACCAACCCUAGAAAUUAGGAGCCUUUGUCCCAUCAGUCCCAUCCCGCCGCCGCCAGCAUCUCCCACCUCGGGAUCCCUCUAGAUCCACCCUCUCUCCCUCGAUUUCCCGAUCGGGCCAACCACCUCCUUCCCUCGAUCCACCCAAUCCCGCAACCGAGGCCCGAGCUCCUCCCGCUCGAUCCCUCCUCGAGCACCUGCCUCUGCCCGAGCUCCUACCGCAGCUCCCAUCACCCUCGACCCCACCUCGUCGGCCGGUCGACAACGGCGACCAGAACAACGCCGGAGAUGAGUGCCCCAACAGCCCCGCUCUUUUUCCCCUCCUGCUUCUCUACCGAUCUUUCUCACGAUCUUCCCCUCCCUCUCUCUGUUUUCGCUCACAGGAGACCACCAUGGCCGCUGCAUCAAGCUUCGUCGUCGUUUCGUGCCGAGGAUGGAUGGAUCCAUGCUCCGCGCGCCUCCUCCCGCAGUCCCGCGCCGCCGCCGUUCCAUCUCCGGCCACCCGAGCCGCCGCAGCUCCGGGCACUCGCCGCCCCUGCGCAUCAAGCCCCUGCGCCGUGCUCCUCCCCUGCUGCGAGCCUCUGCCUCGACUCGUGCCCGAACUCCUUCCCGAGCCGGAGCUCCUGCCUCGACCUCACCCCCACCUCGUCGCGCCGGCGACUCGUCACGCUGGACUCCUCCCGCAGCAGCUCCUCCUGAUGCCAUCGCCUACCUCCUCGUCACCGUGCCCAUAGCCACGGAGCAGAAGCCCAAGCCCCGGCGACCCCUCCUGGACCUGUUGCUGCCGCCGCCUCGCCAGCGCCGCUCGCCUCCCCGGCGCCGCCUUCUGCAUCGCCGUGAAACUGCCGCUGCUUCUGUUGCUUGUUCUUCACAAGCGAGCAGAGCCACUGCCGCCCAACCUGGCGCGCCUCCGCCCCUUCUCCGGCCAAGUCCGGUGCCCCAUGGUCGGAUCCGUCGUCGCCUGCUCGUCGGUAGCCGCCGCCGUGCCCGCGACCCCUGCUUCCUGUCGCCAUAGCGCCGCUGCAGUUCUUCUGCAGUUAGAUGCAGCAGCGCUGCAUCGAGCGCACGCCCGCGCCGCCGCGUUGAUUUCGUCGCCCUUCACCAGCUACCAGGCCCAGCGCCCGCUUCUGCCUUGGCCUCUCCACCGACCUGGGCUUGGCCCAUGGUGAGAAACCCCCCAGCGCCCCUUGGUUUUUCUUCUGUUGGGCCUGCUCCGGUUUUAGUUUUGGCCCGUGUAGUUUUUUCCCAGAUCUGCGAUUUUAUGCAUUAUCCGGAGAACAGCAGUUUUACAGAAAACCCCUUGAGUUCAUGCAUAUAAUAACUAAUUAAUCAUGCAUCAGCUUUAAAUAACCUAUAUAUGAAAAGUGCUUAGAAUUUCAUCUAGUUUCAUAAUAUGCCACUUUCAUCCCAUGUUCAAAUGUUUAAAAAUGUUGUUUGUUUAUUUUAUUCAAAUGCCAUGUUAAAAUGAUUUAUUUCACAACUAAUUAACCGUAACUCGGAAUUUAAUAAACUUUAUAUGUAAAUGGGGUAGAAAAAUGCAUAGAUUAACAUGGUGCACUUCAUUUUGCUGUUUAACAACAUUAAAAUGUGUUUAUGGCAGAACAGUAGCAAAUCUAAAAUAUGCACAUGAGGAUUUUCCGGAAUUGUUGUUGGUUGUCUCCGGCCUCAUUUAAACUUGCCUAAAUAGUUAGUUUCCAUAUGCUUAUCCUCUUGCCAUGGUUAAUAACAUUUAAUAAUGUUGGGUACAUAAAUGAGAGAGAACUAAAUAAUUGAUGUGGUGUUUCGUCAAUAUGUAACUCGUUGCAUAUUGAGCUCCACUUAAUUUGUAGUGUUGUUUGUUGCACUUUGCCAUGCCAUGCCUCAUUAAACCGGACAUGCAUCAUAUUUGUUUUUGCAUCAUGCCAUGUGUAUGUGGUGGUUGUUUACUAUGUUGUUUGUUUCUUUCUGGGUUGCUUCUCUCGUUAGCUUCGGUUUCGUUCCGGAGUUGUGAGGAUUCGUUCGACUACAUCCGUUUGUCUUCCUCAUGGACUCGUUCUUCUUCCUUGCGGGAUCUCAGGCAACAUGAUCAUACCCUCUAAAUCACUUCUAUCUUUGCUUGCUAGUUGUUCGCUCUAUUGCUAUGCAGCGCUACCUACCACUUGCUCUUCAAGCCUCCCAAAUUGCCAUGAACCUCUAACCUUUGUCACCCUUCCUAGCAAACCGUUGUUUGGCUAUGUUACCGCUUUGCUCAGCCCCUCUUAUAGCGUUGCUGGCUGCAGGUGAAGAUGAAGAUUGCUCCAUUUUGGAUUAUGUUUAUGUUGGGAUAUCACAAUAUCUCUUAUAUUAUUAAUGCAUCUAUAUAUUUGGUAAAUGGUGGAAGGCUCGGCCUUAUGCCUGGUGUUUUGUUCCACUCUUGCCGCCCUAGUUUCCGUCAUACCGGUGUUAUGUUCCUUGAUUUUACGUUCCUAACGCGGUUGGGUGAUUUAUGGGACCCCCUUGAUAGUUCGCUUUGAAUAAAACUCUUCCAGCAAGGCCCAACCUUGGUUUUACAUUUGCCUCAACUAGCCUUUUUCCCUUGGGAGUCACGCUCUCGAGGGUCAUCUUUAUUUACCCCCCCCCCCGGGCCAGUGCUCCUUUGAGUGUUGGUCCAACCUGUCAGUCGCCGGUGGCCACCAGGGGCAACUCUGGUCUGGCCUACCGGAAGCUUGGACAAUCCGGUGUGCCCUGAGAACGAGAUAUGUGCAGCUCUUAUCGGGAUUUGUCGGCACAUUCGGGCGGCUUUGCUGGUCUUGUUUUACCAUCGUUGAAAUGUCUUGUAACCGGGAUUCCGAGACUGAUCGGGUCUUCCCGGGAGAAGGAAUAUCCUUCGUUGACUGUGAGAGCUUAUAAUGGGCUAAGUUGGGACACCCCUGCAGGGUAUUAUCUUUUGAAAGCCGUGCUCGCGGUUAUGUGGCAGAUGGGAAUUUGUUAAUAUCCGGUUGUAGAGAACUUGACACUUGACCGUAAUUAAAACGCAUCAACCGCGUGUGUAGCCGUGAUGGUCUCUUCUCGGCGGAGUCCGGGAAGUGAACACGGUUUCUGGGUUAUGUUUGACGUAAGUAGGAGUUCAGGAUCACUUCUUGAUCAUUACUAGUUGACGACCGUUCCGUUGCUUCUCUUCUCGCUCUCAUUUGCGUAUGUUAGCCAUCUUAUAUGCUUAGUGCUUGCUGCAGCUCCACCUCAUUACCCCAUCCUUUCCUAUAAGCUUAAAUAGUCUUGAUCUCGCGGGUGUGAGAUUGCUGAGUCCUCGUGACUCACAGAUACUUCCAAAACAGUUGCAGGUGUCGAGGAUACCAGUGCAGGUGACGCAACCGAGCUCAAGUGGGAGCUCAUUGAAGCUCUUGUUAGUUGUGUUGUUUCUUUUCCUGUUGAUCAGUAGUGGAGCCCAGUUCGGACGAUCAGGGAUCUAGCAGUUGGGUUGUCUUCUUUUCUUUUGGCUUUGACCGUAGUCGGUCUAUGUGUGUAUCUUGUAUGAUGUGUGAAUUUAUUAUGUAUUGUGUGAAGUGGCGAUUGUAAGCCAACUCUUUAUCCCUUUCUUGUUCAUUACAUGGGAUUGUGUGAAGAUGACCCUUCUUGUGACAAAACCACAAUGUGGUUAUGCCUCUAAGUCGUGCCUCGACACGUGGGAGAUAUAGCCGCAUCGUGGGCGUUACAAGUUGGUAUCAGAGCCAUCCCCGACUUAGGAUCCCCCUGCUUGAUCGAAUCGCUGACGUUGUUGAGUCUAGAACGAAAAUGUUUUGAGUCUUAGGAUUAUAUAUAUCGGAGAGUAGGAUUCUUUUUACUCCUCAGUCCCUUCGUCGCUCUGGUGAGGCCUCCUGACGUAGAAGUUUUGACUUUUCUCUCCUCAAAUUGCACUAAAAAAAAUUUAGGAUCACGCGGGUAUCUUGGAAUCGUUCCGAUGGUUUUGUGACGAGAACAUUGUUCUUGGUGCCUCCUGACAUUUAGGGGUUGUGGCAGUGUCCCGGGGAGUUGAGCUCCGAGGUGUUGUCGUCACAAUUUUAUCGUUGCAGUUCUGGAAUACCUGAGUUCCGCCGACAUCGAAAUCUCUUUUAUGCAGUUGUUGGCGAGAUCACCUCGACGCCACCCAGUACUGGGGCGGGAGUUCGGGAGUAUUUCCAUAACUCGUAUAACGGAUGCUUUUCGAAGGUUGAGAUAAACGAUUUCUGAAGAUUUCUUGGUUAUGUGUUAACGGAUGGAUACAGCUGGAUCUAGGUAUUGUUAGUUUGGGUGAUAUAUUUUGUGUCCCCUGUAUCCCCAACACCAGAUUGCAUAACCAGAAAGUUUCGGGAGUUUAUAAGUGGGAAUUCAAGUAGCUCCUGGGAUAUCUUUCCGACAGAUGCAUGAUAUGAGAUUGGGGUUCGACGUCUAGUGGUCCGCCUUUCCACGGUUGGUUUAAAGUGGUCUCGUAGUGUCUUAAAGAGUCCUUGGCUAUGCCGACUCGGGGACGCUUCGUAUGUCAUGUGCACUGCCUUGUACAUGAUGGUGCUGUACGAUCGAGCCCGUGUGGGCCCCACCACGAAAACUUCGGACGAAAUAUCUAUCAUAUGUUUGUUCCGGCUUAUUUCCUAAGCCAAUCAUUUGUUUUGUUUUAAGUUGUGGUAUUCGAGUUGCUUCAAUGUCAAGUGUCGAAUCCAUACCUUCCCUAAACGGUUUUCUCAUAUUGCUAGGUGAAUACUAAUCCUUCUUGAUCAUCGAGGUCAUCAUGUUAAUUCUUUUCCAACCGGCGUGUUUCUCUUCAAGUGGAUCCGAUCAUUUUCAACAUUCACAAGAUCACCUCUCAGUUUUUCCCAACGUUGUUUGUUUCAUCCAUCCCAAAUUGUCUUUGUUUUCCCGCCCUCCCACCCUUUUCCUUCAAGGAAGCAGAUGUCUUAACCAAGUAUCCAUUUUAUUCACGUGAAGUCUCUUCAUUGUUUUCCUUCAAUGUUCUCACCCGGUGAUUCUUCAUGAAGAUACUAUCGAAACUUCGAGUUUAUUAUUCUUCGUUCCUUUUUCUUCCCCGGUGAAUUCAAUUCAAGCUUUCAGUGUCGAUCAUAGCCCUUUCCUCCUUUCAAAUGCUUUCUCAUGUUGGUGUACCUUUUAAUCAUCCACUUCUCGCCAUUCAUUUGUUCUGGAGUGCCGAAGAUAUCUCAAAAGAUUCACAUUUCCAUUCCAAAUCCGUUCAAGCUAUUUUGAUGUUGUUAUCUCAUUCAAGCCAUUUAAUUCAACCGGCGCAAUCUUUCUUUUAAUCAUUCAACGGUGUUUCUUUUGAGUGGGCCCUAACCCACAGGUAUUUUUCCAGGAUCCUACCUGACUCUUCUAAUUCUUUCCGGAGUUAUUCUUAAAUUCUUUUCAAAGUUUGACGUAAGAAUUUUCAUCAGUCAUAUGUCUUUCUCCAAGAUCUUUCAAAUUCUUUCAUCAUUGGUUCAACCUUUCUAAUUUUCAUCCCGGAGUAUCUCAACAAUUCAUGGUGGUGUUUCUUGUCAUCAUUCUCAACAUCUGAAGACCGAAGAAGAAUUUCUCCUAAAUCUUGGUCCGUUCUCUUGAAAAUUCAUAGUUCUAGCUUAUGCCGUCCUCUCAUAAUUGUUUUUCGAUUGUGAGAAUUCUUUUCUUACCCAUCCGGAGCAUUUCAUGAGUUGUUUUCAUUUCUUGAUCAUCCAAAGGCCAUCAUUUCAGAAGAUUUCUUCGUUCUAAGUUUUCAGAUUCGUUCUCCAAUUAUUCUAAAAUGUUGUCUCUUUGUUCAUCUCCUUAUUCUCCCGGUGCAUCGUUCAAGUAUCCUCUAGUCAGCUCGUGAUCUAUUCGUUCUCAUGUAUCUAAAUUCCCUCGAGUAUUUUCGCGCGUUCUUUAAUUCUUACGGUGUUUCGUCCUCUUUUCUUUAAUUGUUUUCAAUUCUCGCGGUGGUUCGCUCAAGAUUUUUCUCUUCCUUCGUUAUCAUAUCAAUUUAUUCGUUGUUUCAAUCCUACCGGUGGUUCGAUGAAGACCUUCCCUAGUUUGCGCUAUAUCUAUCUUAAUCCUUUCUACGAGAAUAAGUGGUAUGCCAAAUCCGUUGUUUGUCAUCAAUCUAAAUUCGUGAAGGAUACGCGUAAUGUAAUUCUUAUUCUUGUCUCCUCCAAGUGAGUAAUUCCUUCUUCCGGAGUUCGUUCAUGAUAUCAAAUUCUCGGUUCCAAGUUGUUCAUCUUUUCUUUCCGGAGCUCCAAGUUAUUUCAAUUAUAUCAUUCCAAAGCUUCAUCUAAUCAUUGCAAGGCUUCACCUUGUGUUGUCAACUUCUCUUUCUUUUUAGCAUCCUUUUAUUACCGGAGUUCUUCAUGGAGGCUCUACAUGGUGGUUCAUCAAAGAUUCUUUUUAUUCUUCAAUUGUUCUUCAAGAUUUCUCUUGAAGUUAUGACCUGCCAAGCUUUACUCUAAAACAAACAUGGUGUUCAGGACAUGUUUUGUUUUGAGGAGUUCAAGUAUUCUUCAUCUUGCAUUCCAGAGUGCAAUUCUUUCUAUCUUAUCGUUUGAGAUGGUGAUAUGUCAUUCUUGACAAUUUCUUUUCAUGUUUCAUGAUUCACAAGUUAUCAAGAAUGAGAUAUUUAAACCCACCAUUUUUUCUCUUCGCUCAGGAGAUCUUUCAACACAUCAAUCUCUUUGUUGGAGUUAUCUUGGGUUAUAUUUCACCUAAAGCCUUCCCUAAGGAAUGUUGCUAAUUGUGGUGUCUAUCAAUGAGCCAAGUUUUUCUCCUAUCCUCUCGGCGAGAGAAGUUUUCAUCUCUUCGUUGAUCUCAAGCAAGCAAUUGUUUCCGGUAGUGGCGGGUUGUCACCUCAUAAUUUUGAGAUGUGUUCCAUAAGCCCACCACAAGCUUUUUCUUUUCGUUGUUGGUUUUAACAACUCCGUUCAACCCUACUUCGUAAGGAUGCUCUUAAAAUUCAUUUAUGGUAGGAGAUGUUGGUUUCAUUCUUCGUUCUAUUCACUCCAAUUAUCUAACUAUCAUGCAUUGUUUCCGGAGGCUUUGCGAUGUUGCUCUCUUCGACCAAUCAUCUUGUUUUGUCAAGAUCAUGUAAUUUUUUCCUUUCUUAUCCGUUUAGCCGGAGUGUCGUGUUUUCAUUCGAGUUCUCUCAUCUUAUCAAGUUUUGCCUCCCUUCUCAACCGGAGUGCUGUCUGAAAUAUUUCUUACCCCUUGUGCCAUUCUUUCAUUAGUUCCGGAGAAUAUGUGUUGUUAAUUUCAUCGAGUAUCCUCUCAUCUUGUCAAGAUCACGUUCAAUUCCUUCCAUUUACAGUCGGAGUGCUGCCCAAAUUAUAUCAUUCUUAUUCCUCCUUUAUCUUGUUUUAAUCGGAGUGUUGUGUCGAUCAUUACUCUUUUAACCGGAUUCUCAUCCAAGUGCUUUCAUUUUGCCAAGUUCAUAUUCUAUCUCUUCCAUUUUUCAAACCGGAGUGUUUGUAAUCUCGUUCAUCUUUGUUGUAUUCUUUUCUCAAAAUUGUUUAACCUCUCAAGGUUCUUUGGUUUCACUCGUUUGUCAAAGAAGCAACUUUGUUUUACCUCUUCUCUUCCUCUCCCGUUUUUCUCCGCUGCCAUCCUAAAUCUCGGGACGAGAUCCUCUUGUAGUGGUGGAGUGUUGUAACGCCCCGAGACCGACGCUCCAGAAGCCUUCCAGUUAUUUCAUUGUUGUCGUGUGUUUUAUUUGUUUGUUGCAUUCAUCAUCGCAUCAUUCGCAUUGCAUCGGCACUCUGUUGCCGUCAUUGUUUUCAAACUUGCAUUCGUUCGUAGUUGCCGCGUUCCCCCCCUUGUCUUCGUUGACAUUCCGAGACCAACCGUGUUUUCGGUUCCCUAUUGUCAAACCAACUAACCUCUCUCGUCAGCCCGCGAUCCCCUCCCGCGCGUCCGAAAGUUGUCCCGUACCCGACCCGGUUUGUUGUUACCGUUGGGUCCGGAUCAUCCCCUAACAUCUACAAAACAUCUGCGUUUUCUUAUUUGGACUCCCUACCUAUUAUUUUCUCGAUCGUCCGAUUUUAAUCGGAGGGCCCAAAUAGCCUCUAAUGUAAUCCAUGAGAUAUAUAUUGACCAACCCUAGAAAUUAGGAGCCUUGUCUCAUCAGUCCCAUUCCGCCGCCGCCAGCAUCUCCCACCUCGGGAUCCCUCCAGAUCCACCCUCUCUCCCUCAAUUUCCCGAUCGGGCCAACCACCUCCUUCCCUCGAUCCACCCAAUCCCGCAACCGAGGCCCGAGCUCCUCCCGCUCGAUCCCUCCUCGAGCACCUGCCUCUGCCCGAGCUCCUACCGCAGCUCCCCAUCACCCUCGACCCCGCCUCGUCGGCCGGUCGACAACGGCGACUAGAACAACGCCGGAGAUGAGUGCCCCGACAGCCCUGCUCUUUUUCCCCUCCUGCUUCUCUACCGAUCUUUCUCACGAUCUUCCCCUCCCUCUCUCUGUUUUCGCUCACAGGAGACCACCAUGGCCGCUGCAUCAAGCUCCGUCGUCGUUUCGUGCCGAGGAUGGAUGGAUCCAUGCUCCGCGCGCCUCCUCCCGCAGUCCCGCGCCGCCGCCGUUCCAUCUCCGGCCACCCGAGCCGCCGCAGCUCCGGCCACUCGCCGCCCCUGCCCAUCAAGCCCUGCGCCGUGCUCCUCCCCUGCUGCGAGCCUCGACUCGUGCCCGAACUCCUUCCCGAGCCGGAGCUCCUGCCUCGACCUCACCUCCACCUCGUCGCGCCGGCGACUCGUCACGCCGGACUCCUCCCGCAGCAGCUCCUCCCGAUGCCAUCGCCUACCUCCUCGUCCCCGUGCCCACAGCCGCGGAGCAGAAGCCCAAGCCCCGGCGACCCCUCCUGGACCUGUUGCUGCCGCCGCCUCGCCAGCGUCGCUCGCCUCCCCGGCGCCGCCUUCUGCAUCGCCGUGAAACUGCCGCUGCUUCUGUUGCUUGUUCUUCAGAAGUGAGCAGAGCCACUGCCGCCCAACCCGACACGCCUCCGCCCCUUCUCCGGCCAAGUCCGGUGCCCCAUGGCAGGAUCCGUCGUCGCCUGCUCAUCGGUAGCCGCCGCCGUGCCCGCGACCCCUGCUUCCUGUCGCCAUGGCGCCACUACAGUUCUUCUGUAGUUAGAUGCAGCAGCGCUGCAUCGAGCACACGCCCGCGCCGCUGCGUUGAUUUCGUCUCCCUUCACCAGCUACCAGGCCCAGCGCCCGCUUCUGCCUUGGCCUCUCCACCGACCUGGGCUUGGUCCAUGGUGAGAAACCCCCCAGCGCCCCUUGGUUUUUCUUCUGUUGGGCCUGCUCCGGUUUUAGUUUUGGCCCGUGUAGUUUUUUCCCAGAUCUGCGAUUUUAUGCAUUAUCCGGAGAACAGCAGUUUUACAGAAAACCCCUUGAGUUCAUGCAUAUAAUAACUAAUUAAUCAUGCAUCAGUUUUAAAUAACCUAUAUAUGAAAAGUGCUUAGAAUUUCAUCUAGUUUCAUAAUAUGCCACUUUCAUCCCAUGUUAAAAUGUUUAAAAAUGUUGUUUGUUUAUUCUAUUCAAAUGCCAUGUUAAAAUGAUUUAUUUCACAACUAAUUAACCAUAACUCGGAAUUUAAUAAACUUUAUAUGUAAAUGGGGUAGAAAAAUGCACAGAUUAACAUGGUGCACUUCAUUUUGCUGUUUAACAAAAUUAAAAAUGUGUUUAUGGCAGAACAGUAGCAAAUCUAAAAUAUGCACAUGAGGAUUUUCCGGAAUUGUUGUUGGUUGUCUCCGGCCUCAUUUAAACUUGCCUAAAUAGUUAGUUUCCAUAUGCUUCUCCUCUUGCCAUGGUUAAUAACAUUUAAUAAUGUUGGGUACAUAAAUGAGAGAGAACUAAAUAAUUGAUGUGGUGUUUCGUCAAUAUGUAACUUGUUGCAUAUUGAGCUCCACUUAAUUUGUAGUGUUGUUUGUUGCACUUUGCCAUGCCAUGCCUCAUUAAACCGGACAUGCAUCAUAUUUGUUUUUGCAUCAUGCCAUGUGUAUGUGGUGGUUGUUUACUAUGUUGUUUGUUUCUUUCCGGUUGCUUCUCUCGUUAGCUUUGGUUUCGUUCCGGAGUUGUGAGGAUUCGUUCGACUACAUCCGUUUGUCUUCUUCAUGGACUCGUUCUUCUUCCUUGCGGGAUCUCAGGCAAGAUGACCAUACCCUCGAAAUCACUUCUAUCUUUGCUUGCUAGUUGUUCGCUCUAUUGCUAUGCAGCGCUACCUACCACUUGCUCUUCAAGCCUCCCAAAUUGCCAUGAACCUCUAACCUUUGUCACCCUUCCUAGCAAACCGUUGUUUGGCUAUGUUACCGCUUUGCUCAGCCCCUCUUAUAGCGUUGCUAGCUGCAGGUGAAGAUGAAGAUUGCUCCAUUUUGGAUUAUGUUUAUGUUGGGAUAUCACAAUAUCUCUUAUAUUAUUAAUGCAUAUAUAUAUUUGGUAAAGGGUGGAAGGCUCGGCCUUAUGCCUGGUGUUUUGUUCCACUCUUGCCGCCCUAGUUUCCGUCAUACCGGUGUUAUGUUCCUUGAUUUUACGUUCCUAACGCGGUUGGGUGAUUUAUGGGACCCCCUUGAUAGUUCGCUUUGAAUAAAACUCUUCCAGCAAGGCCCAACCUUGGUUUUACAUUUGCCGCACCUAGCCUUUUUCCCUUGGGAGUCACGCUCUCGAGGGUCAUCUUUAUUUACCCCCCCCCCCCCCGGGCCAGUGCUCCUUCGAGUGUUGGUCCAACCUGUCAGUCGCCGGGGGCCACCAGGGACAACUCUGGUCUGGCCUACCGGAAGCUUGGACAAUCCGGUGUGCCCUGAGAACGAGAUAUGUGCAGCUCCUAUCGGGAUGUGUCGGCACAUUCGGGCGGCUUUGCUGGUUUUGUUUUACCAUCGUCGAAAUGUCUUGUAACCGGGAUUCCGAGACUGAUCGGGUCUUCCCGGGAGAAGGAAUAUCCUUCGUUGACUGUGAGAGCUUAUAAUGGGCUAAGUUGGGACACCCCUGCAGGGUAUUAUCUUUCGAAAGCCGUGCCCGUGGUUAUGUGGCAGAUGGGAAUUUGUUAAUAUCCGGUUGUAGAGAACUUGACACUUGACCGUAAUUAAAACGCAUCAACCGCGUGUGUAGCCGUGAUGGUCUCUUCUCGGCGGAGUCCGGGAAGUGAACACGGUUUCUGGGUUAUGUUUGACGUAAGUAGGAGUUCAUAUCACUUCUUGAUCAUUACUAGUUGACGACCGUUCCGUUGCCUCUCUUCUCGCUCUCAUUUGCGUAUGUUAGCCACCUUAUAUGCUUAGUGCUUGCUGCAGCUCCACCUCAUUACCCCAUCCUUUCCUAUAAGCUUAAAUAGUCUUGAUCUCGCGGGUGUGAGAUUGCUGAGUCCUCGUGACUCACAGAUACUUCCAAAACAGUUGCAAGUGUCGAGGAUACCAGUGCAGGUGACGCAACCGAGCUCAAGUGGGAGCUCGUUGAAGCUCUUGUUAGUUGUGUUGUUUCUUUUCCUGUUGAUCAGUAGUGGAGCCCAGUUCGGACGAUCAGGGAUCUAGCAGUUGGGUUGUCUUCUUUUCUUUUGGCUCUGACCGUAGUCGGUCUAUGUGUGUAUCUUGUAUGAUGUAUGAAUUUAUUAUGUAUUGUGUGAAGUGGCGAUUGUAAGCCAACUCUUUAUCCCUUUCUUGUUUAUUACAUGGGAUUGUGUGAAGAUGACCCUUCUUGCGACAAAACCACAAUGCGGUUAUGCCUCUAAGUCGUGCCUCGACACGUGGGAGAUAUAGCCGCAUCGUGGGUGUUACACCCCGUAUAUAAAGGAGCAAGGGGGAAGGCCGCCGGCCUAGGAGGAGGGCGCGCCAAGGGGGGAGUCCUACUCCCACCGGGAGUAGGACUCCUCCUUUCCUUGUUGGAGUAGGAGAAGGGAAGGGAGAAGGAGAAGGAAGGAAGGGGGCGCCCCCCCUCCUUUUCUUGAUUUCUACCUUCGUCGAUUUCAGCAUCGCGAAGAGCUUGGGAAUUACUUUCGUCAUCCCUUACAUACUAUAGUUCAUCAUGAAGUUCUACUAACUUGGUGAUGGUGACUAGAAAAUUCUGUCAAUUACUAUUUUAUCUGGAAGAUUAACUCCCACUUGAUUCAAGCGAUUGUAGUACCCAGACAAUCUGAGCACAUGCUCACUGCUUGAGCUAUUCUCCUCCAUCUUUUAGCUAUAGAACUUGUUGGAGACUUCAUAUCUCUCAACUCGGGUAUUUGCUUGAAAUACUAACCUCAACUCCUGAAACAUCUCAUAUGGUCCAUGACGUUCAAAACGUCUUUGAAGUCCCGAUUCUGAGCCGUUAAGCAUGGUGCACUAAACUUAUCAAGUAGUCAUCAUAUUGAGCUAGCCAAAUGUUCAUAUCGUCUGCAUCUGCUCCUGCAAUAGGUCUGUCACCUAGCGGUGCAUCAAGGACAUAAUUUUUCUGUGCAGCAAUGAGGAUAAUCCUCAGAUCACGGAUCCAAUCCGCAUCUUUGCUACUAACAUCUUUCAACAUAAUUUUCUCUAGGAACAUAUCAAAAAUAAACAUAGGGAAGCAACAACGCGAGCUAUUGAUCUACAACAUAAUUUGCAAAAAUACUAUCAGGACUAAGUUCAUGAUAAAUUUAAGUUUAAUUAAUCAUAUUACUUAAGAACUCCCACUUAGAUAGACAUCCCCCUAAUCAUCUAAGUGAUUACGUGAUCCAAAUCAACUAAACCAUAACCGAUCAUCACGUGAAAUGGAGUAGUUUUCAAUGGUGAACAUCACUAUGUUGAUCAUAUCUACUAUAUAAUUCACGCUCAACCUUUCGGUCUCAGUGUUCCGAGGCCAUAUCUGCAUAUGCUAGGCUCGUCAAGUUUAACCUGAGUAUUCUGCGUGUGCAAAACUGGCUUGCACCCGUUGUAGAUGGACGUAGAGCUUAUCACACCCGAUCAUCACGUGGUGUCUGGGCACGACGAACUUUGGCAACGGUGCAUACUCAGGGAGAACACUUUUAUCUUGAAAUUUUAGUGAGAGAUCAUCUUAUAAUGCUACCGUCAAUCAAAGCAAGAUAAGAUGCAUAAAAGAUAAACAUCACAUGCAAUCAAUAUAAGUGAUAUGAUAUGGCCAUCAUCAUCUUGUGCUUGUGAUCUCCAUCUCCGAAGCACCUUCAUGAUCACCAUCGUCACCGGCGCGACACCUUGAUCUCCAUCGUAGCAUCGUUGUCGUCUCGCCAACUAUUGCUUUUAUGACUAUCGCUACCGCUUAGUGAUAAAGUAAAACAAUUACAUGGCGAUUGCAUUGCAUACAAUAAAGCGACAACCAUAUGGCUCCUGCCAGUUGCCGAUAACUCGGUUACAAAACAUGAUCAUCUCAUACAAUAAAAUAUAUCAUCAUGUCUUGACCAUAUCACAUCACAACAUGCCCUGCAAAAACAAGUUAGACGUCCUCUACUUUGUUGUUGCAAGUUUUACGUGGCUGCUACGGGCUUAGCAAGAACCGUUCUUACCUACGCAUCAAAACCACAACAAUAGUUUGUCAAGUUAGUGCUGUUUUAACCUUCGCAAGGACCGGGUGUAGCCACACUCGGUUCAACUAAAGUGAGAGAGACAGACACCCGCCAGUCACCUUUAAGCAACGAGUGCUCGCAACGGUGAAACCAGUCUCGCGUAAGCGUACGCGUAAUGUCGGUCCGGGCCGCUUCAUCUCACAAUACCGCUGAACCAAAAUAUGACAUGCUGGUAAGCAGUAUGACUUAUAUCGCCCACAACUCACUUCUGUUCUACUCGUGCAUAUAACAUCAACGCAUAAAACCUGGCUCGGAUGCCACUGUUGGGGAACGUAGUAAUUUCAAAAUUUUCUACGCACACGCAAGAUCAUGGUGAUGCAUAGCAACGAGAGGGGAGAGUCUUGUCCACGUACCCUCGUAGACCGAAAGCGGAAGCGUUAACACAAUGCGCUUGAUGUAGUCGUAUGUCUUCACGAUCCAACCGAUCAAGUACCGAACGCACGGCACCUCCGAGUUCAGCACACGUUCAGCUCGAUGACAUCCCUCGAACACCGAUCCAGCCGAGUGUUGAGGGAGAGUUUCGUCAGCACGAUGGCGUGGUGACAAUGAUGAUGUUCUACCGACGCAGGCCUUCGCCUAAGCACUGCUACGAUAUUAUCGAGGUGUAAUAUUGUGGAGGGGGGCACCGCACACGGCUAAGAGAUCAAUGAUCAAUUGUGUGUCUAUGGGGUGCCCCCCUGCCCCCGUAUAUAAAGGAGCAAGGGGGAAGGCCGCCGGCCUAGGAGGAGGGCGCGCCAAGGGGGGAGUCCUACUCCCACCGGGAGUAGGACUCCUCCUUUCCUUGUUGGAGUAGGAGAAGGGAAGGGAGAAGGAGAAGGAAGGAAGGGGGCGCCCCCCCCCCUCCCUAGUCCAAAUCGGACUAGUCCAUGGGGAGGGGUGCGGCCACCCUUUGGGGCCUUUCUCUCCUUUCCCGUAUGGCCCAUUAAGGCCCAAUACGAAUUCCCGUAACUCUCCGGUACUCCGAAAAAUACCCGAAUCACUCGAAACCUUUCCGAUGUCCGAAUAUAGUCGUCCAAUAUAUCGAUCUUUACGUCUCGACCAUUUCGAGACUCCUCGUCACGUCCCCGAUCUCAUCCGGGACUCCGAACUCCUUCGGUACAUAAAAACUCAUAAACUCAUAAUAAAACUGUCAUCGUAACGUUCAGCGUGCGGACCCUACGGGUUCGAGAACUAUGUAGACAUGACCAAGACACGUCUCCGGUCAAUAACCAAUAGCGGGACCUAGAUGCCCAUAUUGGCUCCCACAUAUUCUACGAAGAUCUUUAUCGGUCAAACCGCAUAACAACAUACGUUGUUCCCUUUGUCAUCGGUAUGUUACUUGCCCGAGAUUCGAUCGUCGGUAUCUUAAUACCUAGUUCAAUCUCGUUACCGGCAAGUCUUUACUCGUUCCGUAAUACAUCAUCUUGCAACAAACUCAUUAGUUGCAAUGCUUGCAAGGCUUAAGUGAUGUGUAUUAACGAGAGGGCCCAGAGAUACCUCUCUGACAAUCGGAGUGACAAAUCCUAAUCUCGAAAUAUGCCAACCCAACAAGUACCUUUGGAGACACCUGUAGAGCACCUUUAUAAUCACCCAGUUACGUUGUGACGUUUGGUAGCACACAAAGUGUUCCUCCGGUAAACGGGAGUUGCAUAAUCUCAUAGUCAUAGGAACAUGUAUAAGUCAUGAAGAAAGCAAUAGCAACAUACUAAACGAUCGAGUGCUAAGCUAACGGAAUGGGUCAAGUCAAUCACAUCAUUCUCCUAAUGAUAUGAUCCCGUUAAUCAAAUGACAACUCAUGUCUAUGGCUAGGAAACAUAACCAUCUUUGAUCAACGAGCUAGUCAAGUAGAGGCAUACUAGUGACACUCUGUUUGUCUAUGUAUUCACACAUGUAUCAUGUUUUCGGUUAAUACAAUUCUAGCAUGAAUAAUAAACAUUUAUCAUGAUAUAAGGAAAUAAAUAAUAACUUUAUUAUUGCCUCUAGGGCAUAUUUCCUUCAAGAACAAGGUAGCAAUCGAAGUCUACUAAGAAGUUCCAAGCCGCCUGCUCAGCAGCCGACUCGGAACUCGGGGACUACACCCAGUGGGUGCGCUGACGCGCCCCCACGGAAGAAAUCAAGAUCAAGAAACAAAAAAGCGGGAAGACUCACCCGAAUGGCCAUCCGUGUCGCGAGGAACUCUUGAUUGUACUGCCUCAGCACGGCGGCCUGGGACUGAAGCCGGUUCCGGACUUCUUGCACCGCCACGUUCACCACGGCCGUCCCACCACCCGGCGUCCACCCCGAGCUGGUGCUGGCCGUCUCCAGAUCCUGGGCCAACGAGCUAGAGCCCGCGGCCUUCUGCGGGUCCGGCGCCGAACUCGCCUUCCCCGCGCGCUGGCGUGAUGGCGACCGGACCACCAGGUCUGUCCUCGCAGCCGGCUCGCCUCCAGCCUGUUGCACGGGCGGCGCGUUAGGCCGGCUGCCUUGGUCCGCCCCAGUCGGCGAUGGAGGUGCUGCCUCCCCUCCCGGACGACGACGUCGUCCUCCUCCCUCUCCAUCCCCGUCAGGUCGCCACCGGCUUCCUCCGGCGGGGACUCCGGGAUCUCGGGCGCCACGGCGCGCAGGGGGACGACAAGCAGGGCCUUCACCGCCCUCUCCGUGGCUGCAGCCUCCGCCUGGGUCUUGGCCGCCGCAUAGGCUUGUGCCGCCGCCGACUCCUCCACCAGAUCCUGCGUCGCCUUGGCAGCGGCCGCCCUCAGCUCCUCUGCCUCCCGCUCCUCCCGCGUAUUCCGCUCCGUCGCCGCUUGAAGCUCGGCACGGGGGUCCACGCGGCGGGUGCUUGCGGAUCCUCCCGCCGAUCCAACCACGGAGGCGGCAGCGGUCUGCUCAAGAGAGAGCGGAGCCCUGUUUGACAAGUCAAGACAAGGACUCAGAAGAUAUCAACGAAAAAGAAGAAAGAAUACGCAAGAAAAUCGACACUUACGCCGAAACCAUUUGUGGCUGCUUCACCACCUUGCGGAAGCGGGCAGCCUUCGCGGCUGCCUCGUCCCGCUUGGUUGCUGCUGCCGUGCUCUUGGGCUUCUUCGGCCGACUGCCGAAUAGGCCCGGCGCUGCACGGCGCUUCUGCGCCGCCUCGGGCAGCUGGCGCGGUAGACGAGCCCGCGCCAUGACCGGACGCCGGCUGGCGGCGCGGGACGAUUUCCGCCUCGUCAUCAUCCGGCCAGUCGUCGAAGCUGGCUCCAAGCCCGAAGCCGCCUGCCUCACCGCCUCCCCCCUCAGUGUUGUCGUCCAUAGCGGCCGCCCCAAAGUCGGGGUCGUCCAAGUCGUGCAUCGCCCGGUCGGGAAGAAAUUCGCGCUCCGCCCCCGCUGCCCCGGCCGCCGGUCGAAGGAGGGGGCUCUGCCAAGACAAACCGACUGGUCAGAGUCGGCCAAGAGAAACUUGGUGAUAAAAGUAAAGAAGAGAAGAUAAAGAAAGCUUACCAUAGGCGGGGGAUGGGCACGGGAGUACGGCUCCUUGCCAAACUGCCACUCGUCGGUGAGCUUGCAGUUCGCGAGGUAAUUCACCAUGAGAGCUACCUCGGCGUGAGGCAUCUCCUUGGUGCACAUCCGACUCGGAUCGAGUUGGCCGCUCAUUUGACAGAUCAUAUGAGGGCGGCCUUGGAGCGGGAGCAUCCGGCGCACCACGAAGGCGGCCAGCAGGUCAGACCCGGUCAGGCCCUCCGACUGGACCAUUACCCGGAGUCGCGCGACGGCGGGGGCUCCAGCAGGCGACAGCGUUCUGGCCUGAUAGGACCACUGGGGCCACCUCCCAGCCGGCGGGCCAGCUACAUAAGCCGGCAAGUUGACGAAGUCGCCUUGCGAGGCGACGUUCUUCACGUAGAAGUAGGAUUUCUGCUAGAGCUUCACCGACUGGAUCAGCGUGAUGGCAGGAAAGGGGUUGUCGGCCACCGGCCUCCGCACCGCGAUGAAGGCGCCGCUCUGAGCCGGCACGCCCUGCAUGGCAGUGCCGAGCUUGGACUGGAAGAAUUUCCCCCAGAGCUCGAGGAUGGGAAGGACGCCAAGGAAGCCCUCGCACAAAGUGACGAAGGCAGACAGCAGCACCACCAUGUUUGGAGUGAGGUGGUGCGGCUGGAGCUGGUAGAAUUCGAGGAAGGAGCGGAAGAAGGCACUCGCAGGCAGGCCUAGGCCGCGCAGGAAGUGCGAGCGGAAGAUUACCCGCUCGCUCUCCUCCGGCGCCGGUGAGAUCUCCUUCUUCGGCGCAAGACGGACCCGCACAUGGUCCUUGCCGGGCAACCGCCGCGUCUUGCGGAGGAAGUCGAUGUGGUCCGCGUGGACGUUGGAGCCGUCCCAGUCUCCGUCGCGCAACAUGACGGCAAGAAGCUGAUGAGAAAGGGCGCGUCGACAGCGAAAACACGGCCCCGCGGCGGCGAAGCUGCGGGGUAGUGCGAAGACUAGAGGGACGGCGCGGCGGCGAGGGGUUGCGGCGAUGGAGAAGAAGAAGAUGAUGAUGGCGGAGCGAGGGUGAGCGUGCGAGCGUCUGCUGCUCCCCCUCCUCCCCCUAUUUAUAGCCUCGUGCGGCGAAGCCGAGGAGGCAAGGCGUGGGGGGAGUGGGAUUAACUGCGCCCACUCCCCACGUCCCGCGAUUAUUGCGCCCUAACGGCAUGCGGAAACUGCCGUUGGAAGGCGAGCGGCCCGUUUUGGGCCACAGAAGAUCCACACCUAGGCCUAGGCGUGGAAGUGGUGGGCCCCGGCCUGCAGCGGCGUCCCGUCAUGCGCGUGGGCUGGCAGGCCCUUCCAGCCGGAGGGUGCCACGUGGCGCGCGGGCAGCAAGCGGCCGGCCCGUAACCCGGCGUGCGCGCCGGCUGGCUCCCGCCUUCAGUCUUCAAACCCUCACCAAGACGGCGUACCUGAUCAAAGCCGGCUCCUAGCUGCUGGCUCUUCAAGAUAGGAAGCUGAUUGAGCUUCUCGUCCUCCUUUCAGCCUCGAAGCCCGACCAGCUUUGGGGACUACUGUCGGAGUAAAUGGCCACGGGUAGCUUAACUGACUCCCCCUGGCUCUUCAAAAAUUAUCAGGCCGAUCGAGCCUUCCAGCACCCAAAGCACAGGGCCGCCUUCCCCUGGCUGGCUAUCUCACAGGCCGACUACUGGAAGGCGACCCGGCCCUAAAGACCCUCCCAAAGAGAGCCACAAGAUGGCCGACUCCAAGAAGCCGACCACAAGAGGACCGACUCCCAGAAGCCGGCCAAGACUGCACCCUCAAGGGCUGCACCCACAUAACGGUGACGAGACGGGGCGUGGCUACAGUACAGCCUGCCACCCCCGAAUCCCGGAGCACGCGUGGCCACAGUGCGCCGUACAGGUCGGGCAUCCCCCGUCCGGCGCGGCACUGUUGCCAUGUUGACCAUGACGCCACCCACGACAGGUUGUCAGUACGGCCCGCGGGCGGCAGGCCCCUUCAGCCAGAGAGAUGCUCGAACACGGCCAAGCCUCCCCCAGUCGGCCUGGGGCAUAGUCGGCUCCCAACAGCCAGCUACCUCCCUCCCUCAAAGUAUGUGCAUCAUUAAGGAGAUAAGACGAGGUACGGCUACAGUGAGAGCCCGCCAGGCGGCGGCACUGUAGCCAUGCUUACCUCGACAAAGCCCUCAUCAUCAGGGGCGAGGCUACAGUAACCAGCCACCUACAAGACCCCCAGGCGGUGGGGCCGGCCUGUCGGCCAAGAGGCCGGCAGCCGGCGGGACCCACCAGUCGGCGGGCCCCAGCGGCCGGCGGAGAAGCCGGCGAAUACAGACACUGACGGCUAGGACCCGCGUCCAGCCGGAUUACCAUUGUACCCCUGGGGGUAGGCCUAUAUAAACCCCCCGGGGCACCCAUGCAAAGGGUUAAUCUCUUAGAGUUUUAGACACCACAUAGAGAGAAGAGGAGAGCUAGCCUUGCCCUUCCUCCUCCUCUAGCCAAACAGCUCAAGGAGCCACUUGUAGCUACUUGUGUUGAUCUAGUGAUCAUGUAGAGACCCCGCAGAGCAGGAUUAGGGGUGUUAUCUCCACGGAGAGCCCCGAACCUGGGUAAGAUCCGUCGGCGUGCAUGUCUUCGCCUUAUCCCGUUUCCAAGCAUCGGCGAUGUCUUACUGGCUCCCACAAUGAUAAGCCACCCGUUGGCACAUGUCGCACCUACCACCCGACAUCUGUUUUUUUAUAAGAGUAGAGUAGAGAUAGAGAUAGAGACUACUACUACCAAUGUGUUGGCCCGUUCGUUGCAAUGGAUCCAAAGUAGUAGAAUAAUACUUGUUCACGGGCUUGAAAUAUAAACACUCUAGUUUUGAUAUACAUAUAUCAGUAAAAGUAAAUCAUGCUUCACUCAAAAUAUAUUCCUCGGGAUCUUUUGAUGGUUUGAAGAUAACAGGUUUUAAAAAAAUUGGAGCUGUUUUUUUUACAUUUUGUAGCGUGGCACGGCAUCCGGUGCACCUAAGCAUCUGGAAAAAAAUUGAGUUUGGGUCGGUGGCACACCCUGCGGCAAGAUGCCCGUGUGGGCUUCUUCUAUAACUAACAAGAUGCCCGUGCAUUGCAGGGAACAUCAAGAUGCAUUUUUUUACAGAACACCUGUUGUGAUUGACCCUUGCAGGAAUAAUCCCAUGUGUAAAAACUAAUGAUAUCUCGAUAAUUUUAUCGGAAAAAUGGUAUCUUUGGAACAAGUUUUCUCUACUACUGCUCCUUGCACUGAGCGGUAUGCAAUGCAUGUGUCAGCAGACAUGAUAGCUUGUCCAUGGAAGUUGAACCACGGCGACCAUCACGUUUCUUGUUUCUACCACUGCCACACCCACACGCGAUUCCCACGACGCCGCUCCAACCCACGGCACGACGUCCCCCGAUGUGCGCCUCAUCCCUCUCGGCCCCACCGCUCCUUUGCCUUUGUGUGCAUGACAUGCGGGCCAGCUGAACUGCGGUGACCAUCAACUUUCUACCACAGCCACACCCGAUUGGACGCGGUUUGCCUGGUCCGAUCCGUACUCCCGCACCAUCGAAUUUUCAUCCAGCGGUUGUGACACAUUUCGUCCCGGGCAUCAAUCCUCGGCUGGAGUACUAGUACCCGCCGGUGUGGCCAUCUACGCCUCGUAACGCCUCGACGCCCAACUGUGGCACCCUCGCCACGGCCACGCCACCACCGGCCGGUUCAUCUCGAACGAGUGAGUCGUGAACCACGCCGCCACCAUGAGAAUGACAUGUGGGCUAGCCGCAUUUAAGGUCCGCAUGUCAUUGACUCAUAGGCCAGUGCACUAAGCCACUGAAGCUCGGUCCCGUGGGCCCCGAGAGGGAAAUGUAACUCCUGCGGUAGGCCUUGUGGUGCUCCCGCAGUACGAGCUCGUGCCAAACCCGGAUGAGAUUUGGUAACCAACUAGUAAGCUACAUGUGCAUUGCACGCACGAGAUUUGGUAACCAAAUCUCUACUUUCUAUAUCUAUAUCUAUACUCUUAUAAAAAAUAGAGUUGGUGAUGAUGGUGUGCCUGCCAUCCUGCAAUAUAGGCCAUCCGAUUUAUAUCUUACCUAUAGGAAGGAAACUAUGGCAAUUUUGCAAAAAGAUACCCACACCCCUCUCCACAUUUGCAAAUAAGGCCUUCUCUUGUUCAUCCUUUUCUCCCACAACAUAAACUACUCAUACAAAUGCAUCUUGAUUUUCCGUGCAACGCAUGGGCAUCUUGCUAGUUAUGAAUAAAUAACACUCUAUCAAUGAGCCCCAUCAGACACCAAAUUUCUUGCCUUCCGUGCUACAGGUAGAUCUUCCCCUCAUUUCUGUUUUCCAACCUGGCGGCGGGCGGGGUGCGGUUUGCCAAUAGUCAGUUUGCUCAACGGCGGUCCCACAUGAAAGUGAAAAUGCUAGGCAACACGCCUUCCCUAGCUAUGUGGUGUGUCGGACGGGCAGUGGAGUACUCCCGAUUCCCGAGCAUGUGGGGGUGCGCCGCAAAUGAGGCAGGCCUUUUCCUUUUACUGGCAAUGUGCCCGUGCGUUGCGACGGAUCCAAAGUAGUAUAAUAGUAGUACUUGUUCACAAACUUGAAAUAAAUCACUCUUGUUCUGAUAUACUCCUAAUAUAUUACUUUUCACUCAAAAUAUAUUUCUUAGGCUGUUAUGAUGAGGUGAGGGAGGGAUGUCGUUGCUUUCAAGAUAAUAAGGGGUUUUCUGCAAAUUGGAGCAGAGAAGUGGGCUAUUGUUGCAAAAAUGCCACAACUUACCUCACAGCCAUUAGAUGCAGAUCUAAUGGUCAGAAACGACGAAUAGCAGACACACCACCAUCACCAACUGAGUCUUUUAUAGGAGUAGGAGUAGAGAAAAUGUAUAAAUUGUAACAUUUGGUUCUGCUCCUUGGCACGGUCGAUAGAUAGAAAUAACGGUUGGAAACGCUAGGGUGGGGCUAUUUCCGCCAGAUAAGCAGGGUACGUAGUAGCUAGGUUGGCGCAUCAUCGGUUUGGUCACAUGCGGUCCGACAUGUUCUAGUGUUUCUAGCAAGAUGCCCGUGCGUUGCACGAAGUUGAUGGAAAAGGUAAGCGCAACUUAUAAAUUGACGGAUGGAGUACUAGUUAUAGUGAUGCAUAUAAUUAAGCAAAGGGAUUGCACAUGUCAGUAUUGACCAGAACGAGAAUGCAAUAGCACAAUAAGAAUUAAGGCCGCGAUGAUGCGAUCGCAGUGGUGGUUACAGGAGGCAAGAAGAAAGAUGCAUCCAUCAAUGUACGACCUCCUCCUCCUCAACUUAGUGCGCCAGGCCACCGACCGGUGGCUAAGGAGCGGCGGAUUUUGUGGCGAGGUCAAGGUGCUUCUCAGCAAAGGCUUCCAAGGCUUCCAGCCGGUUGAGGAAGGCCAACGUCGUAGCAUCCUCAAUGGCCUUGUAGAUACCUAUGUACACGAUUUGCUCGUACAUGUGGAUGUGUAGGUCGACGAAUUCUUGCAGGGUGAGGCGCCUCACGGCGAGUGAGGGAGUCCUGGAUUAGGGGGUCCUCGGACAGCCGGACUAUAUACUUUUGCCGGACUGUUGGACUAUGAAGAUACAAGAUUGAAGACUUCGUCCCGUGUCCGGAUGGGACUCUCCUUUGCAUGGAAGGCAAGCUUGGCAAUUCGGAUAUGUAGAUCUCCUCCCUUGUAACCGACUCUGUGUAACCCUAACCCCCUCCAGUGUCUAUAUAAACCGGAGGGUUUAGUCCGUAGGACAAGAACAAUCAUAAUCAUAGGCUAGCUUCUAGUGUUUAGCCUCUACGAUCUCGUGUUAGAUCAACUCUUGUAAUACUCAUAUCAUCAAGAUCAAUCAAGCAGGAAGUAGGGUAUUACCUCCAUCGAGAGGGCCUGAACCUGGGUAAACAUUGUGUCCCCCGCCUCCUGUUACCAUCCGCUUUAGAUGCACAGUUCGGGACCCCAUACCCGAGAUCCGCCGGUUUAGACACCGACAGCGAGCGCGACCUCCAGGUGGACAUUCUUCGUGGCGUCGGCGGGCAGUCACAUGGCCACCAGUGCUUGAAAGAGGUUCCGGCCAUGGAGGCCGAUUAGGGUGGCAUGCAAUGAGGAGCCCGGGUGUCGGUGUCAAAACCGGCGGAUCUCGGGUAGGGGGUCCCGAACUGUGCGUCUAAGGCUAAUGGUAACAGGAGGCGGGGGACACAAUGUUUACCCAGGUUCAGGCCCUCUCGAUGGAGGUAAUACCCUACUUCCUGCUUGAUUGAUCUUGAUGAUAUGAGUAUUACAAGAGUUGAUCUACCACGAGAUCGUAGAGGCUAAACCCUAGAAGCUAGCCUAUGAUUAUGAUUGUGAUUGUUAUUAUUGUCCUACGGACUAAACCCUCCGGUUUAUAUAGACACCGGAGGGGGCUAGGGUUACACGGAGUCGGUUAUAGAGAAGGAGAUCUACAUAUUCGAAUCGCCAAGCUUGCCUUCCACGCAAAGGAGAGUCCCACCCGGACACGGGAUGAAGUCUUCAAUCUUGUAUCUUCAUAGUCCAACAGUCCGGCCAAAGUAUAUAGUCCGGCUGUCUGAGGACCCCCUAAUCCAGGACUCCCUCAGUAGCCCCUGAACUAGGCUACAAUGACGAUGAGUCCGGCGCGCAGAUUGUCUUCGGCAUUGCAAGGCGGGUUCUUCUCCAAAUCCCGAGUACCUGUCGUAACGAGUAGUGUCCGCCUUCCCAUGAAUGUUGCACUCCUCGGCUUCUGUGCAUUAAUAAUGGCUAUCUCCACGUGUCGAGCGAAUGCGAGAAGUCGGGGCAUUUUUACAUUUACCACCCUAACCAUGUAAGUAAACCGUCUAUUUAAAGAGACGGGGAUCCUCAGAUCCAGAUCACACCAUCCUCCCAUAGCGAGUAUCCCCCAGAGCGCGCCCGGAAAGGACCAUCCCAUCAUGGCCGGCCAUCGCAGCUCCUCCUCUCGCCCCCAUAGCGCUAAGCCAGGCAACUGGGAGAAAUGUUCCAUCCCCCAUAGCCAAUUAGUAGAGUUGCAGACCUAGGGGUUUCUCCCUCCUGCGUAUAUGGUCCCCGUCCGAGCUAGACUAGCCACUUAUAAUGGCGGGGCGCAAGCGGAGAGCUUUCCCAACCCAUCCAGGGGGGAGCGGGUAUGCCUUGUCCCUUACUUAUUGAGGGGACUCGGAUUUCCAAUCCAUCCGUUCCUCCGCGGGCUCCUGGAGUUCUAUGGCCUCCAGCUGCAUAACUUUACUCCCGCCUCCAUAUUACACAUCGUCGGCUACGUCGCCUUUUGCAAGCUGUUUCUGGGCUGCAAAGCUCAUUUCGAGCUAUGGAAGAGGCUAUUCUGCCUCGUACCCCGUACACAGGAGGGGUCAAUAUAUCAAGUGGGCGGAGCCGAAAUAUGGCGCAUCACCGGGACCGGAUACCUGUCCGGUACUCCGAAGAAGAUGUCCGAAGACUGGCCUUCGGAGUGGUUUUAUAUGGAGGACGUCCCCCUUCCAGACCCUAUUCGGAUGGGCCUUCCUGAGUUUGAUAAUGCCCCUUUGAAGAAACGCCACAGCUGGCGCCCUCGGAGCCCCCACGAGGAAGAUAACAGAGAGGUCCUUUACCUGAUGGGCAGGAUAAAAAUGUUGGCCAAGUCAGGACUGACAAUAGUCGAGGUUAUGUCAAUAUGUAUAAUGCGGGGGGUGCAGCCACUUCAAUAUCGGGGGAAACCCAUGUGGCACUUCAAUGGAGAAGACGAUGCCACCCGCUGCGGCCGUAAAGGUCCGGACUCCGCCGCUGCUUUAGCGAAAAUACUGUCUGAUUUGUACAAAGGAGAGGAAGAGGAGUUCAUCCGCAUUAAGGCAUGGGAUGGAUUCUCCAUGUACAACCCCCCAAACUGGGUGAGCUGCUACCUUUUACUCCAGACCUUCCCGCAUUCUUCAUCAUAAAUAUUUACCUUGCUAUUUCAUAGCAGGAACUGUGAAAAGCUGUGAGGGAGGUCCACAGCCCAUCUCCACAACCAGAGGACACUGACCAGGCCCUCGACCCCGGACUAGAAGAAGAUCCGGACAUAUUCGUGGAGCUCGUCGACGGGACGUUCUAUCAGUUAAGUUGCGAUGGUGCCUUGGUGGCCAUCAGAGCCGAUUAUCCUGGCUGCUCCCUGCAUCGCAUGUAAGAAAAACCGGAGUCCCAACUUCCGAGAAGGAUCCCUUCUUUGCACUUUACCCACCGCACACGUAUUGCGUCUUACAGGGAAGGCCCUCGGGGCGCCAUGCUGAACCCGCGGUGACUCAUCAACAAGGGGCACCAAAGCCGGGCAGGCUUAAAAGGAAGGUGGUCAGGACUGAGACGCCGUCGCAGAGGUAUGAAAAAACCCUGCUUCGUGGUUGUCGUCUAAAAAUGUAAUAACGUCGAUGGUUCUUGGCAGAAAAAACGCUCGCCGGACUAUGCCCGGAGAGCCUGCCGGCCACGCCUCCACCAGCCAGACUCUAGAACCGGACUUAGGGGUAGAUGCUAACGUGGGGAAAACACCGGAUAUUCCUCCUACAGGAUGCGGAUAGGCUGUCCGCUACGAAUUCCAAAGUGGAGAGCGCCAUGAAUCACAGGCGUCGCCGGGCCGUACUCCACGACCCUAGUUUCUCCGAAGAGGCGUUUGACGCCUUCAACUCAGGAGACGUGUACAUCCGAGUUGCUCAAAAUGGCCUAGCCAGAGCGACGGACCAGUAUGUAAAGGAUAUACGGGUAAGAAAAUCUGAUAAUUAUUUAUACCAGUAGCCCCUGAGACUUGAAACAGUUGGCACAACUGAUUUAAGGAUCAUUAUAUGCAUAGGUUCUUAUGGACAAGAAUACCCAGUUGUCUCAAGAGCUGGAGAAAUGCAAAGCCCAGCUACGGGCCGCAGUUGCCGGAAUGGAGGAGUCCAAGAAGGCCCCAUCUGGUAAUACUUGUCUUGAUCGAAAAGAAUGAAAUGACAGGUACCAGUUAGUAUUCGGCAUGCAUGCAAAUCUAACAAUAGAUUCUGCAGAUAAUCCCGGAGCGAAUCCGAAGAUCGUGCGAGGGGAUGAGCAACAUGCUCAACGACAGCUAGAGGCUGGCGAGCGCGUGCUUACGCAGGUUAGGUGGGAGAAAAACGAUCUCCAAGAUGCCAAUACCCGGCUGAGCGUUGAACUGAAAGUUGUUCGGGCCCAGCUUGUUGACUCCGUAAAGGAGAAUAAGAGGCUUCGACGUGGCAUCUUUAGUAAGUGCUUGAACAAACUUUUAUAGAGUUCAGCGAAGAAACCAGCUAACAGAGUUAUAUCUGUAGGUAUGCUGACGGGUCGUCCCGAAGAGGAGAUGCCCGGAUCCGCGGGCGAUCUUCUGCAAGAGCUCUCACAACUGCACGAACAAGUUCGGUAGGUGAUGCAGGGCAUUGCCCAGGCCUUAUGGCCAUCCGCCUCCCUGCCAGGAGGCAUGGGGGAGCUCGUAGAGAUGCUCAAGGGAGCGCCGCGGCGCUUCCGAUUAUGGAAGAUAUCGGCCUGCCUACAAGGUGCAAGGGAAGCCCGGGCCAUGGUGAAGACGCGAUAUACCAAGGCUGACCCGAAUCACAUGGCCGAGGUCGGACCUGUAGGGUAUGAUGGGAAAGAGAUCCCCGUUAGUCUGGUAUAUGACCAGGUAAAAUUAGCCGCAAAGUAUUCCCAACAGGAUUGUAGGCUAGAUAGCCUGUUGGAUGGUAUAGAAGAAGAAUUUAGUUAGUCGAAGUGACUGUGUACUUCAAAGGACAUAUGUUGUCCCUAGCCAGAUUAUAAAUCAUUUGUCAUGGCGGACCUUUUCGCUUUGACCUCCGGACCCGACAGUCCGGAGUGUAUCUGAAUACCCGCUCAGUUGUGUAAAAACCGGGGUACGCGUGGAAACCAGGCAUAGGGGUCAUAAGUGCUUGAACAGACAAGUACCCAACUAGCUAUGUUAUAUUACAUGGAUAGUAAGAAACAUCUUCCAGGGAGAAUAGUUCCGUUAAGGGUUCCUUUCCUGGGUACGCAUGCAUUAAUGUGCAUGUCCGAACAGUGAAAAGAGACGCAGGAUAUAAACAUCUGGGGGCAUGUAUUGCAAUAAAUAAAAGUCAUCUUUUGUUCACCGACCGAAUAUUCCCUUAAGAACGCUAGCUUUCGGCUUCACCCAGUCUGAGGUACACAUUCGGCUGACCCGGUAGUAACAAUCGCAGAGGUGCUCCCCUUAUGCCCUAGCCGAAUUAACGGGAACGUAGGGCAUAUACACAAGUGCCAGGCAACCCAGCUUGGCCAACACUUAAGUCAUAUCGAUGCAUAUAAUGGCAAAGAAAAGGUACAUGUGGAAGAGUAACACAUGUGCAGGGGGCAUAAAGCCCGGAAUAUAAUUAUAUUAAGCUUCUGUAUAAGAAGCCUCCAGGUAUAAUGAGCACGCCCGGCGCGUCAAGGUUGUGUAGUCAAGACCCAUUUUAAGCUUUUAAGGCCAUGAAGAAAAAGGGAAGAGAAAAAAAGAAAGACAGAUAGAUGAUAUAUAUAAAAAAGGUGGAGGUAAGGAGAUGAACACAGAGUCCGGCACUAGGCGUAUAACCUUCAGAGUCUGGUCGCGUUCCAUGGGUUUGGCUCGAGUCGAUUGUCAGAUGCAUCACGCAGACGGUACGCUCCACCGGUUAGAACUUUAUCGAUGAUGAAGGGACCUUCCCAUUUGGGCUUGAGCUUGUCCUUUUUCUUCUCUGGUAGGCGUAGAACGAGUUCGCCACCGUUAUAAGUUUUGGCUCGUACUUCUCUGCUUUGAUUGAUGUCACAGGGUAGUACCGCCUCUGUGCCGUACACCAUAAAAAACGGUGUGUAUCCGGUAGUGCAAUCCGGCGUGGUCCGCAGCCCCGUAGUACGGAGUCGAGCUCCUCAACCCAAUGUGUAUCUGAUUCCUUCAAGGAUCGCACUAAUCUGGGUUUAAUGCCGCUCAUAAUAAGACCAUUUGCUCGUUCGACUUGACCGUUUGUUUGGGGGUGAUAGACGGAGGCAUAAUCAAGCUUAAUGCCCAUGUUGCCGCACCAAGUUUUUACCUCGUCAGCUGUGAAGUUCGAGCCGUUAUCGGUGAUGAUGCUGUGGGGGACACCAUAACGGUGUACAACCCCGGAUAUGAAGUCUAUCACUGGUCCGGACUCGGCCGUAGUAACUGGUUUGGCUUCUAUCCAUUUGUGAAUUUAUCCACCAUGACCAAUAGGUAUUUUUUCUUAUGGCUUCCUCCUUUAAGGGGUCCGACCAUAUCAAGCCCCCAGACCGCAAAGGGCCAAGUAAUGGGGAUUGUUUGGAGAGCGGUAGGUGGCAUAUGGCUUUGGUUUGCAAAAAGCUGGCAACCGACGCAAUGUUGGACGAGGUCCUGUGCGUCUGCUCGGGCUAUCGGCCAGUAGAAACCUAUACGGAAGGCCUUGCUUACAAGGGCCCGAGCUGCAGCGUGAUGGCCGCCAAGUCCAGCAUGAAUUUCUGCCAAGAGUUGUCGUCCUUCCUCUUCGGAGAUGCACCUUUGAAGUACUCUGGUAGCGCUUUUCUUAUAAAGCUCUCCCUCGUGGACCUUGUAGGCUUUAGACCGCCGCACAAUGCAACGUGCCUCGUUUGGGUCCUCAGGGAGUUCUUGCCUAUUUAGGUAAGCCAAGAAGGGUUCUGUCCACGGGGCGAUGACAGCCAUAAUCACGUGGGCCGAAGGUGUUAUUUCGGCGGCGGAGCCUCCGAUUACGUCAGAGUGUUCGGGCUCUGGUGUUAUGGCCAGAUCCGGACUGUUGUUGCCGGUCUCCCCACACCACGGAUGGCUUGAACAACCUUUCCAAGAAGAUAUUAGGUGGGACAGGGUCGCGCUUAGCACCGAUGCGAGCGAGGAUAUCCGCCGCUUGAUUGUUUUCUCGGACCACAUGGUGGAAUUCGAGCACCUCGAACCGAGCUGACAUUUUGAGGACGGCAGUGCGGUAAGCCGCCAUUUUUGGGUCCUUGGCGUCGAAGUCUCCAUUUAUUUGAGAUAUUGCAAGGUUCCAAUCCCCACGCACCUCUAGGCGUUGAAUGCCCAUGGAGACUGCCAUCCGGAGACCAUGCAACAGGGCCUCAUAUUCUGCUGCAUUGUUGAAGUCUGUGUAUAAUAUUUGGAGUACGUAUUGCACUGUGUCUCCGGUGGGGGAUGUCAGGACGACGCCUGCCCCCAGACCAGCCAGCAUCUUAAGAGCCGUCGAAGUGCAUGAUCCAAUUGUAGUACGCGCCGUACUCUUUAGGGAGUUCGGCUUCUAUCCAUUCGGCGACGAAAUCAGCCAGUACUUGUGACUUAAUGGCUCGCCGUGGUUUGUAUGUUAUGUCGAACGGGAGGAGCUCAAUAGCCCAUUUAGCGAUCCGGCCCGUGGCAUCGCGGUUAUUUAUUAUGUCGUUGAGUGGUACUUCGGAGGCCACCGUGAUUGAACACUCUUGAAAGUAGUGUCGUAGUUUCCGGGAUGCCAUGAAGACCGCGUAUGCUAUCUUUUGAUAAUGUGGGUACCGUGAUUUGCAUGGGGUGAGGAUAGUGGAUACGUAGUACACCGGCUUUUGAAGCGGGAACUUAUGUUCGUCCGUCUCUCGUUCGACGACGAGCACUGCGCUUACAACCUGGUGAGUUGCCGCUAUAUAUAACAGCAUUGGUUCGCCGAUAUUUGGUGCAGCCAAGAUUGGGUUGCUGGCCAAGAGGGAUUUUAUUUCUUCCAAUCCGGUCGUGGCCGCAUCCGUCCACUCGAAGUGUUCGGUGCGUCGAAGGAGGCGAUAAAGAGGUAGUGCCUUUUCUCCCAAUCGGGAGAUAAAGCGGCUUAAGGCAGCCACGCAUCCAGUUAAUUUCUGGAUUUGCUUGAGGUUUGCUGAGAUAGCCAACUGUGACAGAGCUCGGAUUUUAGCCAGAUUUGCUUCAAUUCCUCUAAACGAAGAAGCUCAAGAGCUUUCCGAUGGGCACGCCGAAAACGCAUUUUCCGGAUUGAGCUUGAUGUCAUAUGUUCGGAGAUUGUCGAACGUAAGCCUCAAGUCGUCUAUUAAAGAUUUGACGUGUCUGGUUUUGAUGACCACAUCGUCUACGUAUGCCUCCACUGUUUUGCCGAUUUGUGUUUCCAGGCAUGUCUGAAUCAUGCCUUGAUAGGUUGCACCGGCGUUUUUGAGCCCGAAAGGCAUGGUGUUAAAACAGAAGGGGCCGUAUGGGGUGAUGAAUGCCGUUGCGGCUUGAUCGGACUCUGCCAUCUUGAUUUGAUGGUAUCCGGAGUAUGCGUCGAGGAAACACAAUGAGUCGUGUCCUGCGGUAGCGUCGAUGAUUUGAUCGAUGCGGGGGAGGGGAAAGGGAUCCUUGGGGCAAGCCUUGUUAAGGUCCUUGAAAUCGACACAUAGGCGCCAGGAUUUGUCCUUCUUUGGUACCAUUACCAGGUUUGCUAGCCAGUCCGGAUGUUUUAUUUCUCUAAUGAAUCCGGCCUCGAGUAACUUGGCUAGCUCCUCUCCCAUGGCUUGUCGCUUAGGCUCUGAGAAACGCCGAAGAGUCUGCUUGACCGGCUUGUAUCCCUUUAGAAUGUUUAGGCUAUGCUCGGCCAGCCUGCGUGGGAUUCCUGGCAUGUUUGAAGGAUGCCAGGUGAAGAUGUCCCAAUUCUCGCGCAAGAACUCUCGCAGUGCGUCGUCUGUUGUGGGGUUCAGCUGUGCUCUGAUGGAUGCUGUCUUUGUAGGGUCCAUUGGGUCGACCUGGAAUUUGACUAUUUCGUCCGCUGGUUUAAAAGAGGUGGAUUUGGGUCUUUUGUCGAGUAUCACGUUGUCCCUGUCCACUGUGGAGCGCAGCGCAGUUAGUUCUUCGACCGCGAGGGCUUCGGAUAACGCCUCGAGGGCUAGUGCGGCGGUUUUAUUUUUGGCGCGGAGUGCUAUGUCCGGAUCACUAACUAGAGUGAUGAUUUCGUUGGGCCCGGGCAUCUUGAGCUUCAUGUACCCGUAACGGGGUAUAGCUUGGAAGAUCGUGAAUGCCUCCCGCCCUAAAAGGGCGUGGUAUCCGCUAUUGAACAGGGCCACUUGGAAUGUGAUUUCUUCGGACCUAUAAUUCUCCGGCGUGCCGAAUACCACAUCUAGUGUGAUUUUUCCCGCACAUCGUGCCUCCUGACUAGGGAUGAUUCCUCUGAAGGUCGUGCUGCUUUUCUCAAUGCGGCUCUUGUCUAUUUCCAUUUUGUUAAGAGUCUCCUCGUAGAUGAGGUUUAAUCGGUUGCCACCGUCCAUGAGCACUUUAGUAAGCCGGAAGCCGUCCACAAUUGGACUAAGGACCAGAGCGGCUGGUGCUCGGGCUGCUCGGAAUUGAGGUUCGUCACUGGCAUUGAAGGUUAUGGCCGUAUCGUUCCAUGGAUUUAUUGCUGCAAUGUGGCAGACUUCGGCGAGGCUGCGGAGUGCUCGCUUGCGCCUAUUAUUUGAGGUGAAAGUCUCGAAGACUGUCAAUACUGUAUUGUUAUUUUCCACGGGAUGGUGCUCUGUGGUAUUGUUGAUGAGGAGAUCCUCGCCGCUCUUGGCCACCUGCUGGAGUAUCCAACAUGCUCUAAGGCUGUGUGUUGGCAUGGUAUCCGGUGUACUGUGAAUUUUGCAUGGCCCAUUGAGCCAUCCCUCCAAUACGGUUCCACGCCCUGUAGUGGGCUUUGGUUUCUUUGUAAUUGGAUCAGGUGACUUACGAGAGUACACCCUUUUAGCUCGGACGGGGGGUUUAGUGAGAGCCGGAGGAUCCCAGAAUUUUGUUUGGGUUUUCCACGCGCUUUCCAUCACACAGUACUUCUGUACUAUGGCCACCAAGUCAAUGAAGUGUGCUAUGUCACGGCGACUUAUGGCGUUGAGGAUUCCCUUGUCCAUGCAAUUUUUGCAAAAGAAUGAAAUUGCGUCUUCCUCGCGACAGUCCUUGACCUUGCUCAUUACAAGGAGGAAUCUGGCCCAAUAGUGAUGUACUGUCUCUUGCGGCUCUUGUCUAAUGUGGGAAAGAUCACUUAUGUCUGGGUGGGUGGGUAGAUUUAGGUCCAAACCCUGACCCGGUCUGAGACCUAGGGGCAGAGGAGUUUCCGAGCUUGGCAGUUCGGGCUACGGGAUGCUGCCCAAUUUUUCUGGCCCGCUGUCCGAUUCUAGGUUCGAAGCUUGGGCCAUGUCCUCCCGUAGACGGGUAUCCGGCUCGGAGAGCUCGGGAAUCCGGACAUAGUUUGUCCUCAAAAUAGAGGAAGAAUCGCUGCAUUGCUCCUCCACCACCGCUAUCUGAUGGGUGACAGGCGGAAAGUUAAUCUCCCUUUGGUUGGGUUUAAGCCCGAUCCGAUCAUAGUCUGUAGCGACUCCCAGGGAGGCGAUGCGAUCCAAGAGCUCGUUGAAGGAAGAGAGCUCCAUUGGAUCCAUCUGCUCGGGGAAUCCCGAGCCGACGUGGAGGUUGUUUUUGAUGACCCGAGAAGUCAUCGUCGGUGCGUCGGCCGAACGGGUGGUCAUGACGAAGCCGCCUAGUCGGAGAGUUUGGCCUACAGCCAGGGCUCCCCCAGAGGUAAUGUUGUCCUUGACAACAAGACGAGCCAUUAAGCCUUACCGUGACGACACAGUGGAACUCUCAAUGAAAGCACCAAUGUCGGUGUCAAAACCGGCGGAUCUCGGGUAGGGGGUCCCGAACUGUGCGUCUAAGGCUAAUGGUAACAGGAGGCGGGGGACACAAUGUUUACCCAGGUUCGGGCCCUCUCGAUGGAGGUAAUACCCUACUUCCUGCUUGAUUGAUCUUGAUGAUAUGAGUAUUACAAGAGUUGAUGUACCAUGAGAUCGUAGAGGCUAAACCCUAGAAGCUAGCCUAUGAUUAUGAUUGUGAUUGUUAUUGUUAUCCUACGAACUAAACCCUCCGGUUUAUAUAGACACCGGAGGGGGCUAGGGUUACACAGAGUCGGUUACAGAGAAGGAGAUCUACAUAUCCGAAUCACCAAGCUUGCCUUCCACGCAAAGGAGAGUCCCACCCGGACACGGGACGAAGUCUUCAAUCUUGUAUCUUCAUAAUCCAACAGUCCGGCCAAGGUAUAUAGUCCGGCUGUCCGAGGACCCCCUAAUCCAGGACUCCCUCACCGGGCGCGUGGGCUGGAGGAGUACGGCGAUGUCGUCCCCGAGCUUCUUGAGGACGGUGAACUUGUUGGUGGUGGCAACGAUCAUCUGGUCCAACUGAGAGUCGUAGUUGGCGUCGACGGCAGCCAUCCACCAGCCGGUCGCGAACACUGUCUGGAGAUGAUCCUCGGCGCCAUGCCGCAGGCCAGCGUCGUGGACCAUCUGGCACAGCCGCUUGCAGCUCGUGCGCAUCGCCGCCAUGGGUCUGGAGUGAUCACUUUUGCACUUAGUGUAGGUGCUUAGGCAAAUGCUUAGGUGCGUACGAUGUGGUAGAUGCAUUGGAAUGGAGGGGUGCCUUUAUAUGAGUGCAAACUGUGUUGCAUUCACAUCAUGCAGCCUCUUUUCCUGGUCGUCCUCCCAUUACUUCCCUCAUGCAUGCACGAUGCUAAUUGAAGGAGGAUGCAUCAUUGGCCGUUCAACAUUUCGGGAACCGCUACCCCUCCCUCGUGUGCAUUAAAGCCGUAUCGGGAACUGCGACGCCCGCUGUCAAAUCGAAUAGUACUGCGCCGUCCGCUGCACGCCUGGCUGAACACACCUCCUCGCCUCCAUCAAACCCCUCUGUUAAACCCGCAUGCAAAAUGAGAAACCUACUCCGGCCACACGUCCGUUCAUGAGCGGGCCGGAAUUAAACGCAACACCGGCCGAGCUCCUCCCGUCCGCCCUCAGUUUAAACAAGGACAGACGCCGGCCAAGCUCCUACCAUCCGCCCUCUAUUUAAACAAGGUCAGACAGACAGCGGGCAAGAAUCACACCCCUCUGCCGCUCCCCCAUCUCCUCCUUCACCAUUUUCUCCACUCUUCUGAUGGCUUCCGAGGAGCCGUUCUCCGGCAUACUACCCGGCUGGGUGGCCCGCCGAGCCCUCCAGAGACGGGCGAGGCCGCUCGGUGCUUCAUCAACCUCGCUUGGCCCGACGGAGCCAGUUGCCGCCCCAAUUCGGUGGUUCGGCAACUCGCUGCUCCAGUUCAGCUCAAUGAGGAGUGGUGAGUUGCUCCACGCCGGCACGGCGGCGAGCACGCCGGUACGGGCAUCGUCGUUGCCGCGUCGUACCGCACCACCAGUGUCUGCGGUGGCCGCGCCUUCCGUGUCUGUGGGCGCGCCUCCCGUGCCUACGGCAACGCCAUGCAGGCAGAGACAGACGUCGGGUGCGUGGAGAGCGACGAGUCGGUGGCCAGCUUCUCCGUGUCCGUCGCCAUCAUCGAGGAGAAGUAGAACACGGGAGGCCGCCGCCACUUGUGUCCCAUGAAUGCCACCGCUGAGGCGACGACUGCGCAUUCAGGUGGUUUCUUUGCUGCUUUGUCUCUUCCGAGGACCUUCGUCGACCCCGCAAGUGUCUGCCGGACAUGAGGAAGACAAUGGGAUCCGUGGGCGGCCAUUUAGAUUAGGUACUCCCUCUCCGGCUGGCGGGAAAUAUUUGUUCUAAGAAUGGAUAAAUUGGAUGUAUCUAUAACUAAAAUAAGUCUAGAUACAUCCAUUUCUAGGACAAGUAUUUCCGGAUGGAGGGAGUAUUAAUUAUACCAAGAGAGCCGAAUUAGCACGGCUUAGUUCAUGUAAAUGUAAUGAAAUCCAUCAUGUUUAUAUGAAGAUCCAGCUUUUUUAUACGAAAUCCUGCAUGCUUAUAUGAAAACAGUUCAUGUUUGCAUGAAUUUCAUCUGUUUGGUUAUAGUUGUGAAAAUUUAUGCCGCUGGCGUUUGAUGUCGUCCUCCGCGGAAGGAAGCGGGAGGAAAUUUGCCGGGUGCCAUUGGAGAUGCUCUUAUGCUGGAAAUAAUAGAGUCACAUCCAAUCCAUUUGAGUUAAUUGCGUGUAUGAUUCUCCCUCUAUAAAAAGUUAAUUGCAUGUAAAGUGUACACGUGACUUGCAGGGUGGCUACAGCUUCGUACAGAAAGUUAAAAAGGAACAAGUUCAUCCUUAAUCUUGUAUUCUAAGUACUCUAUGGGUUCCACUGUCAGUAUAGUAGCGAAAGAAGUAUAUAUUAAAUAAGUAAUAUAUAAUAUAAAAAUCUAAAGUUAAAGACAAAAUUCAAACUCAGGCCAUCGCGUUGCGAGCAUCCGGCACUAACCAGUCCAGCACAGUUUUGUUGUAGACCAUGCUGGAGAUAUAUCUCCAUGUCUACUCUUAUACUCCAUCCAUUCCUGAAUAUUUGUCUUUUUCAGAUUUCAAAUGGACUACCACAUACGGAUGUGUAUGUAGACAUAUUUUAGAUUGUAGAUUCACUCAUUGUGCACUGUAUGUAGUCACUUGUUGAAAUCUCUAAAAAGACAAAUAUUUAGGAACGGAGGGAGUAGAAAACAGAGUUGGUGAUGAUCACUACAAAAAAAAUACACUUCCGUGAUGAUACGUGUUUGUCACAGUAGGUCGCACUUUUUGUCAUGCAUGUACAUGCAUGACAAUUUUAUGACAGAAUCAAGAUAGUCAUACCUGUGCUGUCGUAGAAGUGUUCCAUGACAUUACCAAAAUUAUCAUCACGGAAGUGUCCACUUCCAUGACGAUAAAUCGCGCGUCACAGAAGUGCUUUCGUCAAGGGUGACCGACACGUGGCAUCCACCCUAACAGAACGCCGUUAAGCUAUCGGGUCCGGUUUUGGAUCCGAUAACCCACUAACAGCCCCGACCAAUGGGGAUUUUCCACGUGUAAAAUCAUCAUUGGCUGGAGGAAACACGUGUCGGCUCACCGUUGGGACAGAUGUCAUCCACUCAUUGGACAGGAGGCGCCUAUGAUAGGUCGACAUGUGGCAUGGCCCAAUAGUGGCCCAUUCCGGUGAAAAGGCCGGCCCGUUUGACUUGGUCAAAAGGUGGCGGGCCAGCCCACGGCAAGCCUGUUAACGGCUUGUUCGCAUAUAGCCCAUUUAUAGCCCGCUAACCCAGGGCCCGUUUACGGCCUAUCUGAAUUAGGCCCAGUAGCGUCAUCUGGGCCGUCCAAUAUAAUUCUAGCUUGUUUUAACUUCCGGCCCAUGUAUGGCCCAUGACGUCUUUUGGCCCUUAUGAGGCCCUUAGUAAACCUCGGCCCAUUAACGACCCGUGGUAAAACUGGCCCGGAAUGAACAGUGUAUCACUUUAUACCCAUUAACGACCCAUUAUUCCGUUGGGCUGUUUCCAGCCCAUGUUAUCUUUCGGCCUUCUCAGGGCCCAUUUAUUCUUGGGCUCAUUUCUAGCAUUCGUUUACUUUCGGCCCAUUACUGUCAUUUUCUGCUUGUGGGCCAAAUACAGCCCGUGGUUACAGUCAGCCCGUUUGUGGCCCGUUAAUACGUUGGGCCAUUUUCAUAGCGUCAUCAAAUAUGGCCUAUUAACGACGGCCCAUUAUGGCCGGCCCAUGAACGGACGAUUUCAACUCUAGCCCAUUUACAGCCAUAAUGUGGUCUGUUAUUGGCCCAUGUUUGGCCAACCGAUCGUACGGCCCGUAGAAGGCCCAUUGAUGAUACGGCCCGUAGAAGGCCCAUUGUUUCCACGGCCCUUAGAAGGCCCAUUGUUUCUACGGCCCUUAGAAGGCCCAUUGUUUCUACGGCCCGAAGGAGGCCCAUGUUAACUACAGUAAAUAUGUAGCCCAUUGUUAAUGUGGCCUAGUUUUAAAAAAUAGGUUAUUCCGGCCACUAGCAAACCGCGGAAAAAGAACUGCACUGAAAUAAAUAAACAAGACAACGGAAAUAAAUAAGCAAGCAACUUACGCUAGGCUAUCACGGCUAUUACACAUAUUACAUCCACUGGGCAUCAAAGUUUGCCACAAGUGCAAAUAUAGGGAACAAAGCAGCAUAUAAACGCCGCAGCAAAACAAGUCCAGAACUGAAACCACUUCAGAAGAGCUCAAGAAACAAUAUCCUGGGUACCCAUAAUGCUGGCAAGAUGCUUAGCAAGCUUAUUAACUUUCUCUUGUUUGGCGCUUAAAUCCUCCAGCACUUGCUGUUGCACCAGAAAGUAUGCAUCUGAAUUCUGCAGGGACUUCCUCAGUACUUCGGCUUCCUGUCACAUAACAUUUGAUCGAUGUCUUUCAACUUGAAGUUGAGACUCAAGAAGCCGACCUGAUUCAGGCAGCGAGUUCGAAGAGCCGGUGCCAGCAGUAGUAGCCAGUAACUCGAACACUACAUCAAGAUAGGACUUUGGGGUUUUCUCAGUGUCUUCAAUAUAGUUUUUAUCAGCUUUCUUGGAGAACAACAGGGAUGUCUCACUAUCUUGAACCUGAUCUGCAUUACUUCCUUUACCAUUGCAUAACGGGGUACUCUUCUCCAAUAGUUUAUCCGCGUUCUAAAGGAGAAACAAACAAACACAUCACAGGUUUACAAUGUAGUAUAUGAAACUCAUUUUGGUAAACCAGUUUAGUAGUAAGGUGGACAGGAUAAUAGCAUGAAACAAACAUAUAUCUAUGUCGUAUGGUCACUGUAUGGUCUAUAUCAUUCUAGUUUAUGUUGCCAAAUCAAGAUAGAUACAGUUCGAAUCAUAUCUAUUUAAGACAAAGCAGCAUAGACAGAAUAUAAGUGUGGGAAACUACACAGCAAUAACAACACUUGUAAUGUGCUUGGCAUGAGAACAUAACUGUUUAUUCAAUUGAAACUGAAAUCAACAUAGAGCAAGUACAACAGCAAACACGUUAAAGAAACAGGUUUAAAACAUACCUGUUGCGCCAUUGGAGUUUCAAUUGCAUCCUUCAAAUUUGAAAUUAGUUGGUAUGAGAAAAUACAGUGAUGCAAGAGCAAAGUAGUAUGAACCAUAGCUACGGAACCUGACCUGAGAACAAUUCUUCUUCUGGUUUAAGCGUUGACUUGGGGUUCGGAGUGGUGGUCCUCGUGCUUUGGGCACUGCAGUUGCCUUACUAACUGCUCGUGUUUGGGUGCUCUGUGGUGGAGACGAUGCUGUGUCAACGGGAACUGGGUUACUAUCUGCUGGGGUUGGGGUUAGAAGGGGUGUAGCUGGUUCUCUGUCCAACUGGGUAGGGGUACAAUCUGCGUGAGUCUGGGUUACGUGUGGUGGGACUGGUUCUUGGGCAAGUACAACCGUGGUUCUAUCUCCGUCGAUAGGUAGCACGAUCUUUUCUGAAGACCGUGUUUUUACUCCCACAGAUACUGCCAUCACCCCCUCCAAUUGAAAUGGCUGAUAAACAAGAAAAGUAAUUGAAUGUACAGACAUUGUAAGAUAGACAGGUGCAAUGGAUAGUAGGGAAGAAAACAGGGCAUGAAAUAAUUCACAUUUAUGUUGUCUAACCAAACAGAAUAGCAGGACAUAAUUUCAAAUAUAUGAUGGCUAAUUAAACAGGAUAGCAUGACACAAUUUCACAUGUAUGAUGGAUAACUAAACAGGAUAGAAUGACAUACUUCAAAAUAUGAUGACUAUGUAAACAGGAUGACAUGAUAUAACUAUAAGAUGUGUCUAUUAAAGUGGUUGGCAUGCCAUAAAUUACAAACAUGCCGUCGAUGGAAACAUGAUGGCAUGAUAUAAUUCACGGAUAGAAUGACAUAAUUCAAAAUGUGAUGACUAUGUGAACAGGAUGAGAUGAUAUAACUAUAUUAUGUCUUUAGAAAAUGGGUUGGCAUGCCAUAAUUCAGAUACAUGUUGUCUAUGUAAACAUCAUGGCAUGAUAUAAUUCAAAUAUAUGAUUUAUAUACUAAGGAAGUGAGCAGAGGGCAAUCGCAUAUAUGAUGUGUCAACUAAGGAGAUGGCAUUCAAUAUCGUGUAUAUGAUGUAAAAACUAAGCAUUGCAAUACAACAUAUGCAUGAUAUGAGUAAUAUAACCCUGCCAAGUUUGAGCAUACACCUCAGGGGGGUAAUAGGACUGGUCAUCUGCCUCUAAAUCCUCCUCUGAAGAGCUAUCUGUAACAAGCAACAUAUCUGCUUCACCAGGUAGCAUUGUCUGCUCUAAAGACCUUGUUUUCACUCCAGAUUUCUCCAUCACCAAUUCAAAUGGCUGAUGCACAGGAAGAGCAAUUGAAUAUACAAACAUUGUCGACAAAAGCAAUGAGAAAUACAAAAAAAGGACAACAUGAUAUAAUUCACAUAUAUGACGCUUGGCUAAACAGCAUGGCAUUGCAUAAUUCACAUAUAUAAUGCCUUGCAACAAGAUAGCAUUGCAUAAUUCACAUAUAUAACGUCUUGCAAAAAGAUGGCACUGCAUAAUUCACAUAUAUGGUAAUUAGACACUAAACAUGUGGCAUUCACACAAAUCAUGUCUAAACUAAGCAAAUGACAUAGCAAUGCAAGAUACCAUACGCACGAUAUGAGCAACAUAACUCUGCCAAGUUAGAGCAUGCACCUCGGGGGGGGAUAGGACUAGUCAUCUGUCUUUGAAUCCUCCUCUGAGGAGCUUUCGAUAACCAGUGAGAUAUGCGCUUCGUCAGAUAGCAUAGUCUGCUCUGAAGACCUUGUUUUCACUCCAGAAUUUUCCAUCACCGUGUCAAAUGGCUGAUGCACACGAAGAGUAGUUGAAUGUACUAACAUUGUUGACAAAUGUAAUACGUAACGAAAAAAAAGGAUGGCCUGAUAUAAUUCACAUAUAAGAUGACUGGCUAAGCAGGGUGGCAUUGCAAAAUUCACAUAUAUGAUGCCUGGCUAAACAAGAUGGCAUUGCAUCAUUCACAUAAACGAUGAAUAAACUAAAUAGAUGGCAUUCACACAAAGCAUGUCUAAGCUAAGCAGUUGACAUAUUUGAUGUAUAAAGUAAGCAAUGCAAGGCACCAUAUGCAUGAUAUAACCAACAUCACCAUGCCAAGUUAGAGCGAAGACCUCAUGGGGUAAAUAGGAGUGGACUUUUGCUUCUGAAUCCCCCUCAGAAUAGUUAUCUUCCGCUUGGUUACGAAACGAAAUGGGUGGAGGGGGGCUGCCUUUGCGCCCACCAUGGAGCGACGUCUGCAUGAAAUUUUAUUGCCAUGCAAGGCUCGUCUCUUUUGCUCUACAUGUUCAGUUCAUUGUGUACAAUAACUGACAUGCAUAGGAAUAAAACAUAGUGAGAUUAUGUAAGGAGUGCAUGCACAAAUCCAGAGUGAUGGUAGCAAACUGUGGAUAGACCCAAAACCAAUGAUAGCAGGCAGGUAAUAGCUUUAGUUAAAAAAUACAGAUAAUGGCUCCUUUAAUGUUUGUUUGCACCCAACAUGAAACUCACAGUAGACACCCGAGAUUAACCAGAUAGUAGACAGAUAGUACUGAUUGCUGCCCCAAUAUGUACCCCACAACCAUUUAAAAACUCAAGUUUCAUCAUAAGUGGACCUGAGUCGGAGUCUAAUAGGUGAACACGACGAUAAAGUAGCAUGUCAUCAUAUUAAGCGAUGCAUAACGUAAGCAGACACGGAAGAGUGCGACCUCUCUUGCGGACCCAUGUAGUCCUCAAGGUCAUCUGCUCAGUUGAUGAUGGUAAUGCAGUUGUCGUGGCUGCCAGCGGCGGGGAAGAGGAUCUGAGGCGGCGAAAGACAGUCUGGAGAGUGGAUCCCUGCUGUGGUGAACCCUUCCGUCGUUGGAGCAGCUGAGCUGGGGUGGAACACAGCACCGCAGGAGCAGGACAAACCACACAAGGUUUUCUUUGACACAUAUCUGUAACAGAAGUAAUUGUGUAAGGACUUGUUUGAAUUUGAGGAUUCUAAAAAUGCAGGGAUAGGAAAUAGACAGGAAUAGGAUAGGAAUGCACAUGCAAAACAGAGAAUUCAAAAACACAGGAUUUCUGCCAAUCUGGGUGUUUGGUUCACAAGAAUUGGAAGAUCACAGGAUGCAAAGAAGCAUGGUGAGAUUAAGUCAAACCACAAGAAGUGUACAACCUCUUUGGCGAAGCCAUGUCGAUCUCGGCGUGAUUGGGUUGGCCGGUGAGGAUGCUCCGGCUGACUUGGCUGUCGGAGGAGGGGAAGAAGAUCUUAGGCGUCUGGAGAUGGAGCCCGAGGUACUGCUCUGCUGUGAUGGAGGGUUUCGUCGUUGGAGCAGCUCUGGUGAGUUGUACGACGCCGAGGCUGAAGCAGGACAAGAGAGACAACGUUAACCUGAGUGGAAUUCUAAUAGCAUCUCCAAUAGAUGACGUAAAAUACAUAACCACAAAGUGCUAGAUGUAUACAUCAGCCGCUCAUCUCUGAACUUAACUGUCGAAACUGAAUUUAACUGUCGAAACUGAACUUAACUGUCGAAACUGAAUUUUGCUGUCGAAACUGAAUUUUACUGUCGAAACUGAACGCACUAGAGGUGAGGCUACACGUCAGUCGACUGACUUUUUCAUCUCUGGUCAGUCGAUUUUGCAGCCGUUGGAUACGAAAUCAAGGGCCUGCAGUUCAUCUUCAACCUCCACCCCCCUGAGCCGCCAGCCACCACCGGCCAAACAGCCGCCCCCCGCCGCCCGCGGCCGGCGGUGCGCCGCCCCGCCCGCCCCGAAAACACUCCCCACCGCCGGUCCGCCGCCGCCCCGGNNNNNNNNNNNNNNNNNNNNNNNNNNNNNNNNNNNNNNNNNNNNNNNNNNNNNNNNNNNNNNNNNNNNNNNNNNNNNNNNNNNNNNNNNNNNNNNNNNNNNNNNNNNNNNNNNNNNNNNNNNNNNNNNNNNNNNNNNNNNNNNNNNNNNNNNNNNNNNNNNNNNNNNNNNNNNNNNNNNNNNNNNNNNNNNNNNNNNNNNNNNNNNNNNNNNNNNNNNNNNNNNNNNNNNNNNNNNNNNNNNNNNNNNNNNNNNNNNNNNNNNNNNNNNNNNNNNNNNNNNNNNNNNNNNNNNNNNNNNNNNNNNNNNNNNNNNNNNNNNNNNNNNNNNNNNNNNNNNNNNNNNNNNNNNNNNNNNNNNNNNNNNNNNNNNNNNNNNNNNNNNNNNNNNNNNNNNNNNNNNNNNNNNNNNNNNNNNNNNNNNNNNNNNNNNNNNNNNNNNNNNNNNNNNNNNNNNNNNNNNNNNNNNNNNNNNNNNNNNNNNNNNNNNNNNNNNNNNNNNNNNNNNNNNNNNNNNNNNNNNNNNNNNNNAUUCAGUCAACUGAAGUGUAGCUAAAUCGGAGCAGCAUCGCAAGCAAGAGCAAGAGCAAGAGCAGACCAGACAGGGGACCGAGAGCAAGAGCAGAGCAGCAGCGCGGGCGAGAGCUAAAGCAGCAGCAGCUCCUACUAAUGUGGACGUCACCGCCGAGGGAGCGACGCCGUGGAGGAAGUGGCCGGCGACGCCGCGGUGGAUGGAGCCGCGCUGUGUCGGCUCGGGACCGAGCGCCGGCAGCACCGUGAGAUCGAAUCAAGAAGAAAAUGCGGCGAUUAGUGUACAACCUCUUUGGUGGCGCCGAUUAGGCCGCAGCUUCAUCCGAGGAAACGGUGAUGCUGAUGCUCUUCCGGUGGUGCAGGUGAAGAUGGCGGUGUGGGAAUGGAGCGGCCGCGAUAGACGAGGCGAUCGUCGGAGCAGCUCCUUGGAGGUGGAGGAUGGGGCAGCUGGACCGGCGGGACGACGAGAUGGACGAUGGAUCCUCAUCCGGGGAGGUGGACGACGGACGUCGAGCUGUUGCGAUGGACGACGUCGUCGGGGAAGAGGCUCCGGCUGGGCAGUGGUGAGGUGGCGGACGGAGGAGGGUGGGGUUUCGCGGCUGGAGCGGAGAGUUUAUGGCGGCCUGGGAUUUCGAAUGGCAAAAAGGAGGCGAUGUGAGGGGGUGAACCAUGACUUAGGGACGCGCUUGUCCAAAAUGUAGGGUGUGUUACAAAAGUACCCCGCACCGAUUUGAACUAGCGGCCCUUUCGGCUCAGGGUUAGAAGGGGGAUUUCGCGUGUCGGGAUUUGGCAGCUGGAGGGAGUUUUCGCGCGCAUUGUAAUUUCGGGAUAGCAGGGCGCGGGUUGUGAAGGCGCCAGUUUUGGGAGCACGAUAUCUGAAUUUUUGGGAUAUAACAAGGCGCGGGUUGAAUUUGAGGGACAAGCCUAACGUGUAAUAUUGUACUUAUACGUACCAAAUCAAUUCGCACUUCCCUCAACCAAAAAGAAAAUGAAAAAAAUAAAACUAUUCACACCACACAAAGAGAGAGUCUUGCCCCGUUUUACUAUAAAUAUGCUAUUUAAAGCUACUCAUACCAACAAUUUAGUGCAAUUAAAUGCUAUUCGGUAGUAUGAAUCCAUGUUAUGUCCAAUUAAUUUUUUUUGCUUGCUGUAUAAUGCAUGUAACCUACUCAUACCAACAUUUUAGUGCAUUCCAAAUGUCUAUACUACCGCUGCAAUUCGAACUGAAUUUGAAUUCGUUUCUCUAUUUCAAUAACAAAUCUACAAUCAUGAUUGUUGCCAACUUCAACCAUCAUUCGUGUAUUACCUUAAUAACACACCACAUGAUUACUAUAGAGAUAGAUAUGAACUAUGUGUACUACAUGAACUCGAAUUCUAUUUUUUGAAUACACUUGAUGUUGAUUCCAAAUAAUAGUACAUUUGAUGUACUAACUAUAUAUUCAUAAUCUAAACCAUGUUCCAUACGUGUACACCGUGUUUAUCACACAUAGUAUAGUGCCCCGCCCCCUACAUUAUGACAAGUAUUUAGACCUCAGCUGCAAAAGCCACACAUUAGCCCAAAUUAUGAUCAAUGUUCUAUAUGUUAUACGUAGUACUAGCAAGAUGCCCAUGCGUUCCACAGAACAUCAACAUGAUCAAGGGGAGGCCUAAUUUGCAAAUAUGGAGAGGGGUGUGGGCAUCUUUUUUCAAAAUUGCCAUAGUUUCCUUCCUAUCCGUCAGAUAUAAAUCGGACGGCCUAUAUUGCAGGAUGGCACCAUCAUCAACAACUCCGUUUUUUAUAAGAGUAGAGAUAAAAUAUAUUAUAUGUAGUAUAACAUGUUCAUAACCACACCAUGUGUAUCACCGUUAUAUAUAUUCACACAUGCGUCGGUUUAAAACACUAUGAUAAAUUCUUCAAAUAUCCGAAUUCGCUUUUUGUAAUGAAGUAUGAUCUCUAUUCGUCUUUUACACCCACACAAUCCUCUUAUCUUUGUAGCUAGCUAGCGCUAACUUUCUCUUGUGCAUGCAAACGCCCGCAUCCCUCUAACCCUCCCUCGGCAUUCUCUAGCUCCAUCGCGCAAAUUCAUCUUUUCACUUUAGGUCGUUCACCCAUGGUGUGUGUAGGCCCCUCCAGCUCCUUCUUUACGGCACACGUCAACCGAUAUGCCUCUCUAGCCAGGUGUGCCUAGCAUAAACACAAGCUUCCCCUCUUCUCUUAUCACCGUCCAUGCCUCACUCCCACCACUCUUUUCAUCGAUCUCAUACUCGCACACUCCUUCCCCCUCGAUAUAGUAUGACUCUCGCACCACCUCCUAGAUGCAUCCCUCUCUCUCUAUCCUUCUCCCCGUGCCUCAUUUGCUUCUAACACACACAUGCAUGUAUACCGAUCGAUCUCCCAACAUAUACCUAGGUCGACUUUAACUAUCCCCCCCCAUCGAUCGACGUACCUCACAAGUUAUGUCUCUCCUUUCUCUGAAUAAGGACGAUUGAUCUUCCUAUGUAGUUAUGUCUGCUUACCAUAGCCAUAUCGCCCCCCCCCCAUCAUUCAUGCAUGCCUCCUGACCCGUCUCUCACACGCACGUGCACAGACGGGCAGCCAUCCCCUCUCUUAUUGAUAUUGCAAGCGUGCCCUCCGGUUGUCUAGCAAGCCUAUCCCACCAUUUGUUAGAAGCAACUCCACUACCACUCCCUCCAACACUCUAGCUCUGUCUCUCUCCCAACCUUAUUCCUCUCCUACACAUAUGCAUGGAUGCCGAUCGAUCUCCCUUAAUACAUCAGGUAGAUCGAUCUCCCUUAAUACAUGCGGUAGGCCUCUCUCCUUCUCCACACAUAUACCAGCCAUUGUACAUCUAUAGUUAAUUAGGCCUCCCCCCCACCACACACCGAUAGUCGAGCGCUGUAGGUAGGUACCCAUGUCAAGAGACAAACCGCACCUGUCCCCUCUCUCGUUCUAGUAGGCCAACCACUCUAUAUCUUUGACGUGGGCACACACAAAUUAGAUGGCACUCUUUAUCGACCGCGCGCGCACACUCACACACAUCAUCCCUCUCUUCGAUUCUAUGGACACCUCAAGUCGAUGAUACCUCCACUCUCUUCUCGUGGAUCACCCCCUCUAUAUAUAUGAUAUAUCCAGGACUCUAUUUCACACACAUUGCAUAUGUUACAUUUUUUGAUUGACCCCCCCCCCAAGAAAACUCUCACGAACCCACACACUAUAUCUCUCUACGUUUGUAUCUCUCUCACACAACCCCACGUAGGUGGUGUACGUAUACAAGAAGAGAAUAGGUGCACCGUGCACGUACUCACACUUCAUGCCCAGCCACACCCGCGUGGGUACACGGUGGAGCUCAUUUCUGUACGAAAUGGCAGCCCACGUGCUAAUUUGAACGCGUGUAGCGGUUGUUUACCUACGGAAGUCGUGUACCAUGCGUGCACGAAACAAAGUUCGACUUGAUGCGUUGGCGCGUUAUUUUUAAAUAAAGUUAUAUCGCUCAAUGGCACGUACACAGAAUAUGAACCGAUUUUUAUGGAGAAAAAGGUAGUCCGCUCCACUAUAUACAAUGGAGCCUCCCUGCCUGGUUUGUCUCUCUUCAGACUAUCUCACACAAGGCUGCGGUGGCCUCUCUCUCUCACCGUUGGUCACUGGUCCCGCCGCAUCCCGUCCGCCGGCGGAAAGGGAGGACGUGCAUCAUUUCUCCGUUCGACGGCGCCGAGACAGCACGUCCCGAUCUGCGGUGCACACCGUUCUCUCUGACCAAGCUCCGGCGCGGUAGGGCCUACGCCACCUGCUCGCUGCCGCGGUAUGGGCAGAUUCCGCCCGCCGCCGCUCACCUAGUUACAUCCCGGCGACCUCCAGGUAUCCCCUCCGGCCUUUCUCCACUGCCCGUCUUCCCACGUCGCUGCAUGUGGAUCUUCCAUAGUUCUUUGCACAAAACGUAGCUUGUCCGGCGUACUUUCCAUAUUGCAAUGUCGUCCUCACACCGUUUUAGACAAACACAACCAUGUUGUUAUCUUCCCUUAGGACAAGGAAUAUGCUUCUUUUUUGUCGUCGCAACUGUCAUCAAUAAUAUUUGUCUUUUUACAAAUUUCAAAUGGGCAUAUUUUAGAGUGUAGAUUCACUCAUUUUGCUUCGUAUGUGUACUCCCUCCGUUCCUAAAUAUUUGUCUUUCUAGAGAUUUCAACAAGUGACUACAUACGAAGCAAAAUGAGUGAAUCUGCACUCUAAAAUAUGUCUAUAUACAUCUGUAUGUAGUAGUCCAUUUGAAUCUCUAAAAAGACAAAUAUUUGAGUAGUCACUCAUUGAAAUAUCUAGAAAGAAAAAUACUCCGGAGUAUAUUUAAGAACCGAGGGGGUAGUGCACAGCUGCAUGGGAGACUCAGACCGGUUGUUACACCGCAUUAAUAGUGAGUAAUGAGCAGUCAAAUCAUAAGCCCCACCUUUCCCACUAUAAGUUGCUCGGAAGAAGCAACCAUCAAUACGCUCUUCUUUGAAUCUGCUCAUACUACUCCAUCUGUCACUGUUUAUAGAGCGUGCUUCAGAAAAAGACAAAAUCUCUGGGACCAAGGCGACUAGUGAUCGGCCUGAAAAAUAGCAUUGGUAGUUAUAGCACGGCGUCUAUUACUAGAGGAAAUAAUGCGUACACACAUGCAUGCAGUGCUUCCACCCCGGGUAGACACAUGCAUGCACUUACUCCACUCCGUAGUACUACAUCGAGAGAAAAUUGCAGUUACCAUGCCCUAAUUAAUUGAGCAUUAAACCAAACGUGUCUAAAGUCUCUCUGGUGGUGGAAAUGCAUUGAGAGAAAUGCAUCAUAAUGAAGCGCGCCCUGUAAACUGUGACGGAGGGAGGAGUAGUAUGAAGGUGCAAACAAGUACACGUAUGGCCAGUCGGUCAACGCACCUCCUCUUGGCAUAUCACUGACAUGUGGGACCGGAGUGUGAGCAAACCGAUCUCAAUUGAUGGCAAAAUGGCCAACCCGUCGUUCCUUGAGAGAGACGAGGAGCGAGAACACACACAUGGGCUCGCACGGAGGCCAAGAUAUAUUCGAGCAUGGUUGAUCGAUAUCAUCAUUACAUGUUGGGCUGCCGUUUUCCGCCCUUCUCCGGAAUAAAUGUGUACUUUAUCAAAGAUUAAGGAGAAUAAGAGUAUAGAGGCUCCACCAUGCGGUUCUAGUAGUAGUACUACUCGUACUACUAAACCUUGCGCUUGGCUCUUCGCCUCUUCAUGAAGUCGAACAAUGAUGGUACUCCGCAUGUUCGGUACUACAGUGUAUGCAUGUGGCAAUCUGACACCGAAUGAACUGAUGCAUGUCCACCGCCUGGGCGAGGGUACGUUGCAUUAGUCAAAAGGUGUAAGCGAGCUUCACCUUGUCCUGCAAGCUUCUCCUCAUUCUGCGAGUUGACGGGACCCACCAACAAGUAGUGCUAGUCCAUACUCCCUCCUUUCCGGUUAAUAUGGCUUAAUCUUUUUUGCGGGUAAAUGAGAGAGCUUUAUUCAUAUAUAAGCAUUCUUAGGACGAUCAGCCAAGACACUGGUCACUAGGAAGCGAGGUACCCCGCAAAAAAAGAAGUAGGAAGCGAGGUGUUUCAUCAAGCCAGCUCUCGGCCACAUUCAAAGUGCAGCAAGCACGGUUCGCACAAAGAUGCGCCGCCAGGUUUGCUGACCUGUUUACAUGCUGAAUAACAAAAAAAAGGAAAUAUUACCGAGCGCUCCUAUUUGUAACAGGAUAUGAGCCAUAAUUAAAGCGAGAAUUGUGGCGAGUGUUCCAUGCAAUCAACUUCCAUUAUCACAUGCGAGACCCUCGAAGAGAACCAAAUGUGUUGAAGAUUGCUUUAUCACAUUUUAAAAAUAUAAUAAGAGUGCAGACGCUCCUCCAUCCGGUUCCUAGUACUAGUAUAGUAUACCUCUAUAGACUAUAGUAGUAGUACUAGUAAACUUUGCGCUUGGCUGUUCGCCUCUCGGGAAGUGCAACAAUAAUAGUACUAGUAUAGUGUAUGCUUUUGGCAAUCUGACACCGAAUUAACUGUUGCACGUCCACCGCCUGAGCGAAGGACAACUUGCAUUAGUCAAAAGUUCCUCCUUGUCCUGCGAGCCACCGCGCGCAAGCCCUCCCGUCCUGCAAGCUUCUCCUCGUUCGGCAAGUUGACGGGACACAGCAAAGUAAUGCUAGUCCAUACUGCCUCCUCUCCGGUUAAUAUGGCUUAAUUUCAAACGAGAUAAAUACACUGUCUGUCACUGUAUAUUUGUAAAAAUACGGUCAGUGGACUUCAUAAUACGCUCAUUGCGCUCAAUAUAUACAUUUUCCGGUGUUUAUACGGUCACUAGCUCACCCUGGCUGAGUAUGUGUGUGCAUGCACGUGUAGGUUGAGCACUUGAGCGUGACCGUGUGUGUUCCAUCAUGUGCUCGGAUAUGCAUGCAUUAGGGCGUCGCGCGCGUUUUUGCGUCCAUGUGUAUGUGUGACUAUUGCAUACACGUAGGGGGAGUACGUGUAGGGGCCACUAAAGGAGCAGUCAAAUCACACAGUAAGUUAGUCGGAAGAAGCAACCAUCAUUUCACUCUUCAAUGACACGUACGCAAUAUAAAAUGGUUGAUAUGGAGAGAAAAAGAAAACUACUAUAUAUACACUAGCAGGAGCCUAAGCUACAAGCCUGCUUGCUUGGGUUGCUCUCUUCACAAGCAUAGAACGACGGUGGCCACACCGCUGGUCACAUAUCCGGCCUGAUCCCGCAGCUGGGGGAAGGGAACAAUGUCCUGCGUAGACGCGGUCGACAUCGGCGAGGGAGAAAAUCCAUAGUCGGUGCGUCCCAAUCGGGGGUCACCGCGGUAUGGGCCGAUGCCGCGUCCCAACCGCCCUUCUAGCUACAGCCCGACGUCCGUUUCAAAAAUAUUAGUGCAUGUCAACAAAAAUUAUACUAGUAUCGCUGUUCCGUUUCAGAAAAAAAGCAUAUAAGCUGUUACUUCUUACCCAAAGGAUCUUUAUAUCCAACAGACACAAAAUAUCCAUUCGACUGUUCGAAAUUACUUUCACUGCUGAUCUGAUGUCGAGGUAAUUGCUGCAUCGCCACCAAAACCCACCAUCUCUUAAGCUAAAGUAGACCGAGCUAACCCCUAUAUUAGCAUAUUACUAAGAUAAACAGAAGGCACUGUAGAAUCAUUUAGGACAUGAGCUUGUCAAUCUGAAUGUGGAGGGACACCAGCUUAGCCCCGGCCAGCAGCUUGGGCGGAACUGUGAAGAAGGUCAGCUCGUGCACGGCGACGUCGCUGGGAUCCCUGCUGCUUAUCACCUCCAUUUCCACCUUGACGGCGUCGGUCCUGCCUUUGGGCUCCCCCGGCAGGCCGUUCGCCCACAGCUUGGCCACGUAGUGCGGCAGUGGGGACGCCCCCGCUCUAAUGCAGACGACCGACAUGGCGAUAGGCGCGCCGAUGUCGAGCACGCCGCCGACCAAGAAAAAUGUGCGGCCGUCCUCCUCCGUGAACAGCAAGAGUCGUGGCUCCGACAGUGGCACUUGCAGCUGGAGCGCCUUGCCGUACUGGAUCCUGUGCACGGGCAUGGUAUGCACGGUGCUGAUGUGGUGGGAGAGCCACGGCGACGGGCCUUCGUAGCCGCAGACGGGCACGGGGCAUUUGCAGGGCACGAGCGGACACACACUCUGGUGAUCGGCGAGCUUGUGGUAAGUGACGUAGAGCCCACAGCCUUUGUGUGGGCACUCCACCCUCACCGAGGAGAGGACGGUGUCCACCGCCGUGUUCCGCACGUCGAAGCCACCGCCGCGCUCGCACUUCUGGCACUGCCGCUGGUUCCCGGGGUGCUCGACGCGGCAGUCCGCGCAAGCCAGGUGCCCUCCCUUGCACUGCACAAAUCAAUCGAACAACACAUCAAUCAAGAAACCUGCACCUUGCUCGAGCAGCCGAACGGACGAGGUGUAUUCGAACCUCAUACACUGGAGGCUUAAAGGGGCGGAGGCACAAGGGGCAGUGGAGCAAGGUGAGGUCCAUCGAGACCAUAGAGAGCUCCAUCGUCGGGUCCUGUUCCGUCUGCAUGAUCUCGCCCUCCUCGUGCACAACCAUCUCUCGCUUUAUUAGGGCUGGGGCAUUACAAAGCUUUACCGUCACAUAUUCAUACUACUUCAAGGUGCAUUAAAUCAACACAUGCAAGUAGCAAAAGGAGAGUCACGGCAUGCAUGCAUGCAUGCGUUGUAAUUAAUGCAUCGGUAAAUGCAAAUUAUUGAAAUAUAUCGAGUGCAGUGCUUUGAUGUGUCGCGUCAACUCGUACAAGACCAAGAAGUUUGAUUACUACAACACCCUCUUGCCUUAACCGCACCUGCCUUUGGCUACAUGACAGGUGGACCACCGACCUGUUGGGCCCACCUGUCAUGGACGCAAAGGCAGGAGCAGUAAUUCAAUGAAGCUGUGUCCCUUCCUCACCCAUGAGCGUGGUGGCUGGCAGGACUAGGAGAAGCUUUCAUUCGCUACACGCUCUCCCCCCCGUACGUGGUGGACAUGCAGCAGUUCAAUCGGUGUCAGAUGGCCAGAAGCAUACUGUAGUACUCCUCCACUGCAGUAGUACUCCAUCAUUUUGUUCGACUUCCCGAAGAGGCGAAGAGCCAAGCGCAGCCCGGACACUCGUGUGGCAGUUUCAUGUGUAGAGUAGUCUAGGAUAGCGUGUACCAUGCCUGUAAGAUUAAAAUCGUUGGGGUUGGCUCCAUGCUAUAUUUUUUUGAUUAAAAUUAUCUUCUGGCCCUACCUGUCAUCCUGGUGAUUCUAGUUUGCACGCUCAUCUGGUCAAGACAGGAACAUAUAUUUUAAUUUGUGGUGGGGUAAAUGUUAGAGGUUGCAGCAAAUGGAGUAUUGUACACUGCGGGUCUUUCAGCCAAGUUUAGAGGCAGGCCAGUGCUAUGAUGUGUCGCGUCAAUUCGUACAACGAGGAGAAGCUUGAUUUUACUACUACACGCCUUCUCCCUCGCCCAUGCGCGCGGUGGCUCGCAGACGAGGACAGGCUUUUGCUUAUAUAGUACUACAACAAGCUAUCCCUCCCGCUCGCGGUGGACGGACAUGCAGCAGUGGAUUCGAUACUGUAGAAGCAGUAGUAGUAACAUCAUUGUUCGUCUUCUCGAAGAGGCGAAGAGCCAAGUGCAACCCGAACGUGGCAGUUGCGAACCUUGGAGCGCGCAUAUAGCCAGGCUCUUGCAUGAGACAAAAUUGCUAUGUGAGCCCACUAUUGUAGUAAGUACUUGCUAGUAUAGCCCUGGAAACCAGAAAGGAGUAUUUGCCUUUCUAGAGAUUUCAACAAGUGACUAGACUACACCGAGACGGAGUACAUAUGGAGCAAAAUGAGUGAAUCUACACCAUAAAUAAAUACGUGGUUCUCUCGUUUUCCUCUCGGCCUUGGUCGCGGUGCACAAUAUUGAGUAUACUACUACUAUCAUCUUGAAAUUUACGAAGUCAGCAUAGGCACCUCGUCGUCGACGGGAACGUCUCCUGACACGCGAUAGACGCGAGCGGUAGUCGCCUCCAUAGGUGCUUGAAUGCCAAGGAGGGAGAGGGUAGUGGUUCCCGAGACGUUGAAUGGUCAAUGAUGCAUCCUCAAAUUACUCUACAUGAAGAGGGAAUUAAUUGGAGAAGCAGAAUAGAGCCAGCACGAUGUGAAUGCAACAGAGUUUGGAUUCUCAUAUAAAGGCGCCCCACCACUCCAAUCCAUCUACUCCUUAGUCUCUGCGCAACACUGCUCACUCCAAUCCAAGACCAAGUGACUAGAAGCCAGAAGCACCUAUGGAGGCGAUGGACGCGAGCGGCAGUUGGUUGUGCCAAAUCAUCCAAGGCGCCGGCCUGCGGCCCCGCACCGCGCAGUGUUUCCAGACGGUGCUGGCAACCGCCGGCGUCGUAGACCUCGCCGAUGCCGGCUUCGCCUCUCGCAUGGACGACAUGAUGGUCAACUCCAUCCGCAAGUUCGCCGCCGUCAAGAAGCGCGCGGACGACCUUGCCGUACUGCUCCAGCACGCGCGCCCAGGCUCCUCAUUGCCUGCCACCCUCAUCGGCCUCCAUGGUGAUGAACUCUUUCAAGCCCUGGUGGCCCUUCAGUUGCCGGAGGUCGCGAUGAAGAAUGUGCACCUCGAGGCCGCAUUCGUCGCGCAGCGCCUCACCAUGCAAGAAACCGUCGACCUGCACAUCCACGUCUAUGAGGAAAUCGUCUACAUAGGCCACUACAAGGCCAGCGAGGACAGAAAGACGUUGGCCUUCUUCCAGCGGCUGGAAUCUUUGGACGCCAUUGUUCAGAAGCACGUCGACCUGGCCACAAAAGCCGUUGCUACUUAGUUGCCGUUCGAUGGGCCGGCGACCUGAGUCGAGGAGGUGGACGUCGUCGAUGGAUGCAUCUCUUCUUGCCUCCUGUAACCAGCACUGCAUCGCCUCGUGGCCUUAAUGUUUUAUUAGUAUAGGAGUAUAUGGCAUUUUUAUUCCAGUAGUAACGUUUUCACUGUGAGGUGAGGCCGCAGUUGAGCAAACCGACCAUCGGCAAAUCCCCACCCCGCCCACCGGGCGUCGGCUGAGUUUAGAAUUAGAAGAGAGAAACGAGGGAGAAGAGCUAGUUGUAGCACAGACGCUGUUGUCAGAUGGGACUCGCGUUGAUAGAAUAGGAGUACUGAGCACUCGUACCUCUUUUUUGUAGGGAAAAAGCAGUCGUAUGUCUAGUACUACCACUAGUUGGGUGCGUGCGACCUAUACCUGUCAUCACUUUAGGUCUCCUUUUCGAACCGCAACUACGCUUCACCGCACAUAUUUUUUCACGCAUUUAUCCUCCUAUAUGUACUCCUAGGCUAUUUCCACGUGCACCCUUUCGCCGACAUGUGGGACAUAGAGCAUCUGGGUCGUAGUGCAUGCACGACUCGGAGCAUAUGCCGGGGUACUUUACAUUUUAGACGUCACGAAUUACAUGCAAACCCCCCGCAGAAGAAUAAAUAAAUGAAUGAAUUACUACAUGAAACCAGAUUAUUUUCGUAGAAACCGGAGCACGUUCAUUAAAUUUUGGACAUAACACGUUUAUAAAAAACUACCGGACCUAAACCAGUCUAAGGGCCUCUUUGAUUCGCAGGAUAUUGAAAACAUAGAAAUGGGGAAAGUAUGAUGGCGAUGAACCGAGACGAGGAGAACUCUACUAACUCAGUUAGAGGUUAGAGUUAGAUUCUAACCCUGAACUAACUCUAAACCAAAGAGGUGUAUGGAUGGCAAGGUUAGAUUGACAAUAAAUGUUCUUUCUCAAUCACUGCGCAACACUGCUCACUCCAAUCCAAGACCAAGUGACCAGAAGCCAGAAGCACCUAUGGAGGCGAUGGUCGCGAGCGGCAGUCGGCUGUGCCAAAUCAUCCAAGGCGCCGGCCUGCGGCCCCGCACCGCGCAGCGUUUCCAGACGGUGCUGGCGACCGCCGGCAUCGCCCUCAUCGACGCCGGCUUCGCCUCUCGCAUGGACGACAUGAUGGUCAACUCCAUCCGCAAGUUCGCCGCCGUCAAGAAGCGUGUAGCGAAAGCUCCUACUAGUCCUACCAGCCACCACGCUCAUGCGCGAGGGAGUGGGCGUUGUAGUAAUCAAACUUCUCGGUCUUGUACGAGUUGACACGACACAUCAAAGCACUGCACUCGAUAUAAGUCUUUUUACACAUUUCAAAUGGACUACUACAUAUGGAUGUAUGUAGACAUAUUUUGCUUCAUAUGUAGUCACUUGUUGCAAUCUCUAAAAAGACUUAUAUUUGGAAACGGAGGGAGUACAACGCAUGCAUGCAUGCCGUGACCUCCCUUUUGAUACUUGCAUGUGUUGAUUUGAUGCACCUUGCCAAAUUUCGACUAUAAAUUUAACUAACCAAAUUUUCAUGCAUGUCACAAAAAAUUACGGGGCUGUUUGGAUUGUGACUAUGUUUGUCUUAUGUUGCCACAUUAUUUUUCCCACACUUGCCUAACUUGAGUUGCUCAAAUUGUUAGACACACUUUGGCUUGCCUAAGGGAAUCUUGCCACACUUUUUCUGUCUAUAACAUGUGGGGUUCAUUGCUAAUAAAAAAAUCUUGUCUUAGGUGUGGCAAAUAAAAAAUACUUAUAUUUAGGAACGGAGGGAGUAGAAAAUAUAAAUAAUAAUGCAUGUUGGGGCAACCCACGUUUCCGAUAAUUUUAGCCGUGGGCUUGUUCACAGUUUUUACGAGGCGGUGGUUGUUCAUUUAAUGGAGGGACUUGUACCAGACUUGAACGAUGCAAAGUGCGACCUGGCACCCUCAAAAAAAAGUACGACCUGGCACACCAUAACACCACUUGGAACAAGCGGGUAGCUAUCUCAAAAAACAAUCAACAACUAAAAAACGGCGACCUGGCACGUAGUACACAAUUUUAAACGAUUGUUUUGAUGGAGUGAAAAAGGAAAACUACCCCACUACGUAUAUAUAGGCCGGAGCCUCCGCGCUUGCUUGCUAGGGUUGCUCUAUUCACACACUCUCAUCCUCUCUAGAUCUAAACAAGAUAGGGGUGGUAACACUGUCUUUCUCCCUUUAAAAAACACUGUCUUUCUAUCCUCACCGCUGGUUACAGAUCCGGACGUAUCCCCCUCCGCCGGUGAAGGGGAGGAGGGGCAGCGUUUAGGCCGUCGUCGACAGCGAGGGAGGAGACCCACUGCCGGGCGCACCGUUAUCUCUGGCCGAGCACCGGCGCAAGAGGUCCUCCGAUCCCUUCGUCGUUGCCCUAGUGUGGGCGGAUCCGGCCUCCCGCCGCCCACCUAUCCACAUCCCGACGACCUUCAAGUAUAUCUUCCUUCGAAACCGCCUUAGCUCUACUUCCCCAGCUCGCUACGUCGCUGCAUGUGCCUCAUUUUCUACCUCUCAGCCCCUCUUGAUCGGAUGGUCCAAUGUCACCUAUUUUUCCUAUUGUUAGAGGUAAAGCUACUUCAUGGAGUCGAAUCUUGUACUUGGUUCAAACAAGAAAUAAAGUGGGGGUGGGGGAAUUUAGUAUGUAGUACAUUGGACUUGGUACAAAUAGGAAGGAAAGGGGGUGAAAGUAGUAUAGACUGGUCAUCCAACCGGUCUCUUGGUCGAAAAGGGAAAUAUAGGGGUAACGUUGUACAUAGUGGUAUGACCAGGACUAGAUUUGUUAUCCACACAUAGGAGUAGGUGGCUAGAGUGAACAAAAAUGGGACCAACCCAGAUAUGUUUCUUGGAUGUUUGUUUCUCGGAGCAACAAACUAUGAAUCACCACUUUAUGCCCCUGUUUAGGUACAUGGUGCUGGACUGCUGGUGCACCCACUGUCCCAUGCCCUUAUACCAAAUAUUUAGCUGUUCUUAAUCUAAUGCCCCUGGUAAAAAUGAAGCCAUGCCACUGUUAUAAGCCAUGACAAGUUUAGCCAAAUGUUUUUGCCUGUAAUUGUUUGAGACUCUGACUGUUUCGUCUGUAGCUUUUUGUGCAAACAGGGAUAUCCAUUUCACCUGGUUGCUGUUGUGACCUUUUGGUGCACUGCACAAAACUCUUCUUAAAAGAAGUGACUUUUGUGCUGUUUAACUGGAAUGUCAGAAUGGAACAGUUGGUUCAUUUCGGUGGAACUGCACAAAGGGAGAUCUGUGUUCCAAUCCUCAUCAUCCAUAUUGGCACCAUAACCUUCCUUUAGGUAAGAAUGAUAUUUAAUGCAUGUGUUCAUCUCUGUAUUGUGACUGCCAUGAGAAAAUAAUGCUAUUUUUUACUAGUACACUUGUACUCCCUCACUGACGAAACCAAUUCUGAAAUAGAAGGCCACUCAUGUACUUGGUUUCACCAACUGGUGAGGAGACUGAGAAACAGAGCAUGAAGAGGAAGAAGAAGAAGAAGAGUAAACAGUGCCAAGGCGAUCUUGCUGAAGCCAGAGGCCUCAGUCGAGGCCAUUCAAGGGCUCCGGCAAUGACUACCUUACAUGUGAGACGAACCUCCAAGGAGCCCUUCCACUUCUGCUAUCUCACUUAAUUAAUUAGGAGUACUUAAGUACCACUAAUUUAUUGCUGCCUAAUUUUCCUGUCGGAGUUAAACAAAUCUUUAGUAGCACCCUAUGCUGAAUCAUGUACGUGUGUAUGUUUGUCUAUGAGGUGAAUCAUGUGGUGGAGCAGGGAGGGAAUGCUAACUUUACCCAUUAAGAUAAUGAGGGUGCUUCUAUUUGUUAGUGUAUGUUUCGUCAACUAGUCCCACUAUUACAGUAAUCUCACUCUCUCAAUAUAUGUGCCAACAGGGAUGCUCGAUUUUGGUGGAACUGCACAAAAACAUUGGGUGCUUCAUUGCCUCGACAGCUUCCUUCCUUUUCUGUUAGUCGCUAAUCUCGGCUUGCAUUCUUCCUUUGUUGUCAGUCGCUUGGCUUAUCUCGGCUUCCAGUCAAAGGAAAUAGUAAUUGAUAUGCUACCUCACACAGGUUGGUACUGGUCUUUAUCCUGAUUAUUGUGCUUGUCAUAUGUAUUGGUAAUUUGGUAUUGUGCUACUAUUUGCCGAUUUCAUAAAGGAGUAACUUGGAGCCUGAACUCGCAGGCAAAUCAUUACAUCGGGUGAUUUCAGUAGAACUGCACAAAAAGAUCAGAUGGGCAGGUACUUAUGCUGCUGCUAUGUACUCCAAAGUUCACUCAGACAAGCAUCGAUGUUGACAAGAGGAAGUGCCUAUAUUCAUUCGAGUAUCAACCGGCGUCAACCAAUUGUCAAACUCCAAGUAUUAGGAGAGUGAACGCCAAAAAUAUUGCUUGGCGCAUAGCCCAGAAAAACGCAGUCCAGUCUUUGGUCCCAACUUGUGCCUUUUGUUUAUCUGCACAUAUGGUAGCGAACUGUAUGGCAUGGAGUCUAAAGAUUCCAGACAAGUUGGUUGAUGCAUAUAUUCAUCUGGCACUUAAUCAGUCUGCACGCCAGGGAUGCUCCAUUUCAGUUGAACUGCACAAAAAAUUUGGGUGGUUCAUUUUCUUAACCGCCUCCUUUCUCGUCUGCAAUGUAGAAUUUUGGCGAGAUACAGGACCAAGAUGAGCCAGUAAACUAGUUGGAUGAAAGUAGUGGCAAAGUUGCUCAAACCUCCCUCGGCACUAGGCCACUAUUUCAGGAUAAACCUGCAAGCAAAGUUCAGAUUGUCUGUGCUGCCUCUUAUGUACUCGAAAGUUUACUCGUAGAAGCAUUAAUUUUAGCAAGAAGUACCUCUGACUGAACACCAUUUACCAGUCUGCAAUGUAGAAUUUUGGCGAGCUACAGGACCAAGAUGAGCCAGUAAACUAGUUGGAUUAAAGUAGUGGCCAAGUUGCUCAAACCUCCCUCGGCACGAGGCCACUAUUUGAGGAUAAACCUACAAGCAAAGUCCAGAUUGUCUGUGCUGCCUCUUAUGUACUCGAAAGUUUACUCGUACAAGCAUUAAUUUUAGCAAGAAGUACCUCUGACUGAACACCAUUUACCAGUCUGCAAUGUAGAAUUUUGGCGAGCUACAGGACCAAGAUGAGCCAGUAAACUAGUUGGAUGAAAGUAGUGGCCAAGUUGCUCAAACGUCCCUUGGCACGAGGCCACUAUUUGAGGAUAAACCUACAAGCAAAGUUCAGAUUGUCUAUGCUGCCUCUUAUGUACUCGAAAGUUUACUCGUACAAGCAUUAAUUUUAGCAAGAAGUACCUCCGACUGAACACCAUUUACCAGUCUGUACCCUAGGUAAUUAAAGUUCGUCCAUGGAUCAUAUUGGCUGUGAUCUCAAUCAUUUGGAUGCAUAAACAUACUGAACAUGUGUAUAUCUGAAUCUUUUUGUGAAUUAUCUAUGAAUAUUGUUGUGUGAUCUAUCAAUCAUUUGGAUCCAUAGACAUGUUGAACUUGUGUAUAUAUGAAUCUUUUGAGUUGUUGAUAGUGAAUGUUGGCUAUGAAAAUGAGCAUGUCCUGUGAACCAGAGUUUUAUACGAAUGUUUACCUUGUCUGCUGUGCUUGUGUGUGAACUUGUUAGUAUGCCUACUGUGGGAUAUGUGACGUGUGGGUGUCAAAGGCACACCUUCUUCCCGAGAAGAAUUGCACCUGCUUUGUUAGGGUAGCAACUGCGCAUCAGCUCUUUUUAAUCUUUUUGCUCUGUCUUGCCCCUCCCCCGCUCAACCCCUGCUGUAAUGUUUUCGGCCUCAAAACAAACAUAGUACUGCGUUGUUUUUGGGCUUGAUGAAAAAUCGAGUGCUGGUUUCUGUAGGUUGGCCCGCCCAGCAAAUGGGCUGCUGGUCCACCACGGACUGGGAGGCUAAAAAUACAAGUUGUAUGGUGCAUAGGCAAGUAAAAAACGCCAUCGAGAGCCAUCCACUGAAGAAGAAAAAAUCUCUCCUGAUGUGCUUCUUCAGUCGUGCCGCCGGCCCCCUCUAUAAUCCAGUUCACUCGGGGAUCUGGUAUCAUUUUUUUCCAGAGGGCGAACAAGUAUCAGCUAGGCCUAGGUUUUGUAUUUUAACAUGCGUAGCCCACGACAUACGGGUGACAGUGGUUUCAACUUAUUUUUUGAGGUCCAUACCGGCCUAUGGGCUUUUUCUUAAAGAUCGACAGCCCAAUGUAUUUUUUAACAACAUUAUAUAUAUUUAUAUAAUUACUAUUAUCAUAUAUUUUAUAGAGACUUAUAUAUACAUUAUGAAAACAUCCCACGUGUUAUUAACUUAUAAAAGUAAAUGUUUAACCGAAGUUGGCAAGGAAAUCCUGGUUGUUUUUGACUCACAGGCAAGGAAAAUCCUUGUGAUUGUGUACAAAAGCUUGCGAAGAUUUUAAGGACCAAUGUAAUAAUAACACGCUCAUUUUUAUUCUGAGCAAUAACUCGCUAAUUUGUUAAUUAUGUAUAUAAAAAAUGUGCCUCUCUGGUUUAUUUUUGAUAUUAAUUGCUCCUUCUAACAUAACAUUAUAUAUAUAACGAGCCCAGCUAAUUCGUGUAUUUGAAGGAAGUGCAAAUGGGCUGGGAUUCCUUAGAUAAUAUAAAUGGGCCGCAUUGACGCGAAAUUAUUUGUUCACCCAGCCCAGUAAAUGGACUGUACAUUCUAGAAAACAUGGGUUAAAUAUAUGCCACAUUUUUGCAGGCUGACAUGUGGGCCAAUAGGUCGAAGCCUACGCAGGGCGUUGUCAACUUGGUCGGCAUGCACCUUCAAUCUCUCGUCUUCUUCCUCCAGCGUCGCCGGGACCGCCUGGUCCGGCCUCCGGCAGCUAGCGGCUCUGCCUAGCACGCAUCGCUGUGAAGCGCUACCCCACCGCCGGCCAGGCUAUCCCUCCACCCCUCCACACCUCCUGUUAUUCUCCACCGACUGCAGCCCCACGCCGCACCAGAACCAGUUAUAACCCUUCGCCUCCACUCAAUCUGCGACUCCACUGCCGCGUCUUCCCAUCUCCGAGUCGUUCCCGUCCGGGGCCUCGCCGUCAUCCUCCGCCUCGCUGCGCUCGGUGCGACGUGGUCAACAAACAAGAGUCAUCGGAAGAGGACUGUACGUGGAGAGCCUGACGGCUGGGACCCACGAGGUCCAUGGUCGCAUGUAAGGAAAGUUCCUCCUUAUUAAGCUGAAAAAAUGUUUCCUCCACCUGACAGCUGGGACCCACCGGCUGUAUCUUCGUACGGAAGGAAGUGCCUCCUUGUUAUGCGAAAAAAAUUAUUCCUCCCAUUGACAGCUGGGACCCGUCAGAUUUGGGGGCUGACUUGCGGGCCUACUAAGCGGACAUGUACGCAGGGCUUUGUCAACUUAAUCAACAAAUGAUUCUAGCAGUUGGACCGUUGGAUGUUAAUCCAGCAGCCGUGCUCCUUCUUCAACCUCUGUUCUUGCUCCUGUCUCUCGUGGGCGGCACCGCGGCUGUGCUGCCGCACACCCGAACAAGUCAAGUUUCCCACUCCCCUCCAUCUGCGACUCCACUGCCCCGUCUUUCCCAUCUCCGGGUCGUUCCAGUCUGGGGCCUCGCCGUCGUCCACCGGCUUUUAGUGCGCUCGGCACAGUAUGGUCAACGUGGUCAACAACCGAGAGUCAUCGGAACAUGACUGUACGUGAGAGGCUGACAGUGGGGACGCACCACGCCCAUGGACGCAUGCAUGCAACGGAACGCGGCAUGGUCAACGUGGUCAAGGAACGACUUCCAUCGGAAGUGUACUGUACGUGGAGAGGUUGACAGCUGGGUCCACAGCCGCAGCAAAGAAGUGCCUCCUUAUUACGCAGAAAAUAAUGAUUCCUCGACCUAACAGCAGGGACCCACCGGACGGGCCACCGUAUUUUGCGAAAAAAACGUUUCCCCCUGACUGCUGGGACCCACCAGACGGGUCACCGUAUUUCGUGAAAAAAAACGUUCUCCCCACUGUCAGCUCGGACCCACCGGAAGUGCCUCCUUAUUAAGCACAAAAAAAAUGAAUACUCCCCCUGCUAGUUGGGACCCACCUUGGUGGGUGGCUGACUUGUGGGCCUACUAAGUUGACGCGGAUGGAGUGCUUUGUCAACUUAGUCAAUAUGAACGAUUCUAGCUCCAGUGACCGUACGAUGUCCAUCCAACUGCCGUAGUGCUUCUUCAACCUUUGGUCUUCUUGCUCCAGCUGCCCAAAGCAGCGCCGGUCGUGCCGCAUGCUCCUGCCUCUCGUGGCCGGCUGUGCUGCCGCGGAGACCUCACCGCCCCCUACUAUUCCCACCGCUGGUCAGGCCCUACGGCGACGGCAGCCUCACACCGCAGCCGAACCAGUGAACCCUCGUACUCCUCUCCGCGCGGGCUUCCACUGCCGCGUCUUCCCCAGCUCCGCGUCGUCCCCUUCCUAGGCCUCACCGUCGUCCACCGCCCGGGUGCUCUCGGCGCGGCGUGGUCAACGUGGUCAAGGAACGACUUCCAUCGGAAGAGUACUGUACGUGGAGAGGCUGACAGCUGGGUCCACGGCCGCAGCAAGGAAGUGCCUCCUUAUUACGCGCAAAAUAAUUAUUCCUCCACCUGACAGCGGGGACCCACCGGUCGGGCCACCGUAUUUCACGAAAAAACAUUUCCCCCUGACUGCUGGGACCCACCAGCUACAUCUUCGCACGCAAGGAAGUGCGUCCGGGCAAAAAAAAACGAUUCGCCCCCCUGACUGUUGGGACCCACCGGCUACAUCUUCGCACGCAAGGAAGUGUCUGACAGUCGGGACCCACCUGGUCGAAGCGUACGUAGAGUUGUCAUUCUGGUCGCGAACGUGUACGUACAUACUGGUCGAUGUAGAGACGCGCACGUGUCGUAGUAGAGGCGCGCACGUAGCAUGUACACGUACGUACAGCGGACAGGGUGCAAGAAAGUAAAUACGGCCACGUACGUACAUACGGGCGGGGUCUCGAACGCCUACUCGCGCGUACGUACGGCCAGGGCUCGUGUACAUGGCUGGGUCAGAACGGAGAAACAGCGUCGUCGUCGUGUUCAUGGGGAGCCAACCGGCUAGGUCGGAACGGAAUGCGUCGUCGUGUUCAUCGGGAGGGCUUGGACGGAACAGCCAAUGGAAACAAGGCCUGGCGUACCGCGGAACGGAGGAAACGGCCUUGUGUUCGACCAGCCACGUUCGAAACGGGAUCCUGUUCAUCGGGAGGGGUCUGGCGUACCGCAAAACGGAGGAAACGGACCUCCUACGGUCAAAACGGGGGUCCUGUUGAUCGGGAGGGGUGUGGCGUACUGCAAAACGGAGGAAACGGACUUGUGUUGGAGCGCUACGGUCGAAACGGGGGUCCUGUUCAUCGGGAGGGGUGUGGCGUACCGCAAAACGGGACUCCACGGGAUACUGUUCAUCUCCACCGUCGACCCCCUCCAGCCUCCACGGGCUACUGUUCAUCCACCGUCGACCUCCUCCAGCCUCCACCUGCGACUGUUCAUCCACGGGCUCCUGUUCAUCCAGCCUCCACCGCGCGCUACUCCACCGGCUACUGUUCAACCAGCCCUCUCCACGGGCUCCUGUUCAACCACCCCUCCACGGGCUACUAUUCAUCCAGCCCUCCACCGUCUACUGUUCAUCCUGCCUUCACGGGGUGGUCCUGUUCAUCCUGCCCUCCACGGGGUCCUGUUCAUCCAGCCCCAACCGUCUCGAUCGAUCGGGGUCCUGUUCAUCCAGAGGCAACACCACGGGGUCCUGUUCAGCCACCCCCACCGGAAUUGUUCAUCCAAACCCCCCCAGCAACGCUCACUGUUCAUCCAGAGGCAGCAUCGAUCGGCUUCAGUUAGCAGCAGAAGCCAAGGAAUCGCUCGAUCGGGUUUAGUUAACAGCCAUCGAUCGAUCGCUCGGGUUCAGUAACGCGUAGCCUGCAGUGCAAUCGCUCGGGUUCAGUUAGAGCCCAACGCCUCGCACUCACGCGUGUGCGUGUACGAGAGAAACGCGCAUCGCUCGGCCCCGACCACCCACCGUAACCGGGAACACCCCGAUAUUUUCCUUGCCCUCGCUUCUACCACGGUUUUUUCCGUCAUGGACGGCCCAAAGAAUGUCAUGCAGCUGCGUCUCUGGCCCGCCCAGGACGAAAAGCCCAUUUUAUUUCAUGAUUUUUUGUCAUAGAAGUAGGACCCAACCACAUAUAUGAUGAUACCGUGUUUUGUCACAAUUAUUGUCAUAGAAGUGUCAUAAGUAUGACAGAAAAAAAUUGUUCGGCCCAAAAUGUCAUGGAUGUGUCUUUUUUUCUAGUGGAUGGUGUGCGUGCCAUCCUGCAAUAUAGGUCGUCGGAUUUAUAUCUAACGGAUAGGAAGGAAACUAUGGCAAUUUUGCAAAAAGAUACCCACACCCCUCUCCACGUUUGCAAAUAAGGCCUCCCGUCAUUCAUCCUUUUCUCUACUCUUACUAGCGAUGUGCCCGUGCGUUGCAACGGAUCCAAAAUAGAAUAAUACAUGUUCACAAACUUGAAGAAAAACACUCUAGUUUGGUGUAUAUAUCACUAAAAAUAUACUCGUAUUAGGUUUCACUCAAAAUAUAUUCCUUAUGGCUAUUUUGAUGAGGUGGGGGAGGGAUGUGGUUGGUUUCAAGAUACUAAGGGGUUUCUGCAAAUUGGAGCAGAGAAGUGGGAUCUUGUUGCAGAAAUGCCACGACUUACAUCAUAGUCGUUAGAUGUAGAUCUGAUGGUCAGAAAUGACCGAUGGCAGACACACCAUCAUCACCAACUGAGUCUUUUAUAGGAGUAGAGAUAAAAAAAAUAGAGUUGGUGAUGAUGGUGUGCCUGCCAUCCUGCAAUAUAGGCCGUCCGACUUAUAUCUGACGGAUAGGAAGGAAACUAUGGCGAUUUUGCAAAAAGAUACCCACACCCCUCUCCACAUUUGCAAAUAAGGCCUUCCCUCGUUCAUCCUUUUCUCUGACAAGAUAAACUACUCAUAUAAAUGCAUCUUGAUGUUCCGUGCAACGCAUGGGCAUCUUGCUAGUCUCUCACAAGAUAAACUACUCAUACAAAUGCAUCUUGAUGUUCCGUGCAACGCACGGGCAUCUAGCUAGUUCCUUUUAAAAUAGUUACUGCGAUAAUUGGGUUGAAGUGAUAUAUUAUAUGUCUGCCCCGAAUGAUUUCAGAUUCACUAGUAGUAACAAAGAAAAGGUUGUCUUGUUAAUUAACAGAAAACAGGGUGAAAACUAUCACAUGAGGCCGGUGAAAACAAGGCACAUUGGGUUCAGCGUCAUCGUCACUACAGCUGUGCGCGCGCGAGAAGUCUACAUAUCGAGGGGGCUAUGGAGAAAAAGACAUAUCAAGUGUGUCUGAGUGAGGCACACAGACACAAUGUUUGAGAGAGAAACCAAUUGCCAGAUUAAGAUCAGAUCGAGUUGUCACCCUUCUGCUGUCAUUGUUGGGGUUGGGGGAUGGGGAAGGGGAAGGGGAGGGAGAGAAAGACGUAUCAAGAGUGCGUGCGGUAAGCACAGAGGCACAACUAGCGAGUGUGUGUGUAUCUGUGUGUGUUUGAAAGAGGAGUAGAUAGAUUACUAUCAAGAUCGAGGUGCCACCCUACUCCUUCGGUGUCGGGUAGUGUGUGUGUGUCUGUGUGUGUGUGUGUGUUUGUGUGUGUGUGUGUUUGAUAGAGUAGCCAGUCGAUAGAUUAGUAUCAAGAUUGAGGUGUCACCCUACUCCUUCGGUGUCGGGAAGUGUGUGGGUGGGUGGGGGGGCAGUGACACUUACAUACCUCUACUCUUAUAAAAAAUAGAGUUGGUGAUGAUGGUGUUCCUGCCAUCCUGCAAUAUAGGCCAUCCGAAUUAUAUCUGACGGGUAGGAAGGAAACUAUGGCAAUUUUGCAAAAAGAUACCCACGCCCCUCUCCACAUUUGCAAAUAAGGCAUUCCCUCGUUCAUCCUUUUCUCCCACAAGAUAAACUACUCAUACAAAUGCAUCUUGAUGUUCCGUGCAACGCUGGGCAUCUUGCUAGUAGGGAGAAGGAGUUUGUGUGACCCAUAUCUAUAUUAAGGGAUAGGUAGAUAGGAUGUGUGUGAGGCAUACUUAAAGCAUCACAGAGAUAAACAAACGGUGUGCAUGCAAGUGCCGGAAAAAAUGAAGUGAUAAACAAUGUCUACGCGCGCGCGCAUGUGUGUGUGUGUGUGAGAGAGAGAGAGAGAGAGAGCGAAAACUCAAAACAAAAGGUGCUCUGCUAGAAUCCCAUUGUAUGUAUUCAUAUGGUUCCGGAACUCGAGUUAACCUUAGGCAUAUGUGUGAGAGACAUAAUUAUCCUUUGAGACAUUAGUGGUUGUGGGUGGGCGGAAUUAAAGGGGUGGGCAUGUUCGACAGAGAGAGCGUGUGUGUUUCUGUGUGAGAGACUUGAAGGAUGGAGUAGAAAGACGAAUUCUAACCUUGAUGGAGGGAGAGAAAUACAUGAAGUGUGCGUGUGUGAUUCUGAUGCCCACGGGGAAAUGAUAAAUGUAUGCGUGUGAGAGAGAUUGCACAAUUCAUUCACGUAUCACUAUCUAGCGAUCGUGGACGUGCAUCGCUUGAACAUAAAUCAAUAUCUACUUUGUAUCGUGGCCAAAGGUACAAUAUUGAUUCAACGCUAUAAAGAUUGGACACUCACAUAUCACAUUUUUUUCUAUCUAAAUAAACCUUUUCAAUUGUGCAUGCCAAAGUUACAUUGAUGUUUCUUCAAACAACCAAUGUAGCUAUCAUGUACAUGCACCAUUGUUACUAUUGCAUUCAACUUCAUUAGUCUUGGAUGAUUUAAGGUUCUAUUAUGAAGUAAUAUAUGUAAUAUUCAUAUAUGAAUUCACGGGUAUGCAAUUUAUGAAAUGGAGGCUAUGUAAUCAUAUGAGGUAACACUUUUAAGUAGCGGACUACAAUAUCCAUUUCUUUUGUGGGACUACAAUAUCCAUUUCUUUUUGUGCACCUUUACACUAACACGUCAAUGCAUUAUGUUUAAAGUAAAUAACCAAUGGCACUAAAUUAUCUAUUUACACGAGAAAUACAUAGGCUGAGCGUUUGAUCCCUUUUUUGUGAACGCGCCUCUACACCCGUACGACUGGCCGCGCCCAUGUGAACGUCCAAGUUAUCGGCGCAUCAUCCCGAGUUAUUGUCUUUUUUUGGGGGUGGACUUCACACCAGUUAUUAACUGCUGACGCGUGCCCCGUGUACACAAUCUCGCAUGACCUUCCCGCUAGCACGGUCCAAAAUUAGUUGAAACUGGAUACGAACGUGUAGCGAUCCGGCCUCAGACGGUCAAAUCUCUGUGCAUAAGUGUCGUCCAUGGAUCGGUAAUGCUGACACACACAGUGCUUGAAUGGAUUUAUAAUAGAGUAGCAAUCACACACUUAUUACAUCGAUAGUCUCAAGAGAGAACUUGUUACAAUAAAUAUUGCUUAAGGCCAUCUCAAUAAGAAAACAGCGGAAGGCUUGGAAGAUAAUGUGAGUCCAUCAACUCCAACGGCAUAGCUGAGUGCACGACAACGAUCUAGCACACCUUACUCUUCGUCUGAAAAGUCUGCAACAUGAUAUGUUGCAGCCCGAAACGGGUCAGCACAUGGAAUAUGCUGGCAAUGUAACACAGUAGAGCAAUGAACAGAAUAAAAGCUAUUACUACAUUCAUAUAUGGCUGGUGGAGGCUCUAUAGUUACAAUGUUUUGCGAAAAGCCAAUUUUUUCCUACAACAAAGGAAUAUAAUUUGUUUAACUAUCAUGGUAGUUGUUAAACAUUGAGAAGGUUCCUCCAACUCAAUCCCAAGUAAGCAGUAUUAAUAACCCAACAAAUUAAUUUAGAGUGAUGAGAUCAACAUGAUAAUCCAAGAACCAGAUACUCAAGAUGUCCAUAACCGGGGACACGACUAACCAUGAUUAGUUUCUACACUCUGCAGAGGUCUGCGCACUUUUCCCCACAAGACUCGAUCUCCUCCGUUGGAUUUCUCGCACUACAUGGUGUUUGAGAAACGGAUGACCGAGACACAGUCUUUCAAAAACAUUAACUCUUUACUCUGGGUGGAUAGUUACACCUACUUAAUUGCUUUCACAAAGCACAUACCUUGAUAAAGUUUUGAAGAAGUUCAAAAUGGAUCAAGCAAAGAAAGGGUUCUUACCUGUGUUACAAGGUGUGAAGUUGAGUCAGACUCAAUGCCCGACCACUGCAGAAGAUAGAGAGAAAAUGAAAGAUGUUCCCUAUGCUUCAGCCAUAGGCUCUAUCAUGUAUGCAAUGCUGUGUACCAGACCUGAUGUGUGCCUUGCUAUUAGCUUAGCAGGGAGGCACCAAAGUAAUCCAGGAGCGGAUCACUGGACAGCGAUGAAGAGCAUCCUGAAAUACCUGAAAAGGACUAAGGAUAUGUUUCUCGCUUAUGGAGGUGACAAAGAGCUCGUCGUAAAUGGUUACGUUGAUGCAAGCUUUGACACUGAUCUGGAUGACUCUAAGUCACAAACCGGAUACGUAUUUAUAUUGAACGGUGGAGCUGUCAGUUGGUGCAGUUCUAAGCAAAGCGUCAUGGCGGGAUCUACGUGUGAAGCGGAGUACAUAGCUGCUUCGGAAGCAGCAAAUGAAGGAGUUCAUAUCCGAUCUAGGUGUCAUACCUAGUGCAUCGGGUCCAAUGAAAAUCUUUUGUGACAAUACUGGUGCAAUUGCCUUGACAAAGGAAUCCAGAUUUCACAAGAGAACCAAGCACAUCAAGAGAAGCUUCAAUUCCAUCUGUGAUCAAGUCAAGGAGGGAGACAUAGAGAUUUGCAAGAUACAUACAUAUCCGAAUGUUGCAGACCCGUUGACUAAGCCUCUCUCAUGAACAAAACAUGAUCAGCACCAAGACUCCAUGGGUGUUAGAAUCAUUACUAUGUAAUCUAGAUUAUUUACUCUAGUGCAAGUUGGAGACUGAAGGAAAUAUGCCCUAGAGGCAAUAAUAAAGUUGUUAUUUAUAUUUCCUUAUAUCAUGAUAAAUGUUUAUUAUUCAUGCUAGAAUUGUAUUAACCGAAAACUUAGUACAUAUGUGAAUACAUAGACAAACAGAGUGUCACUAGUAGGCCUCUACUUGACUAGCUCGUUGAAUCAAAGAUGGUUAAGUUUCCUGGCCAUAGACAUGAAUUGUCAUUUCAUUAACGGGAUCACAUCAUUAGAGAAUGAUGUGAUUGACUUGACCCAUUCCGUUAGCUUAGCAUUCGAUCGUUUAGUAUAUUGCUAUUGCUUUCUUCAUGACUUAUACAUGUUCCUAUGAUUAUGAGAUUAUGCAACUCCCGAAUACCGGAGGAACACUUUGUGUGCUACCAAACGUCACAACGUAACUGGGUGAUUAUAAAGGUGCUCUACAGGUGCCUCCGAUGGUAUUUGUUGAGUUGGCAUAGAUCGAGAUUAGGAUUUGUCACUCCGAUUGUCGAAGAGGUAUCUCUGGGCCCUCUCGGUAAUGCACAUCACUAUAAGCCUUGCAAGCAAUGCAACUAAUGAGUUAGUUGCAGGAUGAUGUAUUACGGAAUGAGUAAAGAGACUUGCCAGUAACGAGAUUGAACUAGGUAUUGAGAUACCGACGAUCGAAUCUCGAGCAAUUAACAUACCGAUGACAAAGGGAACAACGUAUGUUGUUGUGCGCUUUGACCGAUAAAGAUCUUCGUAGAAUAUGUAGGGCCAAUAUGAGCAUCCAGGUUCCGCUAUUGGUUAUUGACCGGAGACGAGUCUCGGUCAUGUCUACAUAGUUCUCGAACCCGUAGGGUCCGCACGCUUAACGUUCGGUGACGAUUGGUAAUAUGAUUUUAUGUGUUUUGAUGUACCAAAGGUAGUUCGGAGUCCCGGAUAUGAUCACGGACAUGACGAGGAGUCUUGAAAUGGUCGAGACAUAAAGAUCGAUAUAUGACUAUGUUUGGACUUCGGAAGGGUUCCGGGCAAGUUCGGACAAAUACCGGAGUACCUGGGGGUUACUUGAACCCCCCGGGGAGUGUAAUGGGCCUAUUGGGCCUUAGUGGAGAAGAGGAGGGGCGGCCAGGGCAGGCCGCUCGCCCCCUCCCCCUCUAGUCUGAAUUGGACAAGGAGGGGGGGGCGCCGCCCCCCUUUCCUUCCCCCUCUCUCCUCCUUCCCUCUCUCCUACUCCUACUCUUGGAAGGGUUGGAGUCCUACUCCCAGUGGGAGUAGGACUCCCCUUGGGGUGCGCCUAGGAGGGCCGGACCCUCCCCCUCCUCCACUCCUUUAUAUACGGGGGAGGGGGCACCCCAUAGACACACAGAAGUUGAUCAGUUGAUCUUUUUAGCCGUGUGCGGUGCCCCCCUCCACCAUAAUCCACCUCGGUCAUAUCGUAGCGGUGCUUAGGCGAAGCCCUGCGUCGAUAGCAUCAUCAUCACCGUCAUCACACCGUCGUGCUGACGGAACUCUCCCUCGAAGCUCUGUUGGAUCGUGAGUUCGAGGGACGUCAUCGAGCUGAACAUGUGCUGAACCCGGAGGUGCUGUGCAUUUGGUACUUGGAUCGGUCGGAUCGUGAAGACGUACGACUACAUCAACCGCGUUGUCAUAACGCUUCUGCUUUCGGUCUACGAGGGUACAUGGACAACACUCUCCCCUCUCGUUGAUAUGCAUCACCAUGAUCUUGCGUGUGCGUAGGAAAUUUUUUGAAAUUACUACGUUCCCCAACAGGAGGCUCUAUGGUUACAAUGUUUUGCAAAAAGCCAAUUUUUCCCUACAACAAAGGAAUAUAAUUUGUUUAACUAUCAUGGUAGUUGUUAAACAUUGAGAAGGUUCCUCCAACUCAAUCCCAAUUAAGCAGUAUUAAUAACCCAACAAAUUAAUUUAGAGUGAUGAGAUCAACAUGAUAAUCCAAGAACCAGAUACUCAAGAUGUCCAUAACCGGGACACGGCUAACCAUGAUUAGUUUGUACACUGUGCAGAGGUUUGCGCACUUUUCCCCACAAGACUCGAUCUCCUCCGUUGGAUUUCUCGCACUACAUGGUGUUUGAGAAACGGAUGACCGAGACACGGUCUUUUAGAAACAUUAACUCUUUACUCUGGGUGGACAGUUACACCUACUUUCCCCUACAUCUGCUAGCCCACCACUGAAAGAGGUCAUGCAACAUACUCAACUAUGCUAGAGCCCAUAAUAGCUUGUGGCUGCACACGGAAGUUUCUAUCAUGAAUAAUCUUAUGAUCCCUUUGAGCCUGGUGGAGAACCAUAGGAUGAUCACACGGGUACUCCGGGAUAUCCUAGGACAACACUGGAUUCUCCAGGUGCCCGCAACCAAUCCACCCAGAUGUGUAUUUAAGUGAACACCUUAAGUUAACCAUUAAUUAACAAUCUCACAUCUGUCAUGGAUACACUCAAACCUAAUCCAUGUCUACGAGCAUAGCAUGGCAAUAUAAGCAUAACAUAUAAGUAACUCCCAAGGGUUUGAUAAUAAAAGGGCAAUAGGUUCUACCUCAUCAUCUACUUCCCAAACCCACAUGUUAAGAGAUCAUACUAAUGCAAUGUUUGAGGGGUUGAGAUAAUGCAUAAAAACUGGGUAAUAAAGGGGUAUGAUCAAUGUGUUACUUGCCUUGCUGACGAUCCGCAAACCCUAGAGACUCGUAGUAGCACGCUUCGCACUCCGGGAAUUCUAUCGCAAACAAACAAUAGCAUACAUAAGCACUCAAGCAAUGAUGCACGGGUAAAACUCAAAUAAGAAGAUCAAAUAUGAAAUUCCAACUAAAGAGAUUCGAUCUGCAAAAAGAAUCAAUCGAAUCGGAGCUACAGAACUGAAACUACGAACAAAAGAACUUCGAAAUCAAAUCUACUUGAAACCAAAUUUUAACUUGUCAAAACCUUGUACAAGUUGAUUAAACAGAAAGAGGGGCUCAAGACGAAGAUUUUGGAAUUGGUUUCACUGGAUUUGGACAAACGGUUUAGAAACGGCGAGGGUUUGAACAUCAUGGGCUAAUCUAUGAUAAAAAUAAUCGCGGAUAGGUCCCUGGCCAAAAAUAAAAUAAAAAGAAAAGACUAACGAACGAACGUUUGCUGUCUGAACCCAAACGGCGAACAACGUUCGUUAAAACAAACGAACAGACGAACGGCCAGGGUCAGGAUCACCAGCUUUUUCGUUGCCGUUGCGGGGACGGUCUUCUUCCUCGCCAUUCGCGUACCGAGUGGCUAUCUCCAUCAUUCUGCUCAUGGUCAAGGUCCCAGACCGAACAAACUUCAAGAUGAGUUCUCUGUAUCUGACACCAGCCUUGAAAGCACAAACUGCCUGAUGCUCGGUGACAUUCUCAACCACAUGGUGAAGUGUGGUCCAGCAUUGUAUGUAAUCUCUCAGAGUUUCAUUCGGCUUCUGAACGCAGACGCAGUGUUGUAAUUCAGUCAACCCGGUGGGAUGCUUGCACGUGCCUUCAAAUGUUUUGAUGAACACUCGAGCUAGGUAUUCCCAGCAGUAUAUGCUAGCAGGAGCCAACUGGUUCAACCACGCCCGGGCCGACCCUUCUAGCAUCAAGGGCAAAUGUUUUUCAUGGCGACAUAAUCAUUGCCUCCGCCAAUCUGCACUGCCACUCGGUAAUCUUCCAACCACGUCUCUGGCUUCGACUCGCCAGUGAACCUGUUAACUCCCAUGGCUAACCUGAAGUUGGGUGGUAUCUCUGCGGCCCAUAUGGCCCUGCUGAAACACUCAAGCCCAGAGAUGUACACGCCACUUCCACUCGGACGAUCUCUGUCCAAGCUCUCUUGGUGAGCUCUGCCACUAUCGACUAGAUUAUGCAAGAGGAGUGACCUCGCGUUGAACCCUGGAUCUCGGGGAUCGACUGGUUCUCUCCGCUCAUCGUCGUAUGGGUGCAUGGCAUCGUACCGCCGGGGCGCGUACGAAUCACCCCUCGGAGGGGGCGUCGUCACGGUGAUGUUGAGGAGCAAACUGACCGUGGCCUUGAUCCAGGUACUGAUCCUGGUGGUAACCGCGAUCUUCACGCUGCGGAGGCGAUCUCGGGUUGUGGGCUGACUGAACUGUGUCUGCUCUGACAGACCUGCUAUGAAUUCUGUCGUGCGAAUGGGAAACGACCGAAUUCUAUUCCCCAGCCGCUGUGAGUAGCGUUCGGAUCUACCGAAGACCUUCUCCAGCUUCGAAUCGGGACGGCUGGAUGGAAUCUGCAAUCCGUGCAGCUGCUGCUAAGUUCUGAAUUGGAGUGUGGAGUACCUGAUACUCAUUUUGCGAUCCACUCGGGAACAGUUGUCGUUGCCAUCGAUUGGAGCUUGAGGGUUGCCUGCGAGAGCGGUCGUCGAGUGAUUUCUGGAGCACCUCGAGAUGCGUGCGUUCAUCCAAAGUGGCUAUGCGCACCGCUUCCAAAGCCUGGGCCUCGGUGGUCGCGUCGAUGAUGGGAGUCCGAAGGACUCGCUCAUUCAUGUGCAGUAGUUCUUCUCUCUGUUGAGUGGUGAGGGAUUGCGGGUAAUACUCGUCGUUGGUAUGUGACGGACCAUUGCCCCCAGCCACAUCGCGGGAAUACCCUGGCAGGCUAUGCUGAGAGCCGACCAUAAGUACUUUCGCCGCCGGGUCGCUGCUCUCGCGCUCGGAAGGAACAUCUGAGUGAUCUGACAACGGAUCGAUCAAAUUGUAGAGGGAUUCGUCGGGCUCGGUUGUCGUGAUCUGCUGAGCGGAUGACUGACGAGCCAACGCAUGCCUAACCCACCGCUCGAGCCGAGAGCGACCGGAUCGCUUGCGACGGCGAGCAGCGGGAAGGGAAAACGCCGUCAGGGCCGACUGAUACUGAGUCAACGGUUGCCGGAGGAGGACGCCACAGGAGCCUGCGCGGAAGUGCGCCGCCCCGCAAAUAGGGAGCGCCUCGACGUCCAAAGGGGCUUCUUGGAGCCACGCCGAAUCAUCGGCGACGAAGCUGAGAGCGCCGAGACGGAUCUCGCGACCCAGGACAGUCCGCCGCCAGAAACCAUGGUGAAGAUGUUGAAAAACGCAACCACGCUGGAAGUCGCCUAGACACCUGCCCCAAGGUGGGCGCCAACUGUCGUGGGAACAGAUCUGACAAUAGAGUAUAGGGGUACGUAUAGGAGGGCAGAGUCUAGCUACGGUAUGGUUGUACACUCGGAUUUACGAGUUCAUGCCCCUCUCGGAAGGAGGUAAAGACCCUACGUCUCGGUGCUGCGGGAGCCUAUUUAUCUGGAGUGUUGUGGUACAAGAGGUGCGAACUCUUGUGUAAGGGUGGAGGGGUGGCUUAUAUAGAGUCCGCUGGCCCCUCAUGAAUGCCCCGUUACUCAAGGGUUCAAUGGAGAGGUUAAAGGAUGUGGGCGUUACAGGUAACGCCAGCGUUAGAUGUUCUUUAUGGUGGUGAACUGAUCGUCUGACUGUUUCUGUCUCAGGGUGACUCUCGGUCUUCUUCCGCCGAGUGACGCUUGGUACUCCGAGUGGGUAGAGAUGGUCGAGUGAUGGUGAGGCUUUCGAGUGGAUCCUUCGUCCGAGUGACUUGUAGGCUGCAGGCAUUCCACUCGGUGACUCCUUCCUAACUUUGUAGGCCUUGAAUUCUUGUAUGUGGUGUCCUUGGGUAGGGUAUGUAGGUCAGGCCUAGGACCCUACCCCAGAUACAUGUCAUCGUCGGGGGGGGAGGGGGAAGAGAAAAGGGGGUUGUGUCCCCGACGGGUGGGCCAGGGGAGGACAAGGGCACGCGUCCUGCCGGUCCGCGCGUUGUCUAUUUUGACGCAAACUCGGCCCAAAUUUGAGCUGGGAAUUUGUUGAAAGCAGACAAAAAGUAGACGUUUGUCUGUUUGCUCCUGCGCGUUGUGCCGCGAUUUGUAUCCGUUUAUCUCAAAUGGGCACGGCCGGACCAUAUGGGGUGGGGCCUUAACCUCAAUCUCACGUAGGUGUGGCCUACACCCUCAUUCCUUCGUUGUCCGUUCCUCUAGCGUGUUGACACCUGGCAAGCACACCUCAAAACACAGAAACCGUCCAAUACUACUAUUCCCGACCUUGCUGGCACCGACCAUCCGUGGACGGUGGGUUCUCUGUCCCACACACCACCACCCAUCCCAUCCGAUCAUCUCCACCACAAUCCCUGAAUCUGCAACCGGUUACUACCACAUCCCUGAAUUUAGCAAGCGUUUGGUACUCGGCAAAAUAGGAUAGGGCAGAUAAGCACACCACUUAUGGCCUCUCCAGAAUCCAGGCCAUGCCAUCAACGCCCAAGAAGGUGUCCUCUCCAAAACAAGCAACUAGUAGUAACGCCAUGCCCAUGCCCAGCUCUCCUUUCCAUCCUUGGCGCUGCCUGCCUCUUCCUUCUUCAGUACAUUCCAUAUGCGGAGGACCGGCCGGCACCCCCACACCGACUGGACCGAUCCGUUCGCCGCGAGUCGCCUCGCUGCCACGUUACCCUUCCUCUGCUGACAGCAUGAACGAAGGUGGUUGAAGGGAAAAGGCACGUCUUGAGAUUUCAUUAUUUCUCGGUUGCGCCGAGGCGAUGCCAAGUGCACGUACCGGGAUCACGCCCUGGCCCAUCGUUGAACCGGGAACCCGGGAUUAUUAUUCCGCGUCCGUUUGCGGUCCCUGGCUGGCUCCUUCCUUUUUAAACCCCCCUCCGCUCUCUCACUCGACAGUGUCUGUAGCAUCGAUCUCGACCUAAUCCUUAACUGCCCUCCCAACACAAAACUCCUCUUCCUCCCCUGUCCGUCUGACACCCCCUUCUUCCUCUUCUUCCUCCCUGCCUUCAUCGACGGUUUCGUCCUUGGUUUCCCCGAUUCAUUCCCUCCUGCUGUUCCUGACGCCCAAGUUGACAACCGCUGCUGCUUCAAGUACAGAAGAGAGGCGUCGAUCCUGAUUUACCUGCGAGUGGAUUCUUGGUUGGAUUCUGCCUUGGUCGCCGUGGAUCGGCCAUGUUCGUCAAGAAGCUCGUGGAGAAGGCCUCCAAGAAGGUAUAUAACCUCUCUCUCUCGCUCGCUCGCUCGAUCCAAUCCGGUCCAAUGCUCUCUGCUGCCAUUUUACUACCACUCCGAUUUAUCAGCUUCCUUGUUCUUGGUCGAUUCUGUGUAGUAGGGAGUAGAGAUUAAGACAAUUUUGCUAGAACAUGUAGAUGAGAUUCGACGGUGGGCAAUCCUAGAAUGGUCUCUUUUCUUUUCCUGAUUGGGGAGUAGUUGUUGGUGUCACUCCUCCCCUUCUCCACCGACCGAAUUCGCACGUAAUCCUUCCUGCGGAAAAUGUCACUUUCUGCUCAUUUCCUUAUUUUCGCCGUGGGAGCAAGAAAAGAAUGUUGCCUCGUGGACGCCGUCGCCCAAUGUCGCCCUGCCUCGUCAGAGACGGAGUGUCGCGCUCGCGUCCUUGUUUCGAUCCGAGCUCCGUUCAAAUUUGAAACACCCACACCCACAAAUGCCAUGCACUCAUCUACCAUUCGGAAAUUUAAGGCGGCUCUGGAAGUCCAUGUGACCUCAUUAAUGUCGUCCAAGCAAAGGACGCAUUGUUUAGUCGCUGCGGAAAUGAUUCUACCCAGUCUCAGUGGCGUGGCACAGCUAGUAGUACAGAGGUAAAAUAAGGCGAUCGAGACGGAUAAGAAAUUUUGAUAGAUUGACCAAGUUCGACGCAUAGAUUGGAUGGAUUACAAUAUGUGGGAGUUCAAGAUAAAAUAUCCUAUAGUAGGCCGGUUCUUCGAGAUCAGCGAGACAACGAGAUUCGCUUAUUCUUAUAUACGUAGUGUACUAGUACGUAUAUGAUUGGGUUCACCGUAGGCAAUGCAUGCCGGCUUUGGCCUGCAGUCACCGACGACUGUUCUACAGCGGGCGUUGUUCAGUCGCGGCUGUCGAUUUCAGUAUCUGGCUUUGGCCACUCUUUCAUAUCGUGCCGUUUCCAAAAUAUGAUCUGCGUCAUAAGCCUUGACUCUCUGCAGAAUUACAGUAGUAGGCAUGUAGGGUUCAUUUUUGACAGGCCACUCUUGCUAAAGACAGGGACAUGAUGGUGCGUGAUUUUCCCUUUUUUAAGGGGAAAAAAAGUAUUAGUAACUUCAUAGUAGGGCAACUGAGGAACGUGCAACAAAGUGGAUAAACAAAAUGAUCCUCUAGUAGGCCAUGCACGGACAGCAACGCGCUAGUACAAACUUGAGAUUUGUGAUGAUUCACUCUCGAAAAAGAUUUUUGAUGAUCUUAAAAAACUGGGAAUUGUGAAAUGCUUCAGAUUAAGUUAGGACAUGAAUCUUAUUUUGAAAUUGCACUAGCCUGACGCGUGUGCCAAUCCGUUGGCAUCAUGAUUCUUUGGCGCUAAUUAGAUCACGCCACCUGGCCGUUUAUUAGAUCGUGCAAAAGUUAAGAUGAUGAUGCUGUUACGUGCUCAUUUCGAUGUGACUGUGCCAUGUGCUUGGCCGGCUGAGCUCAUGGGCCGGGGGAUCAGGACACCCUGACACGUAGUAGAUGGACUUACAUCAAGUAGGAGCCAGGACAUAUCUCGUCCUUUUCCUUCGUUUAUUAUUUUUCUCAGAGAUAAACAUUUCAAGUUUGAAAGUGAUAUUUUAGGGUGCAAUAAGGACAAAAUAGGGUGAGAAAAUGAAAUAUUUGAACAAAAAUUCAGCUCCCGGCGAGGAUCGAACUCGCGGCCUUUCGCUUACGAAGCGAACGCAAUACCACUAUGCUACGGAAGCAGCUGCGUCCCAUUUUUCGUAUGCUUCUAAUCCUUGUUUUACUUCCUCGCAGCAACACAGCGGCGGCAUCGGCGGGCUGCGCGCCGAGGACGUGAGCCCGCGGCUGGCCUUCCACUACGGCGUCCCCGCCGACGCCGCCCUCCUCGCCUACGACCCCCUCCUCCACGUCCUCGCCGUCGCCACCAGGUAACCCACCGACACCGACAGCUCCCAAACCCCACCCGCUUGCUUGCUGCUUCCAUUCCGAGUUCCGACGGACGCGCCGCCCACCCACCUCUCCCCGCCGUCGCUGACGCCCUCUGCUGCGUCGCGCGCCUGCAGGAAUGGGCAGAUCAAGCUGCUCGGCCGCGACAACACGCAGGCGCUGCUCCAGUCCCCCUCCCCCAUCCCCUCCAAGUUCAUGCAGGUACCAGUCGCCACCCGCUUCCAAUCCCGUUGCUUUCCGUGUCCAGUGCUUCAUUGCUGAACCUGGAUCGAUGUGACUGAAUUCGACGCUCACUUUCAGUUCGCCGAUGGCCAAGGGGUUCUCCUGAGCGUGAACACUCAGAACCAGAUCGAGGCACGUCUAUUCCUCCCACGCAUCAUCUUGGUCCAUUCACUAAAUGUGCUCUUCUUUCUCCAUGCGUUGUUGAUUCGGAAAAGGCAUUGUUUGCAGGUCUGGGACAUCGACACGAAGAGGCUGUGUUAUCUGCAUCCCUUUGAGAAGCAAAUAACCGCGUUUACAGUGCUGCAGAAGAGUUUCUACAUGUAAGUGAUGGUUACUGAAUGUACUAGUGCUACGGCAUGGAUCUUGAUGGGUUAAAUGUGCUAACGAGAAUUCUGGGUUGCGCAGAUAUGCAGGAGAUAGUUUUGGAAAUGUGUCCUUGUUCAAGCUUGACUUGGGUCAGCGGUGUCUAGUUGACCUGCCAUAUUGCAUUCCUUUUGCUGAGUCCUAUGGUAUGCUGUCUUUUUUUUUCUUUCCUUGAACACGCAUCAAAAUGCGUGUCACUUUGUAUUAGGGAAAAAGCACCAAGACAAAGGCCAAAACGCCAGAACAGAACGAAACUAUCGGAAAAGAACUAGAAUCGUAACGAACCAAAAAAGCAGCAAACCAAAUCAGGAAAGAUAAGCCGUCCCUAGAAUAUCAAUGUAUAUGUUGCAUACUCACUUUUCUUAAGGCUAGCUGCAUACCCAACUUUGUUUAUUCUUCUUCAAAAAAGUUUAUUCAGUUUGCAGUUAUAUGUAAAAUAUCGUCCCUAUUCAGAUAUUUUGUAAAUAUUCAGAAAGAAACUUCACAACAGCAGUACUGAUGCCAAUCAAUAAGAGCCAUUGUAAUUGGAAAAUUAAAUUCAAAUUUUGACUCACUUUGAUCUGUUAUUGAAGGUUCCACGGCAAAUGGUGGUAAUGGGGUAGAUGUCGCAUUUGUAUCGCCGCAGCCUUUGGCUGAAUCUAACAGGUGGGUCUCUUCUCAUUACCAUGGUUUGGCACGAAUAAUUGCAGCUUUUGAGCCAUGUCAUAUUCGUGUUGAUCUUCCAUAUAAUUCAUAGCCCUCCGUAAGCAUAGUGAAAUGUCUGAUUAAGUCGCACUCUUCCUCUCAGGUUGCUCAUUAUAUUCAGAGAUGGUGUCAUGACCUUAUGGGAUAUUAAGGCAAGCAGAGUGGUAUUCGUAUCCGGUAGAACUACGCAACAACAAUCGCACCAGGAGGAGAAAAAUGUGACAUCGUCAUGCUGGGCUUGUUCCAAGGGAAGCAAAGUUGCUAUUGGAUAUGACAGUGGUGAUAUCUACCUUUGGGCUAUUCCUGAUAUUUUCAGUGCAGAAAAUUCCUCAUCUUCGAGUAAUCCGAAUCUACCACUUCAGAGGCUUAACCUUGGAUACAAGCUAGACAAGGUGCCAAUAAUCUCUUUGAGAUGGGUUCCUUCUGAUGGAAAGUCUGGACGCUUGUAUAUUAAUGGAUUCAGCGAACAUGCAUACCUAUAUCAGGUAGAAACACUGAAAUAUUUUCACAGUGGUUUUUAUGAUGUUCCUGAUUUUCUGCCAUACUUUUCAAGUGCAUGCUUUCCAUAUGGAUAUUGUUAUCCCAAAUGACAUUUUAGUUAUUUCACAUCAUAUCUUAGCAAACUUUAGCUGAUUGCAAAUAAUUGGAGCAGUAAAUUUCAUCAUAUCUGUCUGCCAGGACUAUCACUAAAUAACUAUCAGGUUGUCAGAUACCGAUUUUCUCUGGCCUCUGGCCCUUUUGAAUACGAAAUUCAGGUUGUAUGAUUUUGCUUCUCAGUAUUACAUUUUCUAGGGUUUUAAGAAGCGUAUCGAUUGGUAACAGACCGAAUUAGACUGGAUGAUCUACUGGUUUUGGGACUGACUUGAACAAAUAAAAAAUUAUGGGUACUCAAAGUAAAUGCUCACCCAAAGGGCAACGGAUUGGGUGUCAUUUUUCCAGCAACCAGACAAAAGAUCCAUGUCCAAAGCAUUAUUUGAACUUGGAACGGUCGAUUUCUUUCUGAAGAAUAUAGUGCUGGUUCACGUGGAUAAGAUGUCUUGAUAUUUUGUUUAGUGAGAAAUGCAUCUUCGUUCAAUCUUUCAUUUGUGUUUUCUGGACACAGGUCCUGAUUCUGAAUGAAGAGAGUGAAUCUCGAAUAGUAAAGAUGGUAUUGCCCAUCACAGAAGCUUGUCAAGGAAUGGAGUUUGUUACAGGCCUCAGUGACCCAAAUAAGCAAAGACAGACUGUUCUUGUUCUCUUGUUGAAAUCUGGUCAAAUCUGUUUAUACGAUGAUUCAGAAAUUGAGCGCUACCUUCUUCAAUCUCAGUCUAGAUCACCACCAACACUUCCAAGCCACUCAUUUGUGAAACAACCGUAUGGUGAUUCGGGCAUCAACGUUGCAAAGUUCUACACAAGUGACCGUACAGCAACAGCUAACGAGGCAUGUAUAGAUUUGUAAAUUAUACCUGCAAACAACUGUGAACUCUUUGACCAGACAGCUUCAUCUUUUUAAUGGACAGGAUUAUUUUUCAACAUUGGCCUCCAAAUAUCCAUGGCUGCUUUCAAUGAAGGAUAAAGGUCAGAUAUCCGCAAGUCUUAGCAACAUCCAUAAAACCAGGAAUCUUUAUAUAACUGGACAUAUGGAUGGAACCAUAAGCUUUUGGGAUGCAUCAUGUCCUCUUCUGCUGCAGAUUUUUAUGAUAAAGCAGCAGGUAGCUUCAAAUCCCAACUGUUUUGCCAAGUGUUAUACAAUUAUGAAUUCUUUACGAACUGCCGUGUUCAACUUCAUUCUAAUAACCAUCUAAUAACUUCACAGCAUGAAGACAAUACAUCAAGUCGAGCCCGUAUUACUUCAUUGCAGUUUGAUAUGUCCUCCAGCAUUCUUAUAUCUGGGGAUCAGGGUGGAACAGUAAGCUACUCCACGGCUACCAGGUGGUUUCUAGUUUAUGUGUUAAAUACACUUCCAGUGCAUUGAAAUUUAUUUCUUCUUUCCAGGUCCGCGUAAUCACAUUCAAAAAGGACUCUAGCGACAAUAUAUUAUCCAUUUUACAAGGUACUAACUUGCUCAGGGAUUGUGCUUCCAUCUACCUAUAUAGUAACUUGGUUGUUGAUUCUAUGAAAGAGUUUGCACUAGAAUAAUUUCAAUAAUAUUACUGCAAACUUUGCAAUUUACCAGUUAAAUUUUAGCACAUUCGGUGAUUUUUUGGCGCAUUAAACUAAUGGAUGGUUAGUAUACAUUCAUCACGUUUGGAUUAUCCGAGUAUAAGAUCACCUCCUUUCAGUAAAUAAGCAUGAGUUUGCGGCUUGUCUCGCCGAGUUCUAAACUAUCAUAAUAAGGUUGUUUAUAGGGUUUCCAUAGGCGAACCUUCAAUUAAAAGUAAGAGAUGAUGCGGAGUUUGCUGCAUUAAUUUCAAAAGAAAGGACAGGCGUAUAAUGUGGAGUUUCUCAAGAGUUAUAUAUGUUUGGUUGAUUUUGUUGUCCACAAGUAGAAACAAUUUAUAUAUUUUAUAUAGGAGGUAUAAGCUUAAUAAAUGGCUGUCAGCAGUUCAGUAGCGCCUGAUCUUAUCAUCUAGUUGAUGUAUCUUUUUAAUAAUGUUUUUAUAUCAAAGUCUAUGGAAUUUCUCUAUGUUAGUUAACCAGAAUUUUUGUGACUCGUUAGGAAAGCAAGGGGAUAACUACGAUGCAAGAAGUAUAAAGCUCAAGGGAGCUGUAACCUCAACUUCUAUGAUCUCUAACUCGAAGCAUUUUGCUGUUGGGACAGAAAAAGGAAUUGUAAGAAAUUUGUCCAUUGUGCAAAAUGUUCUCAAUUUUCUGAACUAUUAGGCUCAAAGCACCGUUAAUCAACACAAUAAAAGCAUAGUAUCACAGUUUCAAAAUAGUAGCACUAAAAUUUUACCACUGUCUACAAUAGUCAAAUUACAGACUCAAAGCUACUAAAUAUCAUAUGUGUUUGAUAUGCGAUCUCACAGAAAUUUUUUAAGUUAAAUGGUUAAUAUUACUCACAGUUCAACAAGUUUUAGUAUCUUGUUAAGCAAAAUAGUGGUUACUUCUUCGAAGACUUUGCAGUUCGCCAUUCUUGAUAUGAAGUGACUCAUGUCACGUAUGUUAUUUAUUGUGUUGACGAUUAUUUUAAAGAGAUGGAACUAUCACACAAUCAUUUAUCUCAUGAAAGCAGUUCGUUAAAUAUGGUUAUUCAACUCAAAAUUUGAGCUCAUUAUUCAACCAAGAAAGUGACAUGUCUGGAAAAACAUGUUUCAGGUAUCAGUUAUCAAAGUAGAUGAUGCUACUAUAUUGUAUCAAAAACAGCUUGAGUGUCGUGUCUCUGGUGGAAUUGCCUCCUUGCAAUUUGAACUCUACAGCCACAAUGGGUACGAUAAGGAUCUUCUGAUAGUAGGAAUGGAAGAUUCUUCUAUUUGUAUUCUCGAGGAAGAAACUGGAAAACUUUUGAAUGCCAACCCAGUUCAGACAAACAGACCCACAAGAGCCCUUCUGUUGCAGACAUUGGGUGAGCUAUAUGAUCUUGCAUAAUAAUCCUUUUUUUUGUAUAUCUACCCACCAACCCCAUUCUCAAGGUACUAUUACCGCACUAUUAUGCCAUUCUAAAGCCACAUAAUGCCAUCAUCCAGAGUUAUCUCCAAACGAAGCACCAGGAUCUGAUAACCAUGAUACAGCAUUGAGGGAAUCUUUGCUGUUGCUUUGCACGGAAGAUGCAAUCCGCUUAUUUUCCUUGAGCCAUGCGAUUCAGGUAUUUGUAUUUCCAGUUAUCUCAGAAGUUCUGUUUUUAUGUGAGUGUUGUUGUUCAUAUGGAGCUUUCCUUUGUGCAGGGAAUGAAGAAGAUAACUAAUAAGAAAAAGUUAAACGGUAGCUGUUGUUUUGUAUCUGUUAUCCAUGGUGCUUCUUCUGAAAUUGGAAUUGUACUAGUCUUCUCCAACGGAAAAGUAGAAACAAGGUGAGAUAACAGCUGAGUUGAAAACUUUGCAUGAGGGGUCGAGGGCAUUCAAAUGAAGUCGAUGAAUUCUAGUGUAUUUAUGAAACUGCAGGUCCCUCCCAGAUUUAUCCUUGCUGAAGGAAGCCUCUUUACGAGGUUUUGUACAUUCAAAAAACUUGAAUUCCUCUAGUUCCAUAACAUGUUCAUCUGAUGGAGAAAUCAUCUUGGUAUGGAUUGCACUAUCACUUUACUUUUUGAGACAUCUUCUGUAGUAACUUCAGUAUAGCUCUAUUCAUGAUUUUAAAAGUAGCUUUUACUUAUAAAUAGUUUCUUUGAUUAUACAGAUUAAGGGAGAGGAGACAUAUUUUUUCUCUACUCUCUGUCAAGAUGACAUCUACAGGUAUGGUAGCAUGGUUAGUUUAUAACUUUGGUAAUGAUGAAUAGUUGACCUUGUUUACCAAUAAUGGAGCUUUGCAAUUUAGUGCACUACCAGAGACCCAUUGAGCCAUUCUAGAGCCCCUAUUAUGAUCGUCAAAUAGCGGGCACAAUGAUUUCAUUAUUUAUUUCGAGCUGAACUUACAAUUUUUAACAUAGUUAUCUAAGCGUGCGGUUUGUACGCAGGCAUGUAGACAAUAUUAAUAUGGUAUACAGAAAAGACCACCCUCUCAGGGAAGAAUCUUCCUAUGUGGUUAAGUCUCCCAAAGAAAAGAAAAAGGUAACUGAUUAAUCUUAUGGUCAGUUGAGGCAUCUGUGUAUCUUUCUUUCUGAUAAUGGAAGAUCUCCAGGGCUUAUUUGGGAUGAUUAUGAAAGACACUAAAGGGAGCAAGGCAAACGAGAGUGAUGCAAAUGGCAAUGGACAAUUCAUCGCAACAACAUCUGAAGAACUGGCCUCGAUAUUUUCAUCAGCGAACUUCACUCCACCAUCUGCGAGGAGGAGCAGUUCACUGAAAGAUGAUGAAAAUAUUGAGCUAGACAUAGGUAUACGAUGUUCAGUUGUUCACAGUUCUAAAAGGCCCUAGGUGCCUUCUCCCGCCUAGCCCACCUAGGCGCUAGCCCCACUACCAUAUCGUCUGCCUGGCACCUAUCACUUUUUAGAACACCUUAUUACAAUAAUUUUUAGACGAAUCAUUACUUUGUCUGGGUAUACUUACUCUAAUAUGUUUCUUUCUGAAGAUGAUAUCGACAUUGAAGACAACACACAAAAGCAGAAAGGACCGCACUUCGCAGGUCUAAGCAAACAGAAAUUCAGCAAGGGACUCCAGGCUCUUAGAGGUCAGAAAAGUAUUAUACUAAGAUGUUUGUAAUUAACUUUUCAAUCCAAGGUGCGGCGUUUCAAAAUUAGCACUCUAGUUCAACUAUUUUAGUGUGAUAUGUUGUUCAAAUGUUUAAUAUGCAGGAAAACUGAAGCCCAGAACAGAAGAAAAGGUGAAUACAGAAAAUAAGAAGCCUGAAGAUGAACCAUCAGUUAGACAAGUUGACCAGAUAAAGAUGAAGUAUGGAUAUGCAACAAGUGAUGUGAGUGCAUAGAAGCGCCAGUAUAUCAUUGAAAUUAUGACCUGCACAUUUAUGUCCAUAGAAAGGCUGAUCUACUACGAUUGAUGACCAUCUGCAUGGAAUCGUAUUAGCAAUGCAUAGAAUAGUCACAACAUAAUAGGUUAUUUCCCCUCAAGGGAAGAAAUGUGACUAGUUGAUGCAUUCACUUACCUUUCCUUCAUUGUUGAUCUGAACAGGACUCAACCAGUGUUCCAAAAAUGAUUGGAAACAAGCUGCAAGAGAACAUAAAAAAAUUGGAGGUAAACAUCAUUUUGCUUCCCUACUGAUAGUAUUAUGCCUAUUUCUAUUACCAUGUUGCUCUUUGUACGGGACCUACCGCGUAAUUCAGUUUCCUAACAAAAAAAUUCUCUCAUUCCCAAUUUCCCUAUGUUUUGCAAAACUUUCCAAUUUCCAUAUGAAUGUCAGGGAAGACAACUAUAAAGAACAUUCUGCACAAACCUGAAAGGGCGUUAACAUUUACAAAUGUGCUUCCUGCAGGGCAUUAAUCUUCGGUCCGCAGACAUGGCUCAUGGCGCUCAAUCCUUCUCGUCGAUGGCGAAAGAGCUGCUCCGAACCACGAAAAACGAGAAGAGCUCAUCAUAGCGAAGACAGCUACAUGCAGUUGCUUUUCGUCUAGUUGUAAAGCUCUCUUUUUUAUGUUUGUUUGAGAUACCCAACUGCACUUGCCAUGGGGUCAGCUGUAGAUAGUCUUCUUCACUUCUCUUUACACUCGCUAAGGUUCUUGACAGGUUACCGCCAUGUUCAAGUUCACCUCACGUGUGUGGAACAUUAUGUAGUGCCACCUUAAAAUGAUUUUGUUGUAGAUAGCAAACAGAGGGUACCUUAUACCACCAAUUGUUUCACUGCACAAAUUUGGAUUGUAGAAUACAUGGGCAAACUUAACGUGUUUGAAUCUGAUGAAGUAAUUUCUAUUAUUUCUGAUUUUCGUUGUACUGCCAUUAACAGAACGGAAAUUUUCUCGCAAAAAAAAAAACUGCAUUAUGCUAACACAAGUCACACAACCACCAGCGUCAAGCCAGCAACUAGCAUCGAUUUUUACAUCCUGUCGAAAUAAAAUAAAAUUACUUCUGAUGUCCUGACUGCAAAAUGUUAGAACACAGCCAUUGGUCAACUACAGAGGAGAAAUCAAUUGGGCACAACCUUAAUAAAUAUUAAAAAAUUGCUGCACAAAACUCGAGAGCAAGUGCAGCAGGAAAAUGAGAAGCAAUAAGAAAGUGAAAGGCGAACACAAGACAUAAAGCAAUUAAUAGCAAGCCAACAGCAGGCUAGUCAUCAGAUCAGUAGAUAAAAGCAAGCAUAAUAACUGUUUCCACAUGCUGUGGAGGUCCACGAAAGAAAAGCAGUAAGGGUUUUAAGCUUUUCUUCGCUACUAGUCAAACAGAGACAUCUCCAGCAUGCCACAGCCCAGGAGCACGCAUCUAAACAUUCUCCUUACAUAACAUUACAUAAUCCGGACAUCGACAUGGCAAGCUAAACCCUAAGCAGCAAACGCUGAUUUGCACCGCUGCUGUUCCCUCAUCUACUAUUUAC
rnacentral:lncRNA from 1 species